AGUUGUAUACAUAUGACUUUCCUGGUCUGGAUGAUUAAGUUGGUUAGGUUCAUCUAAACCGGAGGGAGUAUGACAUAUAGCUGUAGUAGUAAUGUAUAAAUACUCAGCACUUGUCCACAUUAAUUGCACCAAUCUCAACUCUACUGCCACUGAGAAUUUAUAAGUUGAUGCAUAUAUUUCUCCAUAUCUUGUAGUGUAUGAGAUAUUGGAGUACACCAAAAGGUAGAAGGUUAAAGGUGUGCGGUGGCGCGCAGUCCGUGCAUCAUAUGUUGGUGAAUCAUAGUCUGAAUAGGCUACGUACAAUUGCAUCCAUCCUAGGACAACACGAAUGAAGAAUUUAGUGUUAGAUAGCAAAGGCAGUUGAUAGCAAGUCAAAUACACACUACACGUGCAAUGUGUCCUCUAUUUACCAGGAUUCGGGUGCCGCAUCGAGGAUUCCUGGCCGCAUCCAAGCGCGGCGGAGUGCCAUCGGUGUGCUGUCCCGUGUCAUGAAGCGCCCACACAAUCUGCAGUUCACCUAUACGAUUAUAGCCAUAUACGAUCAUACCCGUGCAUGACAAAGUUAGGUAGGCUCAUCAAAGCGUUAUGUCUGUUCAAGCUAUUGUAAUUAGUAUAAAUAGUAAGCACUUCAUGUGAUUUAACCCAUUCUAACUCUUGCCACUGUUGUUGAGAACAAUAAAUAAAGUGUACACAUAUGUUUCCUUUGCGUAUUAUAUAGAGUAUGCUUGAGAUAUUGGAGUACAACAAAAUAUAAUUUCUGUUAGGAAGUAGCCUGCUAAGUUGUUAAUUUGUUGAAGGGAGCCUUCUUCGGUGGUUGUAACUUGUAAGAGGAUUGUCGUGAGGCAGUGUUUUUUUUUUCUUUUCUUCUCAAAAUGGCAGGAUUCUUGCAUUCAGGCCAAUCACAUUCUAAUGGAUCCAAAUGAAAAUUGAUGCGUGCUCGUUUGAUCCAGGGAUACCGGCGGUGCCCAAACGGGAGUGUCGACGUGCAAUUUGGAGUUUGAUCAAAAUGUGUUUUCAGCAUGUUCCAGCCGUGUUUUUGUUUUGGAAUCCGGUGAUGUACAUGUUAUCAUCAGCCGUUGCUAGCUGUCAUGGUUCGCUAAUCAGGUGUGUUAUGCCUGCCGGGUUAACCACCACCACAAUAUUUCGCAAUGAAAUCCUAAUCGUACUGGAGUAAUUUGAAUGGCAUGCUGAAGCAUGCCUACUUGGAGGAAAGUUGCACAUAACCUGGACUCCGCGCCGCCGCAUCACCCACGCAGGCAUCCCAUUCCCAUACCCGCGAGCCACGGCACCCUGUGCCGCGCCCAGGCCCGAGGAGGCCGGCUCGCGCCGCCCCACGCGCGAGGGGAACCGCCGCCCGCCGCCGUCCCGGCCGCCUCUGACCUAUAGAGCUCGUAUUUCCUCGUCCGCGCGCUCCGCAUUGAGGCGCUCGCGGACCUCCGGGUCUUCCGNNNNNNNNNNNNNNNNNNNNNNNNNNNNNNNNNNNNNNNNNNNNNNNNNNNNNNNNNNNNNNNNNNNNNNNNNNNNNNNNNNNNNNNNNNNNNNNNNNNNAAAUUACCUAAUUAUUUCUUUUUGGAGCUAAAUGGGUUAAUUAUGUCAUUUUAGAGGAAAACAAGCUAAGUAUAUAACAUUCAUGAGCUAACCAAGGUUCUUAUGCCAUUUUGAGCUUAUUAUGUCAUUUUCAGAGCUAAAUGGGCUAACUAUGUCAUUGUUGGGGAAAGUAAGGUAAGGAGAAUAUGAAAGAGGACAACAAAGACAAUGGGCAAAUUAUGCCAUUUUAGAGGAAAACAAGCUAAUUAUAUAAUAUUCAUGAGCUAACCAAGGUUCUUAUGCCAUUUUGAGCUUAUUAUUUCAUUUUGGACCUAAAUGGGCUAAUUAUAUCAUUUUUGUGGAAAAUAAGGUAAGGAGAAUAUGAAAGAGGAGAAGAAAGAGGAGGAGGAGUAGGGGAAGAGACNNNNNNNNNNNNNNNNNNNNNNNNNNNNNNNNNNNNNNNNNNNNNNNNNNNNNNNNNNNNNNNNNNNNNNNNNNNNNNNNNNNNNNNNNNNNNNNNNNNNNNNNNNNNNNNNNNNNNNNNNNNNNNNNNNNNNNNNNNNNNNNNNNNNNNNNNNNNNNNNNNNNNNNNNNNNNNNNNNNNNNNNNNNNNNNNNNNNNNNNNNNNNNNNNNNNNNNNNNNNNNNNNNNNNNNNNNNNNNNNNNNNNNNNNNNNNNNNNNNNNNNNNNNNNNNNNNNNNNNNNNNNNNNNNNNNNNNNNNNNNNNNNNNNNNNNNNNNNNNNNNNNNNNNNNNNNNNNNNNNNNNNNNNNNNNNNNNNNNNNNNNNNNNNNNNNNNNNNNNNNNNNNNNNNNNNNNNNNNNNNNNNNNNNNNNNNNNNNNNNNNNNNNNNNNNNNNNNNNNNNNNNNNNNNNNNNNNNNNNNNNNNNNNNNNNNNNNNNNNNNNNNNNNNNNNNNNNNNNNNNNNNNNNNNNNNNNNNNNNNNNNNNNNNNNNNNNNNNNNNNNNNNNNNNNNNNNNNNNNNNNNNNNNNNNNNNNNNNNNNNNNNNNNNNNNNNNNNNNNNNNNNNNNNNNNNNNNNNNNNNNNNNNNNNNNNNNNNNNNNNNNNNNNNNNNNNNNNNNNNNNNNNNNNNNNNNNNNNNNNNNNNNNNNNNNNNNNNNNNNNNNNNNNNNNNNNNNNNNNNNNNNNNNNNNNNNNNNNNNNNNNNNNNNNNNNNNNNNNNNNNNNNNNNNNNNNNNNNNNNNNNNNNNNNNNNNNNNNNNNNNNNNNNNNNNNNNNNNNNNNNNNNNNNNNNNNNNNNNNNNNNNNNNNNNNNNNNNNNNNNNNNNNNNNNNNNNNNNNNNNNNNNNNNNNNNNNNNNNNNNNNNNNNNNNNNNNNNNNNNNNNNNNNNNNNNNNNNNNNNNNNNNNNNNNNNNNNNNNNNNNNNNNNNNNNNNNNNNNNNNNNNNNNNNNNNNNNNNNNNNNNNNNNNNNNNNNNNNNNNNNNNNNNNNNNNNNNNNNNNNNNNNNNNNNNNNNNNNNNNNNNNNNNNNNNNNNNNNNNNNNNNNNNNNNNNNNNNNNNNNNNNNNNNNNNNNNNNNNNNNNNNNNNNNNNNNNNNNNNNNNNNNNNNNNNNNNNNNNNNNNNNNNNNNNNNNNNNNNNNNNNNNNNNNNNNNNNNNNNNNNNNNNNNNNNNNNNNNNNNNNNNNNNNNNNNNNNNNNNNNNNNNNNNNNNNNNNNNNNNNNNNNNNNNNNNNNNNNNNNNNNNNNNNNNNNNNNNNNNNNNNNNNNNNNNNNNNNNNNNNNNNNNNNNNNNNNNNNNNNNNNNNNNNNNNNNNNNNNNNNNNNNNNNNNNNNNNNNNNNNNNNNNNNNNNNNNNNNNNNNNNNNNNNNNNNNNNNNNNNNNNNNNNNNNNNNNNNNNNNNNNNNNNNNNNNNNNNNNNNNNNNNNNNNNNNNNNNNNNNNNNNNNNNNNNNNNNNNNNNNNNNNNNNNNNNNNNNNNNNNNNNNNNNNNNNNNNNNNNNNNNNNNNNNNNNNNNNNNNNNNNNNNNNNNNNNNNNNNNNNNNNNNNNNNNNNNNNNNNNNNNNNNNNNNNNNNNNNNNNNNNNNNNNNNNNNNNNNNNNNNNNNNNNNNNNNNNNNNNNNNNNNNNNNNNNNNNNNNNNNNNNNNNNNNNNNNNNNNNNNNNNNNNNNNNNNNNNNNNNNNNNNNNNNNNNNNNNNNNNNNNNNNNNNNNNNNNNNNNNNNNNNNNNNNNNNNNNNNNNNNNNNNNNNNNNNNNNNNNNNNNNNNNNNNNNNNNNNNNNNNNNNNNNNNNNNNNNNNNNNNNNNNNNNNNNNNNNNNNNNNNNNNNNNNNNNNNNNNNNNNNNNNNNNNNNNNNNNNNNNNNNNNNNNNNNNNNNNNNNNNNNNNNNNNNNNNNNNNNNNNNNNNNNNNNNNNNNNNNAAUUAUGUCUUUUUGGAGCUAAAUGGGCUAAUUAUGUCAUUUUGUAGCUAAAUUAGCUAAGUAUAUAAUAUUCAUGAGCUAACCAAGGUUCUUAUGCCAUUUUGAGCUUAUUAUGUCAUUUUGGAGCUAAAUGGGCUAAUUUUGUCAUUGUUGGGGAAAAUAAGGUAAGGAGAAUAUGAAAGAGGAGAAGAAAGAGGUGGAGGAUAAGAANNNNNNNNNNNNNNNNNNNNNNNNNNNNNNNNNNNNNNNNNNNNNNNNNNNNNNNNNNNNNNNNNNNNNNNNNNNNNNNNNNNNNNNNNNNNNNNNNNNNNNNNNNNNNNNNNNUCUUCUUUCUUUUCAUUUUUCCUAUUUCUUCUCCUCUUCUCCUCUUCUUGGAGCUAAAUUAUCUAAUUAUGUCUNNNNNNNNNNNNNNNNNNNNNNNNNNNNNNNNNNNNNNNNNNNNNNNNNNNNNNNNNNNNNNNNNNNNNNNNNNNNNNNNNNNNNNNNNNNNNNNNNNNNGUGUGAGGAGGCGCGGCCGGCCGACGUCGAGGCCGAUGACGAGCUCAGGCGUUGGGGAGAGGCGAGACGGCGUCGGCGCGGCGAGAGGUUGAAGGAAGCAAAAACAGGAUCGUUUGGGUGAUUAUAUAUAGGAGUAGACCUUUAGUGCCGGUUGGAUACACCAACCGGGACUAAAGGUCUAUUUUCGCGAGGCGAAACAGCGGGAAGCGCAUGGCUUUAGUCCCGGUUGGUGGCAUCAAUCGGGACUAAAGGUCUAUUUUUGCCAGCCCAAAUUCCGCGCGGGAAGGGACUUUAGUCCCAGUUCAUGGCUCCACCCAGGACUAAAUGUCAUUUUUUUAUUGUUUUUGUUUUUCUAAACAGGACAAUUUCUGUUUUUAAAUUUGAAAUAACUGUUAGACUAUUUAUAGUUUCUGAAUGAAUCUUUUUGGUUUAGGUCAAAAAAAUUAUAAAAUUUCUAUUAGUGCUAGUAAUUUUCAAAUUUACAUAGUUUAAAUUUCAUUUUUUUUUAAUUUGUGUAAAUCACUAGUUUGUGAAUAACUAGUUUAUGANUCUUUUUUCUGAUGUUUAAUAUUAGUGUGUUUUGUCAUUAUAUUAAAUUUGGUAAUUUUCAGGUUAUUAAAAAAAGAAAUGUUUUUGUAAGAGAUGAGUAUUCGUCCGGAACCGUGAUACUUCGAAAGAGAUAGUUCAGUUUGUACAUGAAGUGCAUCAUGUUUUUGCCAUAACCCUUCAACUUUUUAGCACAUGCCAUGUCAGUGAAAUGAUGAUACCAUGCCAAGUUUCAGCCUUUUCCGAGUUGAUUUGUAGCUUUUUCAAUUUCAGGGUCAUUUAGCUAAAAAAUCAUUUAAUGCAUGGAAAAUAGCAAAUGAGGUGAGAAAUGGUUGAAAAUUUAUGAGGUGUCUUUGAAUGAUGCAUAUUGAGGACACAAAAAGUGUGGAGUUGAAAUAAGAUUAAAAAAUGAAAUGGCCUCGUAAGAGAUGAGUAUUCGUCCAGAACCAUAAUACUUGGAAAGAGAUAGUUCAGUUUGUACACGAAGUGCAUCGUGUUUUUGCCGUAACCCUUUCAACUUUUUAGCACCUGCUAUGUCGGUGAAAUGAUGAUACCAUGCCAAGUUUUAGCCUUUUCCGAAUUGAUUUGUAGCGUUUUUCAAUUUCAGAGUCAUUUAGCUAAAAAAAUCAUUUAAUGCAUGGAAAAUAGCAAAUGAGGUUGAAAAAUUAUGAGGUGUCUUUGAAUGUUGGAUAUUGAGGGCACAAAAAAUUUGAAGUUCAAAUAAGAUUAAAAAAUGAUACAUGUCCAAGGAGUACAUAAUACAUGUUGUUCAUAAUACAAAAUACAAAAUACUUCAUAAUUUUCGUCCAAGCAGAACUACAAAAUACUCACAUCAUAUUUACACAGGGAUAUAAAUACAAAAUACUUAUCCAAGCAGUACAUAAUAAUAGCUACAGAUAUAAUUGUGUUGGAAAUAUGCCCUAGAGGCAAUAAUAAUUAGUUGUUAUUAUAUUUCUUUGUUCAUGAUAAUCGUUUAUUAUCCAUGCUAUAAUUGUAUUGAUUGGAAACACAAUACUUGUGUGGACACAUAGACAAAACACUAUCCCUAGUAAGCCUCUAGUUGACUAGCUCGUUGAUCAAAGAUGAUUAAGGUUUCCUGGCCAUAGGCAAGUUUUGUUACUUGAUAACGGGAUCACAUCCUUAGGAGAAUCAUGUGAUGGACUAGACCCAAACUAAUAGACGUAGCAUGUUGAUCGUGUCAUUUUGUUGCUACUGUUUUCUGCGUGGCAAGUAUUUGUUCCUAUGACCAUGAGAUCAUAUAACUCACUGACACCGGAGAAAUGCUUUAUGUGUAUCAAACGUCGCAACGUAACUGGGUGACUAUAAAGAUGCUCUACAGGUAUCUCCGAAGGUGUUCGUUGAGUUAGUAUGGAUCAAGACUGGGAUUUGUCACUCCGUAUGACGGAGAGGUAUCUCGGGGCCCACUCGGUAAUACAACAUCACACACAAGCCUUGCAAGCAAUGUGACUUAGUGUAAGUUGCGGGAUCUUGUAUUACGGAACGAGUAAAGAGACUUGCCAGUAAACGAGAUUGAAAUAGGUAUGCGGAUACUGACGAUCGAAUCUCAGGCAAGUAACAUACCGAAGGACAAAGGAAAUGACAUACGGGAUUAUAUGAAUCCUUGGCACUAAGGUUCAAACGAUAAGAUCUUCGUAGAAUAUGUAGGAUCCAAUAUGGGCAUCUAGGUCCCGCUAUUGGAUAUUGACCGAGGAGUCUCUCGGGUCAUGUCUACAUAGUUCUCGAACCCGCAGGGUCUGCACACUUAAGGUUCGACGUUGUUUUAUGCGUAUUUGAGUUAUAUGGUUGGUUACCGAAUGUUGUUCGGAGUCCCGGAUGAGAUCACGGACGUCACGAGGGUUUCCAGAAUGGUCCGGAAACGAAGAUUGAUAUAUAGGAUGACCUCAUUUGGUUACCGGAAGGUUUUCGUGCAUUACCGGAAAAGUUUCGGGCUCAUCGGUAGUGUACUGGGAGUGCCGGGAGGGGUGUCGGGGACCAUCAGGAGGGGUGUCACGCCCCAAGGGGUCUCAUGGGCUAUGGGAAGAGAUAAACCAGCCCCUAGUGGGCUGGAAUAAGUUCCCACUAAGGCCCAUAAGGUUUGAGAAGGAAAAAACACAAGNNNNNNNNNNNNNNNNNNNNNNNNNNNNNNNNNNNNNNNNNNNNNNNNNNNNNNNNNNNNNNNNNNNNNNNNNNNNNNNNNNNNNNNNNNNNNNNNNNNNCAGUACGGGAGCCACAUUCCGUAAUUACUCACUACAUCAGCACUGACGAACACGAGGCACGCCAGCGCAAGGUCCGAGGAACCCGACCCCAAGCCCCGCGUAGUUUCAAACCCCCUAUUAGUACAGUACGACGUCCCUCGCAUAGCAGAGCAGGCGCAGAACCCUUAAACCCUCCCCGCCACCCACGAACGAAGAACCCCUACGCAGUACCCCAGCUGGGCGCGCGGGAAACGGAGCAGCGGCGGACGAAGGCGGCGGCGGGCGGCUGGGCUCACCUCCGGGAGCGGAGGCGGAUCGGGCGGCGGAUCUGGCCUGGGGAAGCGACAGGGGGGGAAUGGGGGGGAGACGCGAGGAGGGGGGAGGCGGAUAAAUAGAGGCGCACCUCGGGGGCGGACGUGCCGACGCGUGCUCCGGGCCGGCGCGUGGCGGAGUGGGCGAGGGGCUGGAUCUCGCGGCGGCGGCGCGCACGGUGCCGGAGACGGGGCCGAGUUCAGAGUGGAGCGGGCGCUGGCUGGCUGGCGGGCGGGCGGAUAUCCCGAGGGGGUGAGGGCAGAUGGGGGCUGUGCGGCCUGAAAUAAUAAAUUCCUGGCUCCUCCUUCGGGGACUCCGCCUCCCCCUCCCCCCUGGCGACCCCCCGCACGUGACGCCCCUCCCGGCCGCCAAGCGGACGGCCCCGAUCCGCCCAUCGCACGGCGAUGGGGUUUUGGUUCUUGGUUUUUCUUUUUUCCUCCUCUCCUUGCAGGUCGCUCGCGGCGAGUCUUGGCGAGUCUUGGCGUGUCCCUGUUUGGACGGUGGACGGCGGCAGCGAACUAGCGGAACAGUGCACGGACGGACGGAUCGGAACGGCGUCGUUGUUGGAUUAAGGUUUAGUGGUUGGGCGGAUCGGACCUGCCCCGACCGUGACAUCCCAUCCCUGCCCUGCGUUGCGUCGUCACCACCGGAGAAAGCAGCGUGCCAAACGCGUGUGCCGUUUUCCCCUGUCGGGGCUGGUCGCCGUCGCCGUCGUUGACGAUGUCGCGGAGGUUCUAUUUACGGGCGCGCGUAUAUUCGGGGAACACCUCGAUUUUUUUCGUUGCUUUCGCACUCAUGACGCGGGCCGUGUUUAAUCUAGGGUUCACGGUUGAGCGGAUCAUGACAUCCAUGUCGUUCAUUAUAUGCUUACAUGAUACUCCCUCCGUAUCGAAGGUUCUGUUUAUGGGCGCGCGUGAAUUCGGGGAGCGCUACGGCUUUUUGGUUGAUCUGCGUUCCUGGCUUUGGACGGUAUUUGAUCAAGGGAUGGCGGACGGUUGAGCGGAUCAUGACAUCAACAACUCCCUCCGUCUUAUAACAUAAGAGCAUGUUUUACAUUAGGGUAACAAUAAUAAUAGUACGAUAAAUGCAUGGUUUUUUAGUUUUGAAUUGGGAGCCGUGUGUUCUAUUUUGUUUCUAUGCAUACUGAAUUUGUUUGCGGGUCUCGUGCAUCUUUGGUUUUUAAUAUGUUGACGGUGUUUGAUUGUUUCUACCGUUAACGUGGGUAGGUGACCAUACGUCGUCUUUGGUCAUACGCCUCCGCCUCCCCCGCUUUAUGCCAUCACAAUGGUACGUUAUGUGUCGGCGUUGGGUCACGGUACUUCCCAUAACGAUUAUUACAUCUCUUGACCAUGUCGGCUCUGAUACAUUUUUUUUUGCGAAUCGGCUUUGAUACAUUUCUGACAUAUCUAUAUUUAUUAUUAUUUUAUGCUAUUGUCAUAUUACUUUUAUAUUGUUUUUAUUGGACUAACCUAUUAACACAAUAUCAAGCGCCAAUUUCUGUUUUUAUUGUUUUGCGGGUUUUAGGUGAAAAAUUCACGAAGUCAGAAUGACAAAAACUUUUGUGGAUUUUUUAUGAAAUAUAUCUGAUUUUUUUGUGGAAGAAUCAACCCAAAGACGAUACAUGUGGGCGCCACAUGGAAAGUCCGACUGGCAUGUAGCUAGACCAUAAGGCGGUUGGAGCUCUUCUACGAGCGCAAGAAAGCUAAUUUAUGAAGAAAAAUUGUGUAGAAACUUCAACCCGAUAAAAGUUACGGAUCUCCAUCUAUUUAUGAAAUAGUGCGAGAAAGUCGCGAAAAGAGAGAAACAGAAGAGGGGGGAUCCAAUCUCGAAGGGCUCCCGCCCUCCGGGGCCCAUGGACGCAAAGGACCCUUCCAUCUACGGGGGAGCCUAGAAAGAAGAAGGAGGGCUCUCUCUCUCCCCCUCUCUCCUAGUGGCGUGAGGAUGUCGCCGGGAGAACCAUCAUGAUGGCGAUCAUCUCCAUCAAUUUUGAUGCUAUCAUCAACAUCUUUCUCCUUCUCCGUUCAGCGAUGUAUCCUCUCUCACCGUGUUGUAAUCUCUAGCUAGUUGAAUAUGGUGUUUCAUGCUAUGGGCGAAUCGGAGCCGUCCGAUGGGUUGUGCGGCCUGAAAUAAUAGAUUCCCGACUCCUCUUUGGGGACUCCGCCUCCCCCUCCCCCGUGGCGCCCCCGCACGUGAAGCCCCUCCCGGCCGCCAAGCGGACAGCUCCGAUCCGCCCAUCGGACGGCACCGCGCUGCGCUGGCGAUGGGGUUUGGGGUUUUUUUCCUCUCCUUGCAGGUUCAGGUGGGUCGCUCGCUCUCGCGGUGAGUCUUGGCGUGUCCCUGUUUGGACGGUGGACGGACGGAUGGAUGGCAGAUUAGAACGGCGUCGUUGUUGGAUUAAGGUUUUAGUGGUUGGGUGGAUCGGACCUGCCCGGACCGUGACAUUCCAUCCAUGCGUUGCAUCAUCACCACCGGAGAAAGCAGUGUGCCAAACGUGUGUGCCAUUUAUGCUGUUGGGGCUGGCGUCGAUGACGACGUCACGGAGGUUCUGUUUAUGGGCACGCGUGAAUUCGGGGAGCAUGUCGAUUUUUUUCGUUGCUUCGCGCUCGUCGCUUUGGGCGGUGUUCGGUCGAGGGUUGGCGGUUGAGCGGAUGACGACAUUGACAUCGUUUAUUAUGCUUACAUAAUACUCCCUUCGUCUAUGGGGUUCUGUUUAUGGACGCGCUAAAUUCGGGGGGGCACUUCGACUUUUUCGUAGCUCCGCGCUCGUGGCUUUGGGUGGUAUUUGAUCAAGGGUUAGCGGUUGAGCGGAUCAUGACAUCAACAACUCCCUCCCUCUCAUAACAUAAGAGCGUGUGUUAGAGCAUAUUUCUUCAUAUGUGGUUUUGGUAAUUGAUAACAAUCCCUAUGGACUAAUGGUUGCCUUAAGUUAUAGUUGUAGGAUUUGUCCGUAGGCAUUUCUUGAAGUCCAUAUGUUGGUUUCAAAGAGUUUAUAUAAUGACCAAGGUGGUAUUCGAGGUUUUAUCCAAAGAUUGGUAAUAAAAACACAAGGUUGGUCAAGACUAAGUCAAAGAGUGAAUCAGGUUGAUCAACACACAAAAGCAUACAAGAUGUACCGAGAGGGAUCAAGUGAUCCCAUGGUAUGGUAAGCAUUAUCCAUUAUGCUUUUGUGUACUAACCCAUGGUCUUCGUGAGAGUUCUAUGUGGGGUUAGGUGUGUUUUCAUGGGCUUGCGUCAAGAGGAAGAUCUCUUUCGUCCCAUGAAGGAUGACGUCGAGUGGCGAUCAUCAUCAAGAUUGCGGUGUGCAAGAUCAAGUAGAGCAUCACGAAGAUAUCAUGCUUGAAGCUUGCCGUCCAUUGUGGUGGCAAUGGACUUGUGAAGAUGUGUUGGAAAGUGGUUCACCCAUGAUGAGUACAGGGGAGCAAUCAACUAGUCUUCAUCAAGCCAACGCAAUCAAGAAAGGUGGUCCAUCUUGAGGAAGUGAAGAUCAUCAUAUUCUAGCUCAAGUGGACCAUGUGCAAGGUAUAAGUUUGCCCUUGAUACGUUUUUCUAUUUUAGGAUAUAUUGUCGUACUAUGAAGGGGGGCUCUCAAGUGUGUAGCUUGAUCAUAUCGUUCCUUGAAAAGCUCAAACCAUUUGCAUCCUUGCAUCAUCAUAUUUCUUGGUUCUUGUUUGGAUUCUCUUUGUGAGUUUUAGAGCUUAUGGUCAUCUUUAUGACAAGCUCGAGUUCAUAGAAAACGAAGUUCAUGUGCAUCUUCUAUGAUGUUUUCAAUGUUGGGUUUUUUUUCGGUUCUUCAUUCAUAAAGGUUUCUCAUCUCUAUAUCAUUGGCAUUUUCAUAACUCCAUGUUCUUAAGAUAAUCAAUCUUAUUGGACAGCUCUUGUCGUCCUGAAUUCAACAAGCUUGUGUUUGCUCAAUUCGAAGCUCGUAUGCGAAAGUUAUGGCAGUUCCGGUUUUAAUCUGUUGCAUGUGGUCUAUCAUUGGCAUUACCCAGGCCGACGGUAGUGGCCCAGUUAGUACGGUUGGCCAGUACCGCUGCCCAUAAGUUCGACACCUUCUUUGGUCGGACUUUGUGGUAGUGUUGGGCAGUAGUAUUGCGAUACUACCGCUUUUUACUACCGCUCUUGGCGGUACCAUCGGCCCUGCCCCCUCUCAGUUCGACCUCCCUUUGCCUGAGCGGUAGUACCGCCCUGGCUCAGGCCGAGGGGGUAACGGUUGCAUUUUUUCCUUCCUAUUUAAGGGGGCAUUCUUCCCCAAAGGUCCCUGUCAGUUGAGCUUGUGUUCUUCCCCCAUUGUUGACCUUCUUAGAGCUUGCUAACUCUCAAUCUCUCCAAUCAUUCUUGCUGAUUCUUGAGGGAAAAGAGAGAGGAGAUCUAGAUCCACAUUUCCACCAAUCACUUUCUCCUCUAUGUGAGGGGAACCCCUUGGAUCUUGAUCUUGGAGUUCUUUGUGAGCUCCUUAUUAUUCCUCUCAUAUUCAUCAAUAGUUUUUGUUGUUGUGGAGGGAUUUGAGUGUGAGGGACUUGACCACUUCGUGUGUUCUUGCCGUUGCAUUUGGUGCAUCGGUUUGAGUUCUCCAGAGUGAUACGUGGAAGUGAAGUUUGAGAAGCUUAUUACUCUUUGGUACUUGGUACCUUAAUACUUGUUCUUCUUGGGUGCUUUGGCAUCCUAGAAGAUUGGUGGUGCCUCGGAGCACAAUCAUUGUUGUGGAAAGCUCCGGGCAAGCAUCGGGGUCUCCAAUUAGGUUGUGGAGAUUGCCCCGAGCAUCAUGUGGUUACCUCGAAGCCAUAUUCCAUCGUGGUGAAGCUUUGUGGCAUUGUUGGUAACCUCCAAUUAAGUCGUGGAUAUUGCCCCAACCUUGUUUGUAUAGGUUCGGUGACUGCCCUCAAGUGUCCCUUAGUGGAAUCAUGGCAUCUUGCAUUUGUGCGAGGGCGUGAGGAGAUUAUGGUAGCCUUAGUGGCUUCUUGGGGAGCAUUGUGCCUCCACACCGCUCCAAGGAGAUUAGCAUCCGCAAGGGUGUGAACUUCGGGAUAUAUCAUCUUCUCUGCAUGCCUCGGUUAUCUCUUACCCAAGCCCUUUAUUUAUGUGAUUUACUUUGUGAUAGCCAUAUUGUUUCUUGUUAUAUAUCUUACUAUCACUUAGUUGUUUAUCUUGCUUUGCAUAAGUUGUUGGUGCACAUAGGCUGACGUCCGAACCUGCAUAGCCCUGCAAUGUGAGGACUUGACGCCUUUCGCAAAGCUUUGGUGCAUCCUCCUGGAUAUGGCCGGAUGGAACGAGUGCACUGGUUAACAAUGACAGUGUGUUCGUUUAAUUGUUACUUUCUCUACGACGAAACCUUGAAUUUAUCUUUCUCUACAACGGAACUAUUAGAUGUUAACGGUGUCAUGCUCUAGUUAGUUAGUUUGGGUACGAUGAAUCUCGUUAACUAUGUUUACUCUAUGUUGCUUCUAUUUGUUAACUCUUUCUCUCCGUGUUCCUCAAGUAUAUUAUGUUGCAUACUACCAUUGAAUUUGCUAUAUGAUAUGCCUUUGAUAGUUAUAUAGAUCAUUUAUGGCGAGGAAGUGGUAUGUCGUGUACAUAGGAAGGGUUCCGAAAGUGUACGAUGAGUGGCCAGAGUGUUAAGCCCAAGUGUAUCGCUUUCCGGGCGGUAACCAGAAAGGGUUUGAUAGAAGAAGCGAGGCAAAAGCUAGUUAGUCGUGGUUCAUGCUAGCACGAGAGAGAAAUCAGAACCGACACCUCAAGAACUACUACAUAGUCCCACUUUUGCUCAUCGUGAUCGUUCUUCACUUCUACGCGAUUGAUAUGUCUCUAACGUAUCUAUAAUUUUUGAUUGUUUCAUGCUAUUAUAUUAUCUGUUUUGGAUGUUUUAUAUGCAUUUAUAUGUUGUUUUAUAUUAUUUUUUGGACUAACCUAUUAACCUAGAGCCAAGUGCCAGUUUUAGUUUUUUCCACGUUUUUGAGUAUUGCAGAUAAGGAAUAUUAAACGGAGUCCAAACGGAAUAAAAUCUCCGGAAAUAUUUUUCUUGGACCAGAAGACAUGCAACACACUUGGAGUAGGGGCAAGGCAGUUGCCAGGACGCCACAAGCCUACAGGGCAUGCCCUGGGGGGUGGUCACGCCCCCUGGCUUGUGCCCCCCUGCAGGUCUCCUAACCCUAAUUCUUGGCCUAUAAAUUCCCACAUAUUCCCAUAUCGCCAAAAGAAGCCACGAAAAUACUUUUAUGCCGUCGGGAGCCUCUGUUCCCGAGAGAUCCAAUCUGGAAGCCUUUUCCGGUAAUCUACCGGAGAGGGAAUUGAUCACGGAGGGCAUCUACACCAACUCCAUUUCCCCUCCGAUGAUGUGUGAGUAGUUCACCACAGACCUACGGGUCCAUAGCUAGUAGCUAGUAGCUAGAUGGCUUCUUCUCUCUCUUUGAUCUUCAAUAUCAUGUUCUUCAUGAUCUUCAUGGAGAUCUAUCCGAUUUAAUACUUUUUUGCGGUGUGUUUGUCGAGAUCCGAUGAAGUGUGAGUUUAUGUUCAGAUUAUCCAUGAAUAUUAUUUGAGUCUCUUCUGAAUUCUUAUAUGCAUGAUUUCAUAUCUUUGCAAGUCUCUUCAAGUUAUUUGUUUGGUUUGGCCAACUAGAUUGACAAUUCUUGCAAUGGGAGAAGUGCUUAGUUUUGGGUUCAAUCUUGCGAUGUCCUCACCGAGUGACAUAGUAGGGGCCUCGAGAUACCUCUCCGUCACACGGAGUGACAAAUCCAGUCUUGAUCCAUGCUAACUAAACGGACACCUUCAAAGAUGCUUGUAUAGUACCUUUAUAGUCACCUAGUAACGUUGCGCCGUUGAUACACACAAGGCAUUCCUCCCGUGUCACUGAGUUACAUAAUCCCAUGGUCAUAGGAAUGAAUACUAGACAUGCAGAAAACAAUAGCAACAAAAUGACACGGUCAUAUGCUACGUUUAUAGUUUGGGUCUUGUCCAUCAUAUCAUUCUCCUAGUGAUGUGAUCCCGUCAUCAAGUGACAACACUUGUCUAUGGCUAGGAAACCUUAACCAUCCUUGAUCAACAAGCUAGUCAACUAGAGACUUGUUAGGGACAUUGUUUUGUCUAUAUAUCCACACAUGUAUUUAUGUUUCCAUUAAAUACAGUUAUAGCAUGGAUAAUAAACGAUUAUCUUGAAACAAGAAAUAUAAUAAUAACUAUUUUAUUAUUGCCUCUAGGGCAUAUUUCCAACAAGGCUCAUCAAGCCUGCUCCUCUAUACUUUGGGUAUAGAUGAGAACAAUAGCUUCCUCAACUACCGGCUCCCCGCUAGGAGCAUAGCUCGCUACUCUCUGGCCGGCUGGCCAUGCCGCUGAUAACCCACAAGUAUAGGGGAUCAAUUGUAGCCUUUCUCGAUAAGUAAGAGUGUCGAAUCUAACGAGGAGCUAAAGGUAGGACAAAUAUUCCCUCAAGUUCUAUCGACCAUCGAUACAACUCUACGUACAUUUUACGUUCGCUUUACCUAUAACAAGUAUGAAACUAGAAGUACUUUGUAGGAGUGAUAGGAUAGGCUUGCAAGAAAGUAAAGAACACGAAAAUAAAACUAGGGGCUGGUUAGAUAAAGAAACAACUACAAGUGUCUAACGAGUGUGGAAAAGUGGUGGUAGGAGUUGCGGAAUUGUCCCUAAGCAAUUGACUACGUUACUAGAUCGAUAGCAAGUAUCAUGUGGGAGAGGCCUCUACUAGCAUGUCAUCCCUUACUUGGAAUUCUAUGCACUUAUGAUUGGAACUAUUAGCAAGCGUCCGCAACUACUAACGUUCAUUAAGGUAAAACUCAACCAUAACAAUAAGAUAUAUUGGUCCCCCUUUAAUCCCAUAUGAAUCAAUUUCUAUGCUAGGUUUGAAGCUUCUGUCACUCUAGCCUGCCAAUACAUAGUCCUAUCAACAUACAACUAACCCUAUGGUGUGAUCCACGCGCGCGAUCAUAUGAUGGGCACCAAUGGACAUCAACAUAACCACAAGCAAAUUAAACCAAUCAUAGCAAUUCUUCAAUCACCGAUAGGAUAACGAUAAUCUACUCAGACAUCAUAGGAUAGCAACACAUCAUUGGAUAAUAAUAUGUAGCAUAAAGCACCAUGUUCAAGUAGAGGAUACAGCGGGUUGCGGGAGAGUGAACCACUGAAUAUAGAUGGGGGAAGAUGAUGGAGAUGUUGGUGAAGAUGACGGAGGUGUUGGUGUAGAUCGCCGUCACACGAUGAUGUCCCGGGCGGUGUUCCGGCGCCGCCUGGAGAGAGGGGGAGAGAGCCCCCUCCUUAUUCUUCUUCCUUGACCUCCUCCCUAGAUGGGAGAAGGGUUUCCCCUCUGGUCGAUGGUCUCCAUGGCGGCGGAGGGGCGAGAGCCCCUCCGAGAUUGGAUCUCUCUCUUUGUGUCCUUCUGUUUCUGCGCUCCCAAAUUCUGCGUUUCACCAUUUCUUAAAUUCCCGGAGAUCCGUAACUCCGAUUGGGCUGAAAUUUUAACACGAUUUUCUUCCGGAUAUUAUCUUUCUUGCGGCGAAAGAAGGGCUCCAACCGCCUUAAGGAGUGUACACAAGCCUACCUGCCGUGGGCCCACCCCCUGGCCGCGGCGACAGGGCUUGUGGGCACUCCGUGCAUUGCCUCACGUUGAUUCUUCUUCCAAAAAAUCAUAAAUAUUCCAAAAAAAAUCCCCGUAAGUUUUUGUUACGUUUGGACUUCGUUUGGUAUGGAUAUUCUGCGAAACAAAAAACAUGCAACAAACAGGAACUGACACUAGGCACUGGAUCAAUAUGUUAGUCCCAAAAAUAAUAUAAAAAGUUGCCAAAAGUAUAUGAAAGUUGUAGAAUAUUGGCAUGAAACAAUCAAAAAUUAUAGAUACGACGGAGACGUAUCAGCCGCGAGCCAGGUGAAGGGAUCUUGUCACAUCAAUCCACGGGAUGUGACUGGGGUCUUCGGUUAAAGGUGAAGGAACGUCACCACAGGUACAAGAGAGAAGCGCACGCAUGGCUACAGUGUCAGCAGCCGUGCCGCUGACCGGCGCCGGCUCUAAUCCGUCAACCAUGCACGGUACCCGCACGCUAGCUCCCACUCCAUUACCCGGUCUGGCGUGGCUAUAGUGGAGACGACUGUACUGAUGACCAGCGCCGGAUCCCGCAAGACAACGCCGGAUGUACAGCACGCGUCCUGCGUGGGUAGCACGCACCAACCCCAUAGGCUGGUCGGCGGCUCCCACGACCAGAUGGGACCUUGCAGCCGGCGGGCCCCUCCAGCGACAAUACUAAACCAUAGUGGGGCCCCUCGCCGGCUAAAGAGGCUUCCAGCCGGGUCCCCCAUUAUGUACUUAUAUCCAUUUUGUAGGUCGGUGGGUUCGUCUAUAAAACCCUCUGAGCCCCCUCCAUGCAGAGGAUCGACCAUUUUUGCACGCACACAUACAUGAGAGGUAGAACUCGAGCAGGCUGCUCCUUCUUCCUCCUCCGUCUAACAGCUCCACGAGCACAUUGUAACACUCUGGUUCAUCAACCAUUCCGACAUGACUAGGGGUAUUAUCUCCCACGAAGAGCCCCGAACCUGGGUACAUCGUGUGUCUUGCUCGCUAGUUACCAAUCUCGUUCCCGGAGCCCGGGCUCGGUGUCCUUUCGACUCCAACCACUCUCGAGAAGCCUACCAUGGCAUAUGUCGUGAGGAAACGACGACACCCCCUCCGAGGAUGCCCCCAGAACACCUUAUUAGGUUCGGCAUUAGGCUGGGAGAUGUUUUUUUGCCGAAAAAUGGCCCAAUCACGCCCCCAGCGCCCCCCCGGCGGACGUCAAAAUAGUGUCGGCAUACCCAGGCGACCCCCAGCAUGCUGGGGGCUCUUGGGCGCCCCAGCGGAAGUUUCGGCCAAUCAUGUCUCUCCACAUCUCCUUUUUCUUGGCCCAUCUAAUCAUUUCCCUCACAAACUUUUGAUUGAGUGAGGUGUGGAUGGAAAGAUGCCCUCCCAUGCACUCAUGUUGUCAUCGGAUGAAGCAUUUGACACCAACUUUUUUGAUUCGAUGGUCUUUUUGAGGCUCCAACGGCUGGAGAUGCUUUUAGUGGUUAAAGAGAGAGAUAGGAACCGUAUGACUAAAAACAACUCUAACAGAUCCCGCAAAAGGCCGGCGAUCUACGCUUUUCCGUUCGCUUUAUGGGACAAGCAAAAUAAUGGCCUGAGUAGAUAACCGAAAAAUGGUUCGGUCCGUAAAAGUUUUACGAGAGACCCAUAAACCGCCCAUGCAUGGCAUAUAUGUGGGCGCCCGUGCGUUUUAGGGUAUUCGUCCUCCUUUUCCCCUUUUCUCCUCUGUUUUUUUAUAACAAACCCACUUUAUAGAUUAUGGCAUAAUGUCCAUAAAAAUAGCAUCCCGGAUACAUUCCGGGGACGCACCACACCAAACAUGACACUCUAGCUGAUUACAAGAUCGACCCAACAGAUGUGCAUCAACAUUCUGCUCCCUACGCACAUGAAAUAUAGAACAACUAGUGAACAAAGCCUUAAGUUGCUUAAUGUCCUCAAUCACAGAACCACAAAUAGAUCGAUCUUGGUCCAGUAAGUUGACACGCUGGACAACUGUCAAGCAAUCAGAAUCAAGCAAGACUUCAUGAAUUCCUUCACACAAUGCAAAUUGCAAUCCUCUCUGAAUUGCAAUGGCCUUCGCUAACUUAGGAAGGAUCACAUCAGGAACACCAAUACCAUAACAAACAAUGCAAGAACCUGAAUGUUCUCGCAUCACCACACCUGCCCCAUGCUCUUGUCAUGUGUAAAUAUGGCAGCAUCAACGUUUAUCAUCACCUUACCUGCCGGCGGCGGAACCCAUAAUAGUGUUGUAGAGGGUUCACGCCUAUGGUUGGUAGUAGUAAUGUACAAAUGCUGCACUAUCAUGUCAACAUAAGCUUUAACUUUCAGAGCCAGACUAGUAGGAUGUUGAGUAAUAUUUUCUUCUCAUAGUUUAUUUCUAGCAUCCCAAAUAUGCCAACACGUGAGUGCAAGAGCUGUGGCAGAAAGAUCAUCACAACUUGCCAAAAAAUCAAAGAUCCAUGUUUUGCAAUUUUUGAAUCCUUUCCGACAAAGAUGCAAGUUGAAGUAGGCUUUAACAUGAGACCAACCCGCUUUUGCAUAAGGACAAAAUAGCAAUGCAUGUUCUAUGUGCUCAUCUGCAGAACAAUGGACACAAACCUUAGAAGCAGGAAUAUGUGGCCGGUGAAGUUGCAUUCCUGAUGGCAAGCAAUCAUGAGCGAAUCUCCAAAUAGUUAUCAACAUCUUCCCCGGAGCCUUGAUUGCCCAAUUUUUGUUCCAUGAAAUAGCAUCACAUUGUAGAUUAGAAGACAAACCACGACCUGACCUGCUGCAGGAUACAAUCAUCUUUGUCAUCCUUGCCAAAUGAUAGGCAGAUCGGACCGAGUAUGUACCAGAACGUGCAUGUGGCCAUGACACAAAGUCAGUGUCCCCAAACCGACUGAUGGGAAGUUGUAGAACUUGAUCCGCAAUCGAUUCCUCAAAGACAAAUCAGACUAGUUGAGUAUUCCAAGUGAGGCCAUCACCAUCAAAGAGCGAAUUAAACUUCUGUCCAGCCGAUAGAGGAGUCAGCAGAUGUAAAAACUCUGGAUUGACACGAGGAAUCCAAUGAUCAUCCUGAAUCCUAAUGGAAGCACCGUUACCCACACCCCAUCGGACACCUUUCUUGACAAGCUCCAUGCCAUGUAGAAUACUUCGCCAAGUAUAGGAAGCAGACCGUGGACAUUUUGCGCUCCAGAAAUCUGUAUUUGGGAAAUAACGUCCCUUAAGGACACGAGCACAUAGUGUAGUUGGUUCCGUGAUUAGCCGCCAGCAUUGCUUGCCUAACAUAGCUUGAUUGAACAAACUCAUAUCUCCGAAACCAAGACCACCCAUAGCUUUCGGACAUGUCAUCCAGUCCCAUGAACGCCAAUGCAUCUUUCGUUUACCAUCAGCAAAACCCCACCACUGAUCCGCAAUGAUUCUCCUCAUUUGCUCGCAAGUACCAACGUGAAGAUGAAAACGGCUCAUAAUGUAUGUUGGAAUCGCCUGAAUCACAAAUUUUAAAAGAAUCUACAUUCCUUUCCUAGACAAUGGUCUAUCAGACAUUCCAUUGAUACGCUUCCACAUGCGAUCAUACAAAAAUUUGAAAGUCAUAGUAGUUGGUCGCCCCACAUCUGUUUGCAUGCCAAGAUAAGAAUCUUGUAGAGACUCAUUGAAAACACCAAGGAUAUGUUUAACCUCAUUCUUGAUCACCUCCGGACAACCAUUACCAAAGAAGAUAGAAGACUUAUCCAAAUUAAUCUUUUGUCCAGAGCCCUGACAAUAUAGGUGAAGGGUAUCUUUCAAAGCUUGUACACUCCUCCUGUCACUUCUUGCAAAGAAAAUACUGUCAUCUGCAAACAAUAAAUGGGAGAUAGCAGGACCAAGUUGACCAUUUUUAAUACCAUGUAGCACACCUUGGUCCUCCUGCUGUUUGAGCAAACAUGACAGACCUUCACUACAAAGAAGAAAGAGAUAGGGGCUGAUUGGAUCACCUUGACGAAUACCCCGGGUUGGCACCACAGGCUCUGUUAGAUCUCCGUUGACCCGGACAGCAUAACGAGUAGAUGUAACACACCUCAUCACCGAGUAUAUCCAGGAAUCAACAAAACCCAAUCGUGAUAGGCAACCAUGAAGAAAAUUCCACUCAAACGGUCGUAUGCUUUCAUCAUAUCAAUCUUGAGAGCAAAGUAAGGCUUUUUCGCUCUUUGGGAUCUUAUCGUAUGUAAACUUCAAAAGAAAUAAGAGUAUUAUCCGUGAUGAGACAACCAGGGAUGAAAGCACUUUGAUUCUCUGAAAUCACCUCGGGAAGAAAAACUUUAAGUCGGUUUGAGAGUACCUUCGAGGCGAGUUUAUAAAGGACAUUACACAGGCUAAUUGGCCGAAAGUUCUUGAGAUGUUGAGGGUUAUUAACCUUCGGAAUGAGCACAAUCACUAAAUCACAAAAACCAGUGGGGAUGGUUCCUCCAGUCAAGAAACUUCGGACAACGUUACAAAUUUCGGUCUGCAGAAAAUCCCAAUGUGUUUGAUAAAAAAGAGUAGGAAAACCAUACGAACCAGGAGCCUUCGUAGGUCCCAUUUGAAACAAAGCAGUUCUUAUUUCGUCAUCCGUAUACUCUUUACAAAGAGCAGCAUUCAUCUCAUCAGUGAUCUUGCGUGGAAUAGCAUCGAGUACAGAAGCUGCCAGUGGACAUGGCUCCAAACUGAAUAAUUGAGCAUAUAAAUUAUGGACCAUACCUUUGAUUUCGGACAUAUCAUCACACAUGGAUCCAUCAUCACGUGAAAAGCUAGAAAUUCUAUUAGUGCGCCUCCUUGCCGAAGCACGUGCAUGAAAGAACGCCGUAUUCCUGUCGCCCUCGCGAAGCCAGUCUAUCCUUGAACGUUGUCGUGCCAUAACUUCUUUCGUCUCAAAAAGCUCACAUAAAGAUUGUUUUGUACUUCGUAUGUCGUUAAUAUUAGCCUCAUUUGAUCCCCGCAACAUCUUCAAUUUACGCUGUAAUUUGAGAAUAUCUUUACGAACAGAACCAAAAGAAUCAUGACUCCACCUUUUAAGAGAACCGACGAGACGUCGUAGUUUAUCACAUGUGGACUGCAGAGACAUAGAGCAAUCUUGCCCUUCUACCCAAGCCCUUUCCAUUACUUCUCGAUAAUCCGGUGCUCUAAGGCAAGCCGCUUCAAAACGAAACUGUUGUUGCACCGGUGUAUCCCUCAUCUCCUCAGCCAGUGUGGAAAGCUUGAUUACAAUGGCAAAAUGGUCUGACGUGGUAGUGAUUACAUUCUCCACCUUGUAGUUGUUAAACAAAUUCAUAAAUUCACCAUUUGCAACAGCCCUAUCAAGCCUGACUCUCACAAGGUCAUCUCCAACUUGUCUAUUAUUCCAUGUGAAUUCUGGACCAGUAAAACCCAUAUCCACCAAUCUGCAUUCAUGGAAGCAAUCACGAAACAAAGACAUUUGAGCAUCUGAUCGUUCGUUGACCCCAAGAUGUUCAUCACUGCACAGAACCUCAUUAAAAUCUCCACAACAAAUCAACGGUCCCUUCCACUCUGAGUGCAGCCGAGAUAACAACUUCCAGAAAUCAUGACGUAGGUCACGGCGAGGUUCACCAUACACAAACGUUGCACGCCAGGGAAUGCACUCUUCCGUAGAUAUAAUCACAUCAAUGCAAUGAGAGUUAAAACCCUUCAGAGAUACAGUAUAUGGUUGUUGCCAAAACAAAGCUAGACCACCACUGAGACCAACACUGCUAACAACAAAGCUACCAGUAUACCCAAGCGACCACAUGAAAUUUUGCACCCUAGAAUCCUCCAUCUUCGUUUCGGAGAGGAAGAGGAAGGAAGGUCGGAAAAACCUCACUAACCAGCGAAGUUCACCAACUGUCGAGUCCGACCCAAGCCCUCGACAGUUCCAGCAAAGUAGAUUCAUUGCGUCUGGCGGGGCUGCACCGCAGCCUCUGCCUGAUCCGUCGAUCGUGAUGUUGAUGAGAUUCUUUGUUUCUUAUUCUUCUCUUGUGGUGAAAUAUGGUCAUCCACAACGUCUAUCUAAAAAGCAGGCGGUGUGCCCUUGUUGCUUACCGGAAUCAUAGGAAGCGGGGACGUCUCCUCCACUUCGUGCUGCACCUGAACUUUUAGCUGAUACACCUUUCUUUUCUGCCCAGAAAUUUGAACGAUCUUCCCUGAAACCGCGGCACCUGUCGAUCCAUCCACAGGCGUAUGUACAUCCGGAGAUCUUUCCUCCUCUGUUGUGAUCUCUUCUUUUCGAUGACAAAUCCUCUUCACUCUAGCAGUGAUUUGUCGUGCUCUUCGGCAGCCAAUCUUGACGGUGACAGCGUUAACGGGAGCGGGACAUGGCGACGGCAGGGGUUCGGCGCCCACGGUGGCUUCGGGUGUCGCGGCGGCUUCGUCGGCUGCAAGCGCUGCAACGACGACGAGGACGAGGCCGACGGCUCCUACCUACGCCCUCCUGUGUCGAGCGCGCAACGGGAGGCAGUGCCUCGCAACGCCUGAUCUAGGUUGGAGGCGUGGAAGAACUUCCACCGCUGCGGCCGGCUGUUCGACCGAGCAUAAACGCAGCGGCAACGCGCGGCCGAGCGGGCCUUCGUAGAGGCAAGGGCCGCCGCCGCUUCCCACGCUCUGGGAGGAGUACUAUCAACUCCAAACCCAACUCCCCGGUGAGCUCGUCUACAACAGCAUGUACGGAAGCGAGCCGCUGUCAACCGAGGUCAUCUCCAGCUAGACGACGGUCAUCCGUCCUCUGCUUGGCAUGGUCGCAUUAGCUUAUUCCAGACACUUGUAGGUGUUUGUGCAGCGUUUAUUCGGACAUGUAGGCCAACCGAAAUGCGCACUCUGCACAAAGAAACGGCAGAGGACAGAACGUUUGGCAACUACCCGAGCGAAAUGCUUGUUCCGCAUACACAGAAGCAUCACGAAAAACGGGACGGAAACAUGCCAAAUGAAAAUCAUACAAACAAACUGGAGGUCAAACAUUUCUACAAUAAAGCAUUACAUCAACCAGGACACAGCAGAUGAACCAGCUUGAAUUUAUCCAAAAGACAAAAAGAAGUCUUCAGACUGCCACACACGCUAGGUAAUAAUAACAUAACAUAACAACUCACCAAGGUUCCGACUGACUAUAUAAUGAUAAUACGAGCAAAGCUACUGCAGAAACGAGUACGGCGAUGGCCUAAAGAGCGAACAAGACGGCUUCUGCUACAACCAACCAUACGAAUACCAUGCCUCCCGGAAGGGCCGAUUCAGAGGACGCGACCAAGACGAACCAAUCACCUGAACUUCGGCUUCUUCAAGGGCAGCCCCCCCUUGGAGCCACCACGGUCUGGCGGCGGGCGAGACUUGUUGCCGCUGCUGCUGCCACCACGAUGUGGCGGUGGAGCAUGCUUGCUGCUGCUGCUAGGGCCACGCUGUGGUGGUGCGCCCGACUUGCUGAAGGUCUUGACCUUGCGGCGCCUCCUUUCUUCCUCGCUGUCUGAUUCAGCGCCAUGGUCCCGGUCCGCGUUGGUCGCCUCCCGCUCCAGCUCAUCCCAGGUCUUGCCCUUCUCUUCCUCAGAGUCUUCAUCAGAAUCCUCUUCCUCGUCCUCGUCAGAUUCAACCAAGGACGCGCUGUCAGAGUCUUCUUCUUCUGAUUCAGACUCAGGCUCAGCAUCAGAAGGCUCAUACCCCUGGUCUGAUUCCUCUGUUUCCUCUGCCUCGGAAUCACUUGCCUCCAUGUUCAGGAACUCCCAGCCACCAUCAUCAACAAACUUCUGAGGAUCAUCAAUGAUAGUCUUCAGGAUAGGACGCCAGUUCAGAUUCAGCCUGCUCUCAUAGUACUUGAGAUCAGUGGUGUCAAGCCACUCCUUUAUCGCGUCAAGUGAGGUUGACGGGAUGGAGUCGAUGCGGAGAACAUCCUUCUUGAAGUCCUUGAACACGAUAGCCAUGUCAAAGUUCUUUGUUCCAAAGCCCACCCUCUCCAGAUUAACAAUCUCUAUCUCGCCCAGGGUCACCACCAGGAAGGGAGUCUCAAUCAGCUCAACCAGACAAGUUGAAGUUGGAAUGAUGAAAGCUGAAGCUUUAUACGGAACCCCAUGGAAUCCAAGCUCUCUCAGAGGGAUAUCAAACUCCAGAUCAAGCCCCUUGAACUGUGGUUGCGACCAGUGGUCAUUAACCUUGUUGAUAUAGUUCUGGAACUCCAUGUUGAUUCUGUUCUUCCGGUCCCUCUCACGCUGCUCUUCUUCAAUCUCAUCAGGGUCAAGGGCUGAUCUCCUGCUGCCACCAACAGUUUGAACAACAUCCAUCACUUCAACAUAAAACUGGACAUCCUUCGUCUUCUUGUUUCCAACCAUGAUAUGAUUGUGCAGAUGGAAAUGAAGGAGUGUAAUCAUUUCUUUCUCUGCUGGCUGGAAGAAAGCAUGUUUUAUAUUCCCAUACAUGAUAUCCACACGCUCAUCGGCCCGUGAAGUAGAAUAUCUGAAACCAUUAACAUGGGCCUCAAGAGUUCCUGUCAGCUUUCUCCCACGACCACCAAAUGGAGGCCUUAUCCAGACAUCAUUAAGCCUCAUUUGCUUUGUUUUGGUGCUUGCCUGCUGGAGCUUCUCCUGAGUAACAAGGGUGGCCCUUUCAGCUCUCUCUGACUCCCUUGAAGCUACUUGCCUCCUCAAUGUUUUGAUCUGCUGGACAACUUCACUGCUAUGCCGUGGAUCCUUUGAGCGGAAUGUAAUCUCUUUCAAGUAGAUAGCUCCUUGAGACUUCAGAUCCUUGUCAUUUGAGAAUGGCAUGCCAGGUACAUUGAAGAAAAUGCGGAUAGUGCAGGUGCGGUUAUCCUGGUGGCUGGUCACACUCUUCACAGUAGAAACAUGGAAAGGGACCAUACUGCCAUAUAUAGGUAAGAGAACAGCUUCAUUCCUCUGAUCUACUUGAAUCACCAACUCUCUCGAAUAAGGUACAUCAUUCACAUUCUUGUAUGCAACAAGCUCAUUUGAAUUCCUAGAAGGACCACGGCCAUCGCCGGAACCAGAACCACCCCCAGCAAGCCUUCUAGCAGUCUCUUCAUUCUUUUGACGAGCAAGUUCAGCUUGGUGCUGUCUCCGGAGCUCUUCCUUGGACAUCUCCUGGUUGUCUGACCGGAGUGUUGCCUUGGAUGGUAGUGCUUCCACGCCAUUUGGCUCAACCUUAGCCCGCUUCGGCUUCGGAGCUUCCUCCUCAUCUUCAUUAAAUGAAUAUGCAACAUCUUUAACAGCCUUGGAGCAAUUGGUCAAGAUCUCUGCACCCUUGUCAUUAACUAAAGCUGUAUCAGCUAAUAACAAAGAGAACUGCUUUGUCUUCUCAUUGUUUGUUUCUGCCUGUAUAUUACUCAAACCAAUGUUGACAUUGAAAAUCAUGCCCUCUUUUAUCAGACGGUCAUUCUUGGCAUUCAAGUUUAAGCCAGAUUCUCGGAACUCAAGGCCAAUUCCAGUUCCAGCUGACUUUGUUAGAUUAGGAAGCAGUUCAGGGGCAUUCUUCUCAAACACUGCAACUGCAGCCUUAAAAACUGCAGACAUCUGAUUGCCGGGUUUACAUGCUGCUAAAGCAGCUUCCUGAGCUUUCAGAAGUGUCUCAUACGCCUUACUCUGUGCCGGGGUAGCAUCUAUCAGAAAUGUUCUGGCAACAUUGGAACAGUAGUUACUGUACCUGGACCCAAUUGCACAGAUAAUAAUACUUGCAGGAUCAUAGUACAGAUAAUCAUCAUUGCUGGAGGCACCUGGCCUAAGAUCAAACUUCCCUCCACUUUGAAAGACAGGAGGAUAGCAUAUAUCAAUAUUUUCAGGCUUCAACUUCACCUUGGCCUUCAAAGGAUCAAGAAUAACCUUCUCCGUGUCAUCCAUCAAUGAGGAGUGUGAGACUUUUCUCUCCUCAUCAAUAACCUUCUCCAUGGUUGGUACCACAAAGUUUUUCAUCACGGAUGAAGUUAGGUAAGCAGCCUUCUUCACACAUAUGAUCUCUGGGGCGUCUUUCACAGCAAAAAGCUCAGAAAACCCUUGUGUUACGUCUGCAAGUUGUACAGAUCCACCAGAUAACUUUUCUGCCCAUGUUUCAAGGAGCUUACCCUCAGGUGCCUCUUUUGCAAUGUGACCAACAACUGGAGUGCCAGAUUUCGACUGAGCAGAAACAGCACGCAGUAUUUCAUCCAUCAGGUCAAUGCCAUCCCCAUUCUUGCUUUUGACAUGCAAGACAAUAUCAGAACCAACAGCCUCACUUGCAGCAUCCUUGAGGGUUCCAAUGAGAUUUGCUUUCUUCUGGCUGCAUAUGAAAUGUAUCUGCUUCUGCGUAAAGACAAUUAUGGUUUCUGGAAAUUCAUAUCCAAGUAACCAAACAUCCAGAGCUGUGGAUUUCAAAUAACGGAGAUCCUCAGAAGGAGGCGGGGUAGCAAUUGCAAUGGCAUCAGAAGAAGCCCAAAGAUCAGACUUGUUUCCGUUCCAAUGGUCAUAAAACACCUUAAGCCGCUUUCUGAAGAUCUCUAGAUUGAUUGUAUAUGCUGCUCCUGAGCCUGACUUUGCUUUACCAUUAUCUGUCAUCUUUACCACGAAGCACACAUUAACCAAGCCAACUGCAGAAAAAUUGGUGAUAAUUAGCUAGUGCAAUCAUCUGACAAAUACAAGUUUACACCAUCAAAGGCAAUGGAUGUUCAGAAAAUAUUUCAUCAAGUCCCAGAUAAAUACCUCACAGAAAAAGAGUGACAAUCCAGGACGCCAAGGCUUAAUUGCUUAUCACAACCUUUUUAUCCUGGGAACAGAGCAUGCAAACUGGGUCAAUUGUUAUGAAUUAUAAUACUGCAAAAACAAGAAAUCCAGUCUUGUAUCAUUCCAACCACUGCCACAUUGGUUAGCAUAGAAGCACCGUAUGUUUUGAGACAAAAUAACACAUAUCUAUACAAUAAAUUCUUGCAAUGUUAAACACAUCAGUAAUAAAGAUUUAGGUCAUCAAGAAUGAAUUGAAGUCUCAUCAUUAAACAGCAUAAACUGCUACAUGGGUUAUGAAGCCAGGGAAAAAAUAGUCAGCUUAUCUGUUCAAUAUGAACAUGAUGAAAUCUUUUGCCUAUUUCCAAACUGAGGUCAAGAUAACUGUCCAUGAUACUAAAGUAUCCACACAUGAGCAAUCAUGGCAUACUUCAGGGAAAUAAACUAGUUCAAGCAAAUGAAGGUUAUUUGCAUUGACCAGUCUAAAUACCAGUUUACACUAUCAAGAUCAAUGGAUGUGCAGAAAGUACUUCAAGCCCAAGACAAAUACCUCACAGAAGAAGUGGUAGUCCAGAAUAACAAUGCUCAAUUGCUUAUCACAGCCCUUUUAUCCUGAAAACAUAGCGUGCAAACGGAUUCAAUUAAUCUGAAUUAAUACUGUGAAAACAAUAAAUCCGGUCUCGUAUCAUUCCAAACACUGCCACACCGGCAUGCUAGCAUAGCAGCACCACUUGUUUUGGGAUGAAACAAUACACAUACCUCAAUGGUAAAUUCUUGCAACGUUAGAGACACAAGUAAAAUAGAUUUGGGGCAUCAAAAAAGGAACUAAAACCUCAUUAUUAGAACAGCAUCAACCGCUAUGUGGGUUACAAAGCCAGGGAAAAAACAGCCAUCUUAUCUGUUUAAUACGAACAUACAAUGAUUUUUUUCGCCUAUUUCCAAACAGAGAGAUAAAAGAUAACCAUCCACGAUUUCAGUAUCCGCACAUUAGUAAUGAUUCCAAACUGCCAUCGCUGCGACUACUGAAGAUUCGGAGCGCUCAUAUAGUGCAAGACAACAGUGCUAGCUCCAAUUAAAAAAUAAAAAAUAAUUAAUCUGUCUAAUUUAACCCUUUUCGAAAUGGACUCGGUUGAAUUUAGUUUAGUCCUUGAGAAGUUGUAUAUGAGCGGAUAAACAAUUAGACGGGCGAAACUAGUGCGGGAAUCAAAGAGCGAAACGUGUAACCACGUACGCAAAUCUGAUCGUACCAACGCGGGCCUGAUUCCUAGAGGUUCUAGGGUUACACCGCGACGACGCGGGGAAUGGUACGCGCAAACCCUAGCUCGAAUUCCCCCGCAACCGAACCGCGGAAAUUUCACCGUAGCACGUCAGAUCCGGCCGAAGCGGGGAACGCGGGCGUGGUUACGGGGCGGGAGAGGCGGCGGCGACGGACGGCGAGGCCCGGCAACCGCGGGGCGGAGGACGCGGGGGAGGGUGGGUACGGGGCCGUGAGGAGGACGGGAGGAGGGAGGUUGGGGAGGGGAGCAGUACCUCGGCGAUCGGCGAGGCGAGGCGCGCCGGGGGACGGGGGCGGGCGUCCGGAUCUGGGCCACCGGCGAGGGGUGGGGGGCGAGGGACGGGGGAGGAGGAGGGGGAUGGGGGCGGCGACGGGGGGUGGGGGAGAAAAAGGAUUGUGGGGUGACGGCAGGAUGAGGAGAGCGGCGGGAAAUGGGUGCGUGCGGGCGGGCGGGAGUGCCCUAGCGCCGCGCGGGCUGCAGGCCCGUUUCCGCGGCUCUUUUUUCGCGAUUUUCGGAUGCGGCGCCGCCGAAUGCCGGUUUCCUCCUCCUCCUCCGCUCUUCUUCUUUUUAUCGUUAAUUAAUUGGCUAAGCAAAAUUUAACCAAUGGGUCGCCUCAACUACGUGUCGUGCGCGAUGAUUUUGUCAAUCUUAAAACUUUUAUGAUUUUGAUUUAAUCGUUGAUACAUAUUGUGUGAGUGUGUAGGUGUGGAGUUGUGUGAGUGUGUGUGGCUCAAACGAGGACAUGGUCAAUGGUAUGUCUUCAUAGUGUCGCCUCCCUCUAGAGCCAACUAGCACGGAUGCUAUAAUGAAUUGCCGGUUGCUCGAGCGAAUAGGCAAGCAAUGAAGGGGAAAAUGAAAUAUAGGGAUAUGAUCUGGAUGUGGCAUAUGGGUGAUGGUGUGAAUGUGUUUGGUUCGAUGGGCAAUGUCGAUGGUAUGCCCUCCCCACACACGUACCACUCUCCUCGCCCCAUCCCCCCUCUCCCACACACACAACCUAGAUGCAACUAGGCUCGGGUGCCACCUAAAGAUCCCGAUGGCUGCAAAGAAAAGGCAAAAAUAUAUAAGGGGGGAGAGAGAAAAUGGUGCGGACCAAGUGCACGGGCCAUGGUCGUCACUUGCAAUACCUUGAUUUUGUCAACGACGCAUCCCUGAGCUCAUCCAUGUGGCCAUGGCCUGAUCUGGUUGAAGACCAGCCCUGCCAGGAUCAGACUCUCAUAGAAAAAUAGUUCGGCAGCGUGCUGGAUCUGGGAGGAACAUGGUCGUCGCCGAUUCGCAUCGUCCUUCUUCAGUUGAGAUCGUGCCCGGAUGGGCGAUCACACAAACGGGUUCCUAUAGGAACGAAUGAGUGUAUGGCUUGUACCAACCAUCGCACAUCUCUGAAGCUCGCCCAGGAAGAGAGCGCAAGAAAAUAGAUCCAGAUCUGGUCACCGUCAGAAAAAACAUGUUUUAGAGGUGCUAGAUCCAGGAUUUUUUCGUGCUGAGAGAGCACAAUUGGUGAUGGUUAGGUAACAAAAGGAAAAAAGCAAGGAAAUACAAGGCAAAAAGGAAAGACAGAGUGUGGUCCGGACGUAGCGCAAGUGCACACGCCAUGGUCAAUGCAUACAAUACCUUGCGUCCGCCGGCGACAAGGCCUUUAGCCCGUCCAUCUGGUAAUGGCCGAGGUCUGUCGUGACUGGAUUACGACAGAAAAUGGCGCGAUGAUGCCGGAUCUAGGAGGAACACGGGCGUCGACAUCAAUCUGCGUCAACAUUUUUUGGUUGAGAUCGUUCCCAGGCGCACCAUCACGCAGUUGGAUGCCGAGAAGAACGAAGGAGUGACAGCUUGUACCAACCAUCGCACAUUCAUGAAGCGCCUCGAGGAAGAUAGCAUAAGAAUGGAUCCAGAUCUAGGAACCGGCACAAAAACAUGCGGUAGAGGACCUGGAUCCGGCAAUUUUUCAUGCCAGAAAGCAUGGUUAGUGGAGGAUGGGAUCGUACGGAGAGAUGGAUAUGGAAGGGGGGUUUGGGGAAAGAAGAUGCGUACCGGGACGAUGGAUCUGGAAUUUUGUAGUUUCGAGAGGUGAGGGGAGUAUGCCCCUCACGAAGUUGUGGUCUCAACUUGUGUGUGGGGGGGGGAGUAGAACCCAUCGGCUCGUUUUAUUCUGUUUAUGCGGAUGGAUGGUGCCACCAUAUGCCUUGGUAGCGUGGGGCCCGGACCAUGGUCCCGCGGUGUGUCAAGGAGGUCCACGAGAGAAAGCAAGAAAAAAGAAAGGUGGGAGAAAAUGGAGUGAGAGGAGGUGAGAAAUCUCCCUAUCAACUAGAGUGAGCUCCACCAUGGCUAGAUCGAGCAAUUGACAACUGGAGCGAGCCCCAUCAUGGCCAGGUCGAGCACCCUGUGUGGUGAUCAAGCGCCCUAGCGGCCAUAGAAUCUCCACCAUGGCUAGAUCGAGUGCCCUAGCGGUCAGAGGGAGUCCCACCACAUCCGAAUCGAGCCCCGAUGGUCUAAACGGGUUCCACAACAGACAUAUUGAGUGUCCCAUUGAUUGGAGUGGGCUCCACGACCGAAUUGAGCCCCCUUAUGAUAUGAACAGUCUCCAUCAUGGCCAUAUUGGGCGUUAACAAUCAUAGUGAGCUCCAUUGUAGCCAUAUUUAAAACGCCUAGACAAGUGGAGCAAGCUACAAGACAACCAGAUUAAGUUUCAUGGCCAGACGAUGCUUUCAAGCGGGUGCGAGCUCCCUAGUGGCAUGACCUUGACAAAAGAGGCGACUCAUGAUGGUUUUUAGAGAGAAAUAACUCACUUGCUAUACGAGGGAGGUAUUUCCCUAUCCGGAUGUGAUGGACAAAUGAGGAACUAUGACUAGUAAAAUAGUUGGAGAGGGGUAUGGCGAUGGUGGAUCCAUGCCAUGGUCACUUCGGUUUUUGGUAUCAGGUGAGAAAGUUGAUCAAUUGAUAGCCCCAUAUUUUCUGUCUGGGUGGGAUGGACCAAUAUAUUUAGUUUCUUGAAAUAAGUUUAUCUCGAUGGUUUGUAAAUGCAAGUUUAGUCAAUUAUUAUAGUUUAUAAUUGUAGCUUGUCACACUUUAUUAACCACGUGUCUCCAAUGUUGCGGACUAAGGCAUAUGCUAGAUUUUCCCACAGAGUGUCACAACGUUUGUUCUCAAAAAACUUCAAAUGAACGGCUAGUGUUCGGCCAGACAUGUGCUAAUUUUACAUCGGUCAGGUCAGGUCCAAGUAGUUGUUUAUCUUAUCAAAUUUCACUGUGAACCGUGUUGCACAUGCAAACCACAUAACCAAACACAUCCCACGAGGUGAUAUGAUAAGCUCUCGCAUCACGUUUGAUAGGUAUGCGAAAAAGUUGAUGGAGGGAGUGAUGCGGUAAGCCCUCACAUCGUGUUUUAUAAACAGUGGAAAGAGUGGCAUAACCUGUCAUUAAAAAAAACUGUCAUUCGAAUCCUGAUACUUUGUUUUCGUUUGUAUGGAACGAGAAUUAUAUAUAGUAUUUUAAAGAAAAAAAUAUUCCUAUACGUUGGCUAGUGAUGAUUUGUGAAAUUUGAAAGAUGAUAACAUAGGUACUGACAAAUGGUUUAGAUGCUUCAUGCAAAACAACACCACGGCCCAUUCGUUCCCUCCUUGUUUAUUUGAAAGAGUGAAGUUCAAAUUCGAACUCUACUGUUUUCGAGUUUUUAUCUUCUCAAACAAUCACGGUGAACGUGUAACUAGUGAGAGUAUAAAAGCAUGCAAAAAGGUCACCAUAUGUGUUCCCUGUGUGAAUGUGACCAUUUGAAAGUGCGUUAUAUCGACUAGAGGGGGGGUGAAUAGGAGAUUUUUAGAAUUUCAUCACUGAGGAAAUUCCUUUUGAGGAAAUUCCUCACUGAUGACUAACUUACAGCGGAAACAGUUAAGGAUCAGUCGUGCAAUCGUUCACAACAGCAGUAUUGCAGAGUGAAGAUUAUGAAAACAGAUUGCACAGUAAGCGGGCACGCAGAAUACAGAUGAUGUUUAACUCAAGUGAAGAAUUUGGGGUUGAGGAAAUUCAGAGAAAGUCUUCAGCAAAUUCUUCAAACAGUCAUAGUGAAUGUCAUCAACACAUAAUACAGAGAAUGUAAAGAGUUGAGGAAUUAGAACCCGAUUCUUGGUGAAGACAGUUGUUGAUGACCCAGUUCCAACUGCUGUGACAGUUGUACAUCUGGUUUGGAGCGGCUUGGUAUUGAAACCAAAGGACACCCAGUCCCGGGACACACAGUCCCUACCGUACUCUCCUUGAGCUAAGGACACACAGUCAUCGCCCAACACUCGUGGUAAGUCUUCAGGGCAGACUUCCAAACCCUCACAAACUCGGUCACCCGGCGAUCCACAAUUGACUGCUGGAUUGCUCUAGACCAUGACGCCUAACCGUCUGGAGGAUGCACAGUCCUCAAAGGUAAAAGGCUUCAGUCCCACACAGGAACAACUUCUUCAGUGAUGCUCAAUCACUAGGUUUGGUUUGUGGUUUCGGUGGGUGGUGUAUUUCCUCACUGAUGAUUUACUCUCGAAAGCUCUGAGGAAUUUGGGUUGCUCUUAUGACAAGUGUCAGUUUGUAACGGAGCAGCCAACCAGCUAGUGGUUGUGGGGGGCGGCUAUUUAUAGCCUGGGAGCAUCCCGACAUGAUUUGACAUUUAUGCCCUUAAAUAAUAUGACCGUUGGAGUGGAUAAGAUCAGUGACUUGGCGUGGCUUAUCGAAACGGUCGGGACUCUCAACUGUGAGAGUCCUCAUGUCACUCAUAUUCCUCACUUGAGGCUUUUGGUAGUAUUUGGCUUGGGUUGAGCAUCAUGAGGAAAUUCAUUCCAUAGCAUUACUUUGACCCCCUUUAACAGUACGGUGUUCCUAUUCAUCAAAUGCGAAGAAAGUAAAACAGAAAACGUAAAUCUUCAUGCUUCAAUUUCUUCAGAACGAUUUUCUUCAGGAACCACCGAUCUUCUCAAUAUCAAUAUCUUCAUGAGGAAUAUCAAUUUCAUCGCAAUUUCUUCGCGAUUCAUUUCUUCAGCUUCAGACCAAUUUCUUUAACUGAAGACAUAUAUUUUUAGGGGCCGAUAUUCUUCAAAUAUCUCAAACUCCUCAAUGACUUAUAGAUCCUGUGUACACUUAUAAACACAUUAUAUACUUAACCUAUAAGUCUUCAAACCACCAAAAUCACUAAGGGGCACUAGAUGCACUUACACCAUUGUUCCAUGAAUUGUGAGUGGAUGCGGAUUUAGAACGCAAGUUUACGUAUCCUUCUUUGGAAACUUGAAAGGAUUAUAUUUUCUAGAAUUUUAAAAAUCAUGCAAAUGUAGAGAUAAUAGCUAGAAAAUCUCCUUGUAUAUGUUUUUGUUAAAAAUAUGAUCGUUUGUGAGUUGUGCAAACAUCAUGAAUUGAGCUGCAAAGCAAAAUGUUAUGUUAUGAGUUACAUAACUCAAUGCACAUGGGUUUAUUGUUGGGAACGUCGCAUGAAAAAUGAAAUAUUUCCUACACUCACCAAGAUCAAUCUGUGGAGACAAACAUCUACGAGAGUGGAGUGCAUAUACAUAUUCAUGUAGAUCACUAAGCGGAAGCGUUGAGAAACGCGGUUGAUGUAGUCGAACGUCUUCGCGAUCCAAUCAUGAUCCGUCCCGGGACCCAAACACGAACGUCCCGAUCAAGUGUCGAAUGGAUGAUACCCACGCAUUCAGCACACAUACAACUCGAUGACGCCUUCACCUCCUCGAUUCAACGAGCGAGGGUGAAGUGGUAGAUGAGUUCUCCGGCAACACAACGGCGUAGCGGCGGUGCUGGUGGUGCGAUCUCAGCAGGGCUUCGCCAAGCGCUGUCGCAAACAUGUUUCUGAGGAGAAAUCAAUCUAGGGAGAGAGGUAGGGUUGCACAUAUGCAUUGGGGCGGUGUUGACCUCUCUCUACCUCUCUAUAUACAGGAGGAGAGGGUAGGUGGGGCGCAGCCUUGGCCCCUCCUCCAAGGGAGGGUUGGCUGGCCAAGUGGGGAAGAGUCCACCUCCAACAAGGGAGGCGAGCACCCGGGAAGGAGUCCCUCCUCCUCAAGGCACCUCCUCACCUACCACUUGGGCGCAUGGGCCUCUUUGGGGUCGGCUGCGCAGCCCACCAGGGGCUGGUGCGCCACCUCUUAGGCACAUGUGCCCCCCGGGGUGGGUGGGCCCCUCCUGAUGGACCCCCGGAACCCUUUCGACACUCCCCGUACAAAUAGCGGGACCUGGAUGUCCAUAUUAGUUCCUACAUAUUCUACGAAGAUCUUUAUCGGUCGAACCAUGAUGUCAAGGAUUCAAUCAAUCCCAUAUGGAGUUCCCUUUGUCCAUUGGUAUGUUACUUACCAGAGAUACAAUCAUCGAUAUCUCCAUACCUAGUUCAAUCUCGUUACCGACAAGUCUCUUUACUCGUUCCGUAAUACACGAAUCUCGGGCAAGUAACAUACCGAAGGACAAAGGGAAUGACAUACGGGAUUAUAUGAAUCCUUGGCACUGAGGUUCAAUCGAUAAGAUCUUCGUAGAAUAUGUAGGAUCCAAUAUGGGCAUCCAAGUCCCGUUGUUGGAUAUUGACCGAGGAGUCCCUUGGGUCAUGUGUACAUAGUUCUCAAACCCGCAGGGUCUGCACGCUUAAGGUUCGGCGAUGUUUUAUGCGUAUUUGAGUUAUAUGGUUGGUUAGCGAAUGUUGUUAGGAGUCCUGGAUGAGAUCAGAGACGUCAUGAGGGUUUCCAGAAUGGUCCGGAUACGAAUAUUGAUAUAUAGGAUGACCUCAUUUGAUUACCGGAAAGUUUUCGGCAUUACCGGGAAUGUACCAGGAGUGACGAAUGGGUUCCGGAUGUCACCGGGGAGGGCCAGCCCACCCGGGGGAAUCCCAUAGGCCUUAGGGGUGCCGCACCAGCCCUUAGUGGGCUGGUGGGACAACCCAAGAGGCCCUAUACGCAGGAGAAGAAGAAAUCAAAGAGAAAAAAGGGGGAAGUGGGAAAGUGGAGAAGGACUCCACCUCCCACUCCUAGUUGGACUAGGAUUGGAGGAGGACUCCUCUUCCCCCCCUUCGGCCGACCCCUUGAGGCUCCCUUGAGCCUCAAGACAGGUCCCUCCCCCCUCCUAUAUAUAUACUGAGGUAUUAGGACUGAUUUGAGACAACUUUGCCACGACAGCCGGACCACAUACCUCCACGGGUUUUCCUCUAGAUCGUAUUUCUGCGGAGCUCGGACGGAGCCCUGCUGAGAUGGAUCACCACCAACCUCCGGAGCGUCGUCUCGCUGUCGGAGAACUCAUCUACCUCUCCGUCUCUCUUGCUGGAUCAAGAAGGCCGAGAUCAUCGUCGAGCUGUACGUGUGCUGAACGUGGAGGUGUCGUCUGUUCGGCACUAGAUCGGAGCGGAUCGUGGGACGGAUCGCGGGACGGUUCGCGGGGCGGAUCGAGGGACGUGAGGACGUUCCACUACAUCAACCGCGUUUCAUAACGCUUCCUGCUGUGCGAUCUACAAGGGUACGUAGAUCCAAAUCCCCUCUCAUAGAUGGACAUCACCAUGAUAGGUCUUCGUGCGCGUAGGAUUUUUUUUUCCCAUGCGACGUUCCCCAACAGUGGCAUCAUGAUCUAGGUUCAUGCGUAGAUGUCAUCUCGAGUAGAACACAAAAGUUUUUGUGGGUAGUGAUGUGCGAUUUGCUGCCCUCCUUAGUCUUUUCUUGAUUCCGCGGUAUUGUUGGAUCGAAGCGGCUCGGACCGACAUUACUCGUACGCUUACGAGAGACUGGUUUCAUCGCUACGAGCAACCCGUUGCUCAAAGAUGACCGGCGAGUGUCGGUUUCUCCAACUUUAGUUGAAUUGGAUUUGACCAAGGAGGUCCUUGGAGAGAGGUUAAAUAGCAAUUCAUACAUCCCCGUUGUGGUGUUUGCGUAAGUAAGAUGCGAUCCUACUAGAUACCCAUGGCAACCACGUAAAACAUGCAACAACAAUUAGAGGACGUCUAACUUGUUUUUGCAGGGUAUGCUUGUGAUGUGAUAUGGCCGACGAUGUGAUGUGAUAGAUUGGAUGUAUGAGAUGCUCAAUGUUGUAAUAGUUAAUAUCGACUUGCACGUCGAUGGUACGGCAACCGACAGGAGCCAUAGGGUUGUCUUUAAACCAAUGUUUGUGCUUGCAGAUGCAUUUACUAUAUUGCUAGGACGUAGCUUUAGUAGUAAUAGCAUGAGUAGCACGACAACCCCAAUGGCGACACGUUGAUGGAGAUCAUGGUGUGUCGUCGGUGACAAGAAGAUCGUGCUGGUGCUUUGGUGAUGGAGAUCAAGAAGCACAUGAUGAUGGCCAUAUCAUGUCACUUAUGAAUUGCAUGUGAUGUUAAUCCUUUUAUGCACCUUAUUUUGCUUAGAACGACGGUAGCAUUAUGAGGUGAUCUCUCACUAAAAUAAAUUGUGUUCUCCCCGACUGUGCACCGUUGCUACAGUUCGUUGUUUCGAGACACAUACAACGGGUGCAAAACAGUUGCACACGCGGAACACUCGGGUUAAGCUUGACGAGCCUAGCAUGUGCAGACAUGGCCUCGGAACACAUGAGACCGAAAGGUCGAUCAUGAAUCAUAUAGUUGAUAUGAUUAGCAUAGGGAUGCUUACCACUGAAACUAUCCUCAACUCACGUGAUGAUCGGACUUGAGCUAGUGGAAUUGGAUCAUGAACCACUCAAAUGACUAGAGAGAUGUACUUUUUGAGUGGGAGUUUAGCAAGUAAUUUGAUUAGUUAAACUCUAAUUAUCUUGAACAUGGUCUAAGUCCACUUUGAAAAUAUUUGUGUUGUAGAUCAAUAGCUCACGCGAUAGUCAUCCUGAAUUUUAAUACGUUCCUAGAGAAAGCUAAGUUGAAAGAUGAUGGAAGCAACUUUGUAGACUGGGCUCGUAAUCUUAAGUUGCUCGUGCAAGCUGGGAAAAAGGAUUAUGUCCUUAAUGCUGCGCUAGGAGAUGAACCACUCGCCGCGGCUGACCAAGAUGCUAAGGACGCUUGGUUAGCACGCAAGGAGGACUACUCAGUAGUUCAAUGUGCAGUCUUGUAUGGCUUAGAACCGGGACUUCAACGUCGCUUUGAGCAUCAUGGAGCAUAUGAUAUGUUCCGGGAGUUGAAGUUUAUCUUUCAUAAGAAAUCCCGGAUUGAGAGGUAUGAGACCUCCGAUAAAUUCUAUGCUUGCAAGAUGGAGGAGAAUUCGUCUGUUAGUGAACAUGUGCUCAAAAUGUGUGGGUACUCAAACCGUCUAGCUGAGUUGGGGAUUGAACUCCCGCAAGAGGCUAUCACUGACAGAAUUCUUCAAUCACUGCCACCAAGCUAUAAGGGCUUUGUGUUGAACUAUAACAUGCAAGGGAUGAACAAGUCACCCGGCGAGUUAUUCACGAUGCUGAAAGUCGCAGAGUCAGAACUCCGUAAAGAGCAUCAAGUGUUGAUGGUGAAUAAGACCACUAGUUUCAAGAGAAACGGCAAAGGAAAGAAGGGUAAUUCAAAGAAGAGCGGCAAGCCUGUUGCCAAUCUGACGAAGAAACCCAAAGCUGGACAUAAGCCUGAAACAGAGUGCUAUUAUUGCAAGGGUAUGGGUCACUGGAAGCGCAACAACCCCAAGUAUCUAGCUGAUAAGAAGGCGGGCAAAGAAAAAUUAGGUAUAUUCGAUAUACAUGUUAUUGAUGUGUACUUAACGAGCUCUCGUAGUAGUGUCUGAGUAUUCGAUACCGGUUUUGUUGCUCAUAUUUGCAACUCGAAAUAGGAACUGCGGAAUAAGCGAAGGCUGGCAAAGGAUGAAGUGACGAUGCGCGUGGGAAAUGGUUCCAAGGUUGAUGCAAUCGCCGUUGGCACAGUUUCACUUUGGUUACCAUCAGGAUUAGUUAUGAACUUAAAUAAAUGUUAUUUAGUGCCUGCGUUAAGCAUGAACAUUAUAUCUGGAUCUUGUUUAUUGCGAGACGGUUACUCAUUUAAGUCAGAGAAUAAUGGUUGUUCUAUUUCUAUGAGUAAUAUCUUUUAUGGUCAUGCACCCAGUGUGAGAGGAUUGUUCAUAUUGAAUCUUGAUAGUGAUAAUACACAUAUACAUAACAUUGAGACCAAACGAGUUAGAGUUAACAAUGAUAGCGCCAUGUUUUUAUGGCACUGUCGCUUAGGUCAUAUAGGUGUAAAGCGCAUGAAGAAACUCCAUACCGAUGGAUUUUUGGAGUCACUUGACUUUGAUUCACUUGACACGUGCGAACCACGCCUCAUGGGCAAGAUGACUAAAACUCCGUUCUCCGGAACAAUGGAGCGUGCAAGUGACUUGUUGGAAAUCAUACAUACCGAUGUGUGUGGUCCGAUGAGUGUGGAGGCACGCGGCAUAUAUCGUUAUUUUCUCACCUUCACUGACGAUUUGAGUAGAUAUGGUUAUGUCUACUUGAUGAAGCACAAGUAUGAAACAUUUGAAAAGUUCAAGCAAUUUUAGAGUGAAGUUGAAAAUCAUCGUAACAAGAAGAUCAAGUUCCUACGGUCUGAUCAUGGGGGUGAAUAUCUGAGUUUCGAGUUUGGUGCUCACUUAAGACAAUGUGGAAUUGUUUCACAGUUGACACCGCCUGGAACACCACAGCGUAAUGGUGUGUUCGAACGUUGUAAUCGUAAUUUAUUAGAGAUGGUGCGAUCUAUGAUGUCUCUUAUCGAUUUGCCGUUAUCGUUUUGGGGUUAUGCAUUAGAAACAACUACAUUUACUUUAAAUAGGGCACCAUCGGAAUCCAUUGAGACGACACCGUAUCAGCUGUGGUAUGGCAAAAGACCAAAGUUGUCGUUUCUUAAAGUUUGGGGAUGUGAUGCUUAUGUCAAAAAGCUUCAGCCUGAAAAGUGUUUGUUGCUAAGAAUGGAGCUUUUCUCGAGAAGGAGUUUCUCUCGAGAGAAUUGAGUGGGAGGAAGAUAGAACUUGAUGAGGUUGUCGAACCUUUCAUCCCUCUGGAUGGUGGCGUAGGGCAAGGGGAAACCCCUCUCGUUGCGAUGCCGGUUGAGGAGGAAGUUAAUGAUGAUGAUCAUGAAACUUCAAAUCAAGUUCCUAUCGAACCUCGCAGGUCGACGAGACCGCGUACUACUACAGAGUGGUACGGUAAUCCCCUCUUAUCAAUUAUGUUGUUGGACAACAAUGAGCCUGCGAAUUAUGAAGAAGCAAUGGUGGGCCCGGAUUCCAACAAAUGGCUGGAGGCCAUGAAGUCCGAGAUAGGAUCAAUGUAUGAAAACAAAGUGUGGACUUUGGAAGUACUACCUGAAGGCCGCAAGGCUAUUCAAAACAAACGGAUCUUUAAGAAGAAGACGGAUGCUGAGGGUAAUGUGACCGUUUAUAAAGCUCGACUUGUGGCAAAGGUUUUUUCACAAGUUCAAGGAAUUGACUACGAUGAGACAUUCUCACCCGUAGCGAUGCUUAAGUCCGUCAGAAUCAUGUUAGCAAUAGCUGCAUUUUUCGAUUAUGAAAUCUGGCAGAUGGAUGUUUAAACGGCGUUCCUUAACGGUUUCCUUAAGGAAGAGUUGUAUAUGAUGCAAACCGAAGGUUUUGUCGAUACUAAAAAUGCUAACAAAGUGUGCAAGCUCCAGUGAUCCAUUUAUGGACUGGUGCAAGCAUCUCGGAGUUGGAAUAAACGCUUUGAUGAGGUGAUCAUAGCAUUUGGGUUUAUACAGGUGGUUGGAGAAUCCUGUAUUUACAAGAAAGUGAGUGGGAGCUCUGUGGCGUUUCUAAUAUUAUAUGUGGAUGACAUAUUGUUGAUUGGAAACAACGUGGAGAUUUUGGAGAGCAUAAAAGGUUACUUGAAUAAAAGUUUCUCUAUGAAGGACCUAGGAGAAGCUGCUUACAUUCUAGGUAUUAAGAUCUAUAGGGAUAGAUCGAAACGCCUGAUAGGACUUUCACAAAGCACAUACCUUGAUAAAGUUUUGAAGAAGUUCAAAAUGGAUCAGUCCAAGAAAGGGUUCUUGCCAGUAUUACAAGGUAUAAAAUUGAGUAAGACUCAGUGCCCAGCAACCGAGGAAGAUAGAAAGACAAUGAGUUCCGUCCCCUACGCUUCAACCGUAGGUUCUAUCAUGUAUGCAAUGAUGUGCACUAGACCGGACGUUAACCUAGCCAUAAGUAUGGCAGGCAGGUUCCAGAGUAAUCCAGGAGUGGAUCACUGGACGGCGGUCAGGAAUAUCCUGAAGUACCUGAAAAGGACUAAGGAGAUGUUUCUCGUAUAUGGAGGUGACAAAGAGCUCGCCGUAAAAGGUUACGUCAAUGCAAGCUUUGACACAUAUCCGGAUGACUCUAAGUCGUAGACCGGAUACGUAUUUAUUCUUAAUGGGGGUGCGGUAAGCUGGUGCAGUUCCAAGCAAAGCAUCGUAGCUGAUUCUACAUGUGAAGCGGAGUACAUGGCCGCCUCGGAGGCAGCUAAGGAGGGUGUCUUGAUGAAGCAGUUAAUGACGCAUCUUGGAGUGGUGCCGAGCGCACUGAAUCCAAUAACCCUGUUUUGUGACAACACGGGUGCCAUUGCCUUAGCAAAGGAACCACGGUUUCACAAGAAGACCAGACACAUGACUCCGUGACAACAGACCUUCCCCUGCAACGGCACCAGAAGAAUGCUGCUAGCACUCUCCGAUAAUCGAAACUAGAAGAAUGUUGUUGACGGCCCACGAGCGCGUGGGAUCACAACAGUUUUCGAGGGUAGAGUAUUCGACCCAAAUUUGUUGAUACGCCAAACAGGAGGUGAGAGGAUACUCUCAAGUAUUAGCAGCUGAAUGUGUCAUUUUCAACCACACCAGAAAGAUUAGUAUCUGCAAGCAAAGAGUCAGCAACAAAGUAGUAUGAUAACAACGGUGUCAGAAACGAUCUGUUGACGGCAGACUAUUCCUAACGAUUGUAUCAAUGUCGCCAGAAGUUGCCCGUUGAUGGAAAUUGUCUGUUCCCGUCAACGACCAGUGAAUCAAACUUGUAGCAGGUAGCAGCCGUGUAACGAGUAAUAGCAGUGGCAAGAAACAACAGUAAUGACAACAGUAGCAAGUAGCAACAGUAGCAAACGACAGUAGUAACAGCAGUAGCAGCAGAGCAAGAUAAGUAACAGCAGUAGCAGCAGAGCAAGAUAAGUAACAGCAGUAGCAGUAGAGCAAGACAAGUAACAUCAGCAGUAGGACAAACUCGUAGGUAAUGGGUCGGUGAUUUGUUUGGAUGAUAUUCAUCAUGCAACAGUUAUAACACGGAGAGAUAUGUGGCUAGCUCCCGUUCGUCAAUGUGAUGUAGGCAUGCAUUCUGUGUGUCUUCAUACGUGUUUAGGGAAAAGUACUCGCAUCACAUCUAUUGUCCAUCCCUCCCGUGGCAGCAGGGUCCAAAAGGAAACUACGGGAUAUUAAGGUUCUCCUUUUAAUAAAGAACCGGACCAACGCAUUAGCACUUGGUGAACACAUGAACUCCUCAAACUAUGGUCAUCACCGGGAGUGGUUCCGGUUAUUGUCACUCAGGGGUUGCCGGAUCAUAACACAUAGUAGGUAACUACAACUUGCAAGAUCGGAUCUAAAACACACAUAUAUUGGUGACAACAUAAUAAUUUCAGAUCUGAAAUCAUGGCACUCGGGCCCUAGUGACAAGCAUUAAGCAUGGCAAAGUAGUAGCAACAUCAAUCUCAGAACAUAGUGGAUACUAGGGAUCAAUCCCCGUCAAAACUAACUCGAUUACAUGAUAGAUCUCAUCCUACUCAUCACCGCCCAGCGAGCCUACAAAUAGAUUAAUCACGAACGAUGAAGAGCUUCAUGGAAUUGGAGAGGGAAGAAGGUUGAUGAUGACGAUGGCGACGAUUUCCCCUCUCCGGAGCCCAAAACGGACUCCAGAUCUGCCUUCCAGAUGAAGAACAGGAUGUGGCGGCACCUCCGUAUCGCAAACGCGACGAAAUCUUCUCUCUUUAUUUUUUCUGGGACGAAAGUGAACUUAUAGAGCUGAGAUUGGGGGCGGCAGAGCCACGUGGGCCCCACAAGCUUGCUAGCCGACACCAGGGGGGUGGCAGCUAUAGGGCUUGUGGCCCACUGGCCCACCCCCUCUGGUGGAUCUUUGCGCAGGAAUUUUUUGAUAUUUUCCAGAAAUAUUCUCCGUAAAUAUUCAGGACGUUUUGAGAACUUUCAUUUCUGCACAAAAACAACACCAAGGCAAUUCUGCUGAAAACAGCGUUAGUCCAGGUUAGUUCCAUUUAAAUCAUGCAAAUUAGAGUCCAAAACAAGGGCAAAAGAGUUUGGAAAAGUAGAUACGAUGGAGACGUAUCAACUCCCCCAAGCUUAAAACCUUGCUUGUCCUCAAGCAACUCAGUUGACAAACUGAGAGAGAAAGAAAAACUUUGACAAACUCUGUUUGAUCUUGUUGUUGCAACUAUGUCUAACUCAUAACCAGAAUUUCAGCAAGAUCACAAGUUAACCACAUAAGCAAGUGACACAAAGGUCUCACGGUAAACUAAUAUCAAUGGCAUAAUCAGCUAACGAGCAAAUAAUAAUGAGUUUCAAAUACCAACACUUCAAUCAAAACAAGCAUGAAGCAAUAUGAAUAGGUGGUAUCUCGCUAGCUCUUUCUGAGACCGCAAAACAUAAAUGCAAAGCACUUUCAAAGAUCAAGGGUUGACUAAACAUUGUAAUUCAUAGCAACGAAGAUCCAGUCAUAGUCAUACUCAAUAUCAAUCAAAAGCAAAGCAUAAAAAUGACAGAGGUGCUCUCUAAUUGGUGCUUAUAAAAGAGGAGGAUGACUCAACAGGAAAAUAAAUAGACAGGCCCUUCGCAGAGGGAAGCGUUGAUUUGCAGAGGUGCCAAAGCUCAAGCUUUGAAAACAGAGAUAAUAAUUUUGGGUGGCAUGCUUUCAUUGUCAACGCAAUGACCAAGAGUUCUCAAUAUCUUCCAUGCUACUCAUGCUAUAGGCGGUUCCCAAACAGAGAAGUAAAGUUUUAACUCCCCCACCACCAAUCAAUCACACUCCAUGGCUAGCCGAAUCCUCGGGUACCGUCCAUACUAACAUCAAUCCGGGGGGAGUCUUAUUUGACAGUUAUGUUUUCGAUUUAAGCAUGGAACUGGGCAUUCCAAUUGCCGGCCCCUUUCUCGUGAAUGACAGUGAACAAACACAUGUCGAGGAUAACACUCCUAGCAUGGAAGAUACCAAUAGCCCCCUGUCACCACAUGAGCGGUUCAGGCAUGCAAAACAUAUUAUUUCUUGAAGGUUUAGAGAGUGGCACAUGCAAAUUUACUUGGAACGGCAGGUAGAUACCGCAAAUAGGUAGGUAUGAUGGACUCUCAUGGAAAAAAAAUUGGGUUUAUGGAAGUGGAUGCACAAGCAGUAUUCCGCUUAGUACAAGUGAAGGCUAGCAAAAGAUUGGGAAGCGACCAACUAGAGAGCGACAACAGUCAUCAAGAUGCAAUGAGUUUGACUAACAUUGAAUGCAAGCAUGAACAAGAUAUAAAUCACCAUGAACAUGAACAUCAUAGAGGCUAUGUUGAUUUUGUUUCAACUACAUGCAUGAACAUGCGCCAAGUCAAGCCACUUGAAUCAUUCAAAGGAGAAUACCAUCCUAUCAUACUACAUCAUAGUCAUCUCAAAAUCUAUGUUGGCAAUCAAGACAAACCAUUAUAAGCUCUCAGCUAGUUAAGCAUGGCAUCAGAAACUAUGAUCUCUAAGUUGUCAUUGCAAACAUGGUUCUCUCACAACAAAGCUGAAUCAGGCAUGACAAGCUAGUCAUAUUUACAAAAACAAAAUAGAUAGAGUUCAUACCAGCUUUUUCAGUCUCAGUCACUUCAUCAUAUAUCAUCAUUAUUGCCUUUCAUUUGCACGACGGACGAUGUGAACAAUAAUAAGAGCAUUGGACUAAGCUGAAUCUGCAGGCAAACACAAAGGAGAAGACAAAGUAAUAUGGCUCUUUGAAAGCUAAACAGGUAUGCAUGCAAGAACCACUAAACAUUGUAACCAAUAUCUUCUACCUUGACCCAAAGAAAAAGAAAACUAAUUACACGGGAAAGCUCCCAACAAGCAAAAGAAGAAAGGAAAAUAUUUUUGGGUUUUCUCAAAAGGACACAAAACAAGAAAACGAAAACGAAAAUAAACUAGCCUGGAUAAUAUAGUGGCGAAGUGUAAACACCGGCUAACAAAGUGAAAGCAUAAGCAUGAACGUAAAGUCGAUGAGAACACGUACUCCCCCAAGCUUAGGCUUUUGGCCUAGCUUGGUCUACUUCCAAGGUGGGAAAUAACCAACUCCGGGAUACUCCGGAGCAGACUGUGGAUGCCACUGCUGUGUGAUCUCCUCUGGCUCCCACUGAUAAACCGGCGUCUGGUACUCGACUGGCGGCUCGGGCGCAUGCACCUGUGGUUGGGCCAAGCCCCAAUAUGCGUAGAUGUCCGAGGGCAUAAUAGUGUACCUGCCUGCAUGAAUAUCGAACAAACAAGGAGCAGGCAAAGUAAUAGUCUCUCGAGUACCCUGACUAAAUACCAGGUUAUAAAUCAUCCGUCUACUAGCAUCUCUAUCCGGAAAAUCAUGGCGAACCAUGCUGUCAUAAUCAAGAUAUUUCUCACGGAGAAGCAUCUCUCCUUCCUCUCCCAGUCUAAUGGGUAUCUCAAAGUGUCUGGCAAGACGGGUAGCAUAGAUACCUCCAUAGACGACACCCUUGAAACGGUUGGUGUUCAACCGCUGGGUUACUAUAACACCUAGGCUAUAAGUCUUAUUGUUAUAAAGGACUUCGCACAAAACAGCAAGGUCUGGAGAACUAAGUGAUUCAGCCUCCCAUGACCAAUCAAACAUUUUCCCACAAAUAGUGUGAAGUACCGAAGCACAGGAAAAUGUAUGCUAGCAAGAGACACUCCUCUCUCCUCUCCAACAACAAUAGUACCAAUGAAGUCCUCCAAGUCCCGUGGACGAGGGUCACAUAUAUCACCAACAUAAGGUAAUUUGCAUACAUUGAAAAAAUCAUGUAGUGUCAUGCACUGGGGGACAUCGUAUAUCAUGAACUCAAGCAUGGGAGGAUUCUUCCUCGGAUAAAAGUUGAAGCUUUGAACGAAAAUAUUGGUGAGGAGGAGGUAUUGUGAGCACUUAUCUUCAACGAACGUAGUAAGACCUGCGUUCUCCACCAAGUAAUAAAAGUCUUCAUAAAGCCGAGCGGCGCGCAAAAAUUCAUCACUUGGCCAUUCGCACGCUCGAACUUCUGUGACUCGAGGGACUACGUACUUGGGGUGGUUCUUCUCAUCCUCCUUGGGGUUACGGCUUGAGGAGCCUCUCAAGAACCUCCUCAUAUUUUCCUUUUUAUAGCUCUGAAAAAUUCUGAAAUUUUUAGAGACUUCGAAAGAAAAGUGAAUAAAGAUUAACCCAACUUGUAGAAACUACUCCUACUAGUGCCUAGAGAACGUAUCACGCGCUAAAACUACUUGGAACCAGCUAAAAUCCACAUUUCUAGCUCAAGAACAGGGUCACCAAGGUAGCAAGAAUACGCGAAGGAUAAAGCACUAGAGCAAAAACUAAUUGGACCAAUGGAGGAGUCACUUACCAAGGAGUAAUUUCCCCAAAACGGUUCGGAUAAUGGUGCUUUGAGCAAGGAGAUCGAAAAUCACAGCCAAAUGAGCAAGAACACGGGUUUGAGCUGCUAAACAAUUUUUUCUUGAGGUGGAAGAAGAGGAUGUGAGCUGGAAUGAGUGGAGGGGCUCCCUGUGGGCCCCACAAGCUUGCUAGCCUCCACCAGGGGGGUGGCGGCUAUAGGGCUUGUGGCCCACUGGUCAGGCCCCCAGGCCAGCUCUUAGGCCCAAUAUUUUUCAAAUAUUCCAAAAAAAAUCAUACUAAAAUUUUAGGACCAUCGGAGAACUUUUAUUUUCGGGGUAUUUUUCUCCAGGACGCUAAAACAGAAAACAGGAAAAACCAAACUAAAUCUAUCAUUUUUCUUCUAAGCAACAGAAAGUGAAAGCUCAAAACAGAGGUAUGUGACUCUUUGAUUCAUCCAUUUCAUGGUCAUCGAAAGAAAUCUGUCAAUGGGGUUGAUCAAAUCCUUUUGCCAAACCUUUUCGAAUCGCAAGAGAGAACGGAGAAUUUUCGAAUAGCCACUAAGUCACCUCAAUGGGGAUAUGUAUCUCCCCAACAAGCAAAUCAUACUUCAUCUUGACACGAGGAAUAGGGCAUUCAAAGCUCCCAAUAAGAAUCGAUGAAGUCUUUUCGAUAGCAUUGAUGCAAUGUACUUGAUAUCGUUUCUUCGGAAAGACUGUGUGCUCAUUACCGUUGACAUGGAAAGUGACAUUGCCUUUGUUGCAAUCUAUAACAGCCCUUGCAGUGUUUAAAAAGGGUCUUCCGAGGAUGACAGCCAUGGCAUCGUCCUCGGGAAUAUCCAAGAUAACAAAGCCUGUUAAGAUAGUGGUGUUAGCAACCACAACAGGCACAUCCUCGCAAAUGCCGAUAGGGAAAGCAGUUGAUUUGUCGGCCAUUUGCAGAGAAAUUUCAGUGGGUGUCAACUUAUCCAAUUCAAGUCUUCGAUAAAGACAGAGAGGCAUAACACUAACACCGGCUCCAAGGUCACAUAAGGCAGUUCUUACGUAGUUUCCUUUAAUGCAGCAAGGUAUAGUGGGCACUCCAGAAUCACCAAGUUUCUUAGGAGUUCCACCUUUGAAAGUGUAAUUGGCAAGCAUGGUGGAGAUCUCAAGAUCUCGUAUCUUCCGUUUAUUAGUCACGAUAUCCUUCAUGUACUUGGCAUAAGGAGACAUUUUGAGCAUAUUAGUUAACCUCAUCUGCAGAAAGAUGGGUCUUAUCAUCUCAACGAAGCGCUCAAAGUCCUCAUCAUCCUUUUUCUUGGAUGGCUUAGAAGGAAAGGGCAUAGGUCUCUGAACCCAUGGCUCCCUUUCUUUACCAUGCUUCCUAGCAGUGAAGUCAUUCUUAUCGUAUCUUUAGGUUGUGCGUUAUCACGAUUAACCGUAGGUUCAAUCUCCACAUCCUCAUUAUUGCUAGGUUGAGCAUUAUUAUGAACAUUGUUGUCCAUAUUAUCACCAGGUUCAUGUUCAUCACCAGAUUGUGUUUCUGCAUCAAACGCAGAAAUAUCAUUAGGUUCUUCAGGUGUGACAGUAUUUGGUGAACUAGCAUGUAGGUUUCUAUCAUCCUUCUUCUUCUCCUUAGGAUGACUGGGUGUAUCAGCAUUAAUUCCUUGAGAAUCUUGAUCAAUUCUCUUAGGAUGACCUUCAGGAUACAAAGGUUCCUGAGUCAUUUUGCCUCCUCUAGUAAUGACUCUGACAGAGUUGUCAUUUAAUUCAUUGAGCAAGUCAUUCUGAGCUUUAAGUACUUGUUCUACCCGAGUAGUAAUCAUAGAGGCAUGUUUACUCAGAAGCUUCGGAUCAUUGAUAUUUCUGUCUACACAAGCACUUAAAUGGCUAAGCAUACGAGUACUUUGUUCCAAAUGUCUGCUAACAUAAUCAUUGAAACUCUGUUGUUUGGCAACAAAGUUGUCAAAUUCAUCAAAGCAUAGGCUAGCAAGUUUGUCAAAAGGAAUAUCACUCUCGUCAAACCUACGCAGAGAAUUCACUUCUACUACUUGUAUCGGGUUAUCGAGACCAUGGAUCUCUUCGAUAGGUGGUAGAUUUUUGACAUCUUCAGAUCUAAUGCCUUUCUCUUGCAUAUAUUUCUUGGCUUCUUGCAUAUCUUUGGGACUGAGGAAUAGAAUACCUCUUUUCUUAGGAGUUGGCUUAGGAGGUGGUUCGGGAAUAGUCCAAGCAUUAUCAUUGAUCAAGAUGUUAUUCAGUAGAGUCUCAGCUUGUUCGACAGUUGGUUCCCUAAAAACACAACCGACACAACUAUCUAGGUGGUCUCUAGAGGUAUCAGUAAGUCCGUUAUAGAAGAUAUCAAGUGUCUCGUUCUUCUUAAGAGGGUGAUCAGGCAAAGCAUUUUGUAGCUGGACGAGCCUCCCCAAGUUUGUGGGAGACUCUCUUCUUGGAGUUGAGCAAAGUUGUAUAUUUCCUGCAAGGCAGCUUGCUUCUUAUGGGCAGGGAAAUAUUUCUCACAGAAGUAAUAGACCAUAUCCUGGGGACUACUCACACAUCCAGGAGCAAGAGAGGUGAACCAGGCUUUAGCGUCAUCCUUUAGAGAGAAAGGAAACAACUUAAGGAUGUAGUAGUGGUGGAUCUUCUCCUCACUGGUGAAAAGGGUGGCUAUAUCGUGUAGUUUGGUAAGAUGGGCUACGACCGUCUCAGACUCAUAACAGUGGAAAGGAUCAGAUUCGACUAGAGAGAUUAUCUCAGGAUCGACAGAGAAUUCAUAAUCCUUAUUGGUGAUAAAGAUAGGUGAAGUGGCAAACUUCGGGUCGUAUUUCGUCCUAGCUUUCAGAGAUUUUUCCUUCCACUUGAGAAGUAAGUUCUCAGCGUCAUAGGCAUCCUUACACGCAAGAAAAUCCUCAGCUAUCUCUCCCUACAUAAUGUAACCCUCAUGUAUAUCAGGCAAUUCAUAUCUAGGAGAGCUAGAUCUAGCAGGAGCAAAAGCAGGUUCUAUCUUAAUAGUAUCGGAAGUUUCAGAAGCAUCACGAGCAUUGGUAGUAAAUCUAGCAAUAUGAGCAUCAAGGAACACCCUAGUGGAACAUCAGGCAAAGUAGUAUCUCUAGCAGUAUCAAGCAUAGCAUCAUCAGGCAUAAUAGCAUCUCUAGCAUCAUCAGGCAAAGCAGUAUCAGGCAUAACAUCUCUAGCAUCAUCGGGCAUAACAUCUCUAGCAGUAUCAGGCAAAGCAUCUCUAGUAGUAGCAUCAUAAGCAUCAUCAAGCACAUGCGACAUAUCAAGAUUUCUAGCAGGAGGUGAUGUCGCAAACUUACUCAUAACUGAAGGUGAAUCAAGUGCAGAGCUAGAUGGCAGUUCCUUACCUCCCCUCGUAGUUGAGGGCAAGACUUUGGUUUUCGGGUCCUUCAGAUUCUUCAUAGUGAUCAGUAGAUAUAAAUCCCAAGUAACUCAGAGAAUAUAGCAAUACCUCCCCGUCAACGGUGCCAGAAAAAUGUUGACUCGGUGACAACAGACCUUCCCCUACAACGGCACCAGAAGAAUGCUGCUAGCACUCUCCGGCAAUCGCAACUAGAAGAAUGUUGUUGAUGGCCCACCAGCGCGUGGGAUCGCAGCACUUUUCGAGGGUAGAGUAUUCGACCCAAAUUUGUUGAUACGCCAAACAGGAGGUGAGAGGAUACUCUCAAGUAUUAGCAGCUGAAUGUGUCAUAUUCAACCACACCUGAAAGAUUAGUAUCUGCAAGCAAAGAGUCAGCAGCAAAGUAGUAUGAUAACAACGGUGUCAGAAACGAUCUGUUGACGGCAGACUAUUCCUAACGAUCGUAUCAAUGGCGCCAGAAGUUGCCCGUUGACGGAAAUUGCCUGUUCCCGUCAACGACCAGCGAAUCAAACUUGUAGCAGGUAGCAGCAGUCUAACGAGUAAUAGCAGUGGCAAGGAACAUCAGUAAUGACAGCAGUAGCAAGUAGCAACAGUAGCAAGCGACAGUAGUAACAGCAGUGGUAGCAGAGCAAGAUAAGUAACAGCAGUAGCAGCAGAGCAAGACAAGUAACAACAACAGUGGGACAAACUCGUAGGUAAUGGGUCGGUGAUUUGUUUGGAUGAUAUUCAUCAUGCAACAGUUAUAACACGGAGAGAUAUGUGGCUAGCUCCCGUUUGUCAAUGUGAUGUAGGCAUGCAUUCCGUGUGUCGUCAUACGUGCUUAGGGAAAAGAACUUGCAUGACAUCUAUUGUCCAUCCCUCCCGUGGCAGCGGGGUCCAAAAGGAAACUAGGGAUAUUAAGGUUCUCCUUUUAAUAAAGAACCAGGCCAACGCAUUAGCACUUGGUGAACACAUGAACUCCUCAAACUAUGGUCAUCACCGGGAGUGGUUCCGGUUAUUGUCACUUUGGGGUUGCUGGACCGUAACACAUAGUAGGUAACUACAACUUGCAAGAUCGGAUCUAAAACACACAUAUAUUGGUGACAACAUAAUAAUUUCGGCAAAAUAGUAGCAACAAUCUCAUAACAUAGUGGAUACUACGGAUCAAUCCCCGUCAAAACUAACUCGAUUACAUGAUAGAUCUCAUCCUACUCAUCACCGCCCAGCGAGCCUACGAAUAGAUUACUCAUGAACGAUGAAGAACUUCAUGGAAUUGGAGAGGGAAGAAGGUUGAUGAUGACGAUUGAUGUCUACUACGCAACCUUCUCCGUGUAGACGUUGUUGGGCCUCCAAGUGCAGAGGGUUGUAGGACAGUAGCAAUUUUCCCUCAAGUGGGUGACCUAAGGUUUAUCAAUCCGCGGGAGGCGUAGGAUGAAGAUGGUCUCUCUCAAACAACCCUGAAACCAAAUAACAAAGAGUCUGUUGUGUCCCCAACACACCUAAUACAAUGGUAAAUUGUAUAGGUGCACUAGUUCGGCGAAGAGAUGGUGAAACAAGUGCAAUAUGGAUGGUAGAUAUAGGUUUUUGUAAUCUGAAAUUACAAAAACAGCAAGGUAACUAGUAACAAAAGUGAGCACGAACGGUAUUGCAAUGCGUGGAAACAAGGCCUAGGGUUCAUACUUUCACUAGUGAAGUUCUCUCAACAAUGAUAACAUAAUUGGAUCAUAUAACUAGCCCUCAACAUGCAACAAAGAGUCACUCCAAAGUCACUAAUAGCGGGGAACAAACGAAGAGAUUAUUGUCGGGUACGAAACCACCACAAAGUUAUUCUUUCUGAUCGAUCUAUCAUAGAGUUCGUACUAGAAUAACACCUUAAGAUACAUAUCAACCAAGACCCUCAUGUCACCUAGAUACUCCAUUGUCACCUCAAGUAUCCGUGGGUAUGAUUAUACGAUAUGCAUCACACAAUCUCAGAAUCAUCUAUUCAACCAACACAUAGAACUUCAAAGAGUGCCCCAAAGUUUCUACCAGAGAGUCAAAACGUGUGCCAACCCCUGUGCAUAGGUUCCCAAUGUCACGAACCCGCAAGUUGAUCACCAAAACAUACAUCAAGUACUCACAUGAAUCCACGUGUGCCAACCCAUAUGCAUAGGUUCCCAAUUGUCACAAACCCGCAAGUUGAUCACAGCAGAUAGACACGUGCAAGACAUACAUCAAGUGUUCUCAAAGACUCAAUCCGAUAAAAUAACUCCAAAGGGGAAACUCAAUUCAUUACAAGAGGGAGAGGGGGAAGAACAUCAUAAGAUCCAACUAUAGUAGCAAAGCCCAUGGUACAUCGAGAUCAAGACAUCUCAAGAACACGAGAGAGAGAUCAAACACAUAGCUACUGGUACAUACCCUCAGCCCCGAGGGGGAACUACUCCCUCCUCGUCAUGGAGAUCGCCGGGAUGAUGAAGAUGGCCACCGGAGAUGGAUUCCCCCUCCGGCAGGGUGCCGGAACGAGCUCCAGAUUGGUUUUUGGUGGCUACAGAGGCUUGCGACGGCGGAACUCCCGGUCUAGGUUUCUUUUGGGGGGUUUCUGAAUUUAUAGGAAUUUAUGGUGGUAGAAUUGCGUCAGUUGGGCCCACGAGGAGGUCACAAGCGUGCGCGCCACCACCGUUGGGGGGCGGGUGGUGGCGGCGUGAGGGCUUGUGACUCCCUCGUGGCCCAUCUGGCCUUCUCCCAAAGCUUCGGGGGUCUCUUUUGGUCCAAAAAAAAUCAUCGUAAAGUUUCAUUCCAUUUGGACUCCGUCUGAAAAUGGGCCAAAAACACGGAUAAAACAGAAACCGGCACUUGGCACUGAGUUAAUAGGUUAGUCCCAAAAAAGAUAUAAAAUAGCAUAUUCAUGCAUAUAAAACAUCCAAAGUUGACAAGAUAAUAGCAUGGAACCAUAAAAAAUUAUAGAUACGUUGGAGAAGUAUCAACGAUGGCGACGAUUUCCCCUCUCCGGAGCCCAAAACGGACUCCAGAUCUACCCUCCAGAUGAAGAACAUGAUGUGGCGGCGCCUCCGUAUCGCAAACGCGACGAAAUCUUCUCUCUUUAUUUUUUCUGGGACGACAGUGAACUUAUAGAGCUGAGAUUGGGGGCGGCAGAGCCACGUGGGCCCCACAAGCUUGCUAGCCGCCACCAGGGGGUGGCGGCUACAUGGCUUGUGGCCCACUGGCCCACCCCCUCAGGUGGAUCUUUGCGCAGGUAUUUUUCAUAUUUUUCAGAAAUAUUCUCCGUAAAUUUUCAGGACGUUGUGAGAACUUUCAUUUCUGCACAAAAACAACACGAAGGCAAUUCUGCUGAAAACAGCGUCAGUCCAGGUUAGUUCCAUUCGAAUCAUGCAAAUUAGAUUCCAAAACAAGGGCAAAAGAGUUAGAAAAAGUAGAUACGAUGGAGACGUAUCAACACAUCAAACGACGCUUCAACCUCAUCCGUGACUACGUCAAGGAGGAGGACGUGAAUAUCUGCAAAGUGCACACGGAUCUGAAUGUGGUAGACCCGCUGACUAAACCUCUUCCAGGGGCAUAGCAUGAUCAACACCAGAACUGUAUGGGUGUUAGAUUUAUUACAAUGUAAUUCACAUGACGAUGUGAGGGCUAGCUUAUUGACUCUAGUGCAAGUGGGAGAUUAUUGGAAUUAUGCCCUAGAGGCAAUGAUAAAUAAGUUAUUAUUAUAAUUCCUGUAUCAAGAUAUUCAUUUAUUAUCCAUGCUAUAACUGUGUUGAAUGAAGACUUAGAUACAUGUGUGGAUACAUAGACAAAACACUGUCCCUAGCAAGCCUCUAGUUGGCUAGCCAGUUGACCAAGGAUAGUCAAGGUCUUCUGACUAUGUGCAAGGUGUUGUUGCUUGAUAACCGGAUCACAUCAUUGGGUGAAUCAUGUGAUGGACUAGACCCAAACUAAUGAACGUAGCAUGUUGAUCGUGUCAUUUUGUUGCUACUGUUUUCUGCGUGUCAAGUAUUUAUUCCUAUGACCAUGAGAUCAUAUAACUCACUGGCAACAGAGGAAUACCUUGUGUGUAUCAAACGUCACAACGUAACUGAGUGACUAUAAAGAUGCUCUACAGGUAUCUCCGAAGGUGUCCGUUGAGUUAGUAUGUAUCAAGACUGGGAUUUGUCACUCCGUGUGACGGAGAGGUAUCUCGGGACCCACUCGGUAAUACAACAUCACACACAAGCCUUGCAAGCAAAGUGACUUAGUGUAAGUCACGGGAUCUUGUAUUACGGAACGAGUAAAAAGACUUGACGGUAAAUGAGAUUGAAAUAGGUAUGCAGAUUUAUGAAGCUUUAACAAUGAGACUUGUUAAAAUAAUAUUUGAGAUUUAUUUUCUACUAUUACUAAACAAUGUACUGUAUACACGUUUGUAUAUCUAUGUGUAUGUGCAUAUUUUUCAAAUAUUAUUGAAUAUUAUGGUAGAGAUUUCUAAUUUAUAUACACACUAACAAAUAUUUUAAUAGUGGUUUCUAGUGUCUAUUAGGUAAAUUUAUGGAAAUUUCUAGGCAUAGAAAAAGUGGCCUCCAAGUUGGGUUCAGUAAUAGAAUCAUCGAAGAACCAAAAAUGUUGUUGAUUGUAUUUUUACGUAUGAUUCGAUUACCUAACGUGCUUGUUGAGGUUCACUUGGUUGGAUUUCGUGCAAAUGAGAUGCCUACAGACAUUAUGUAUUGGUUUAAACAUUAUAUCUAGUCACAUAAUUUUUAUUAUAAUACUAAGACAUGCAUAAUAAAGAGAGACUAGUGUAUUUCAACUCAAGUUCGCUAGUCGGCUAAAUUUGCCUACACCUGGUAUAACUGAUUUGUAUGUGAUGUGAACUUACACUUUUGCAAAAUGAGGCUUUAUUUUAUCCAUUUAAUAAUCUAUAAAUAUAAUGUGUACUUGUAUUGUCCUUACUAAUAUAAGUUUGUAACGUCCAAGAUGCGACCCUAUCCUUAUUUUAGCGUGAGGGCCUCGAUAGGGAUAGAAGCCAUUUCGUCGUUUCGCAAGAAUGGAUAUCAUUACAAGUACAUGUACUGAAGAGAAGAGUAUAUGAAAUUGGCUUACACUCACCACAAUUUACAUUAGAGUCACAUCAGUACAAUACAUAAAUAUCACGAGAAAGAGCAGGGUCCGACUACGGACAAAAAAAACGAGAAAAGAACGACGUCCAUCCUUGCUAUCCCAGGCUGCCGGCCUGGAACCCAUACUAGAUCGACGAAGAGGAAGAACAAGAAACUCCAAAUGAACAAUCAUCGCGCUCACGUCUUAAUAUCCUUACAUGUACCUGCAACUGGUGUUGUAGUAAUUCGUGAGCCAGAGGGGACUCAACAAUGUCAUUUUCAAAGGUAUCAAGAUUAGCAAAGCUUUAUGGGUGAGGUAUAGUUAAGUGGUGAUGCUGCAACAAGCGACUAAGCAUAUAUUUAGUGGCUAACUUACGGGUACAGAAUAGAGAGGGGGAAGAUCUAUGCACAGCGGACGUGAACUACUGAUGAUCAAAUGAAUGAUCCUGAACACCUACUUACGUCAGACAUAACCCCACCGUGUCCUCGAUCGGAGAAGGAGCUCACGAAAGAGACAGUCACGGUUACGCACUCAGUUGGCAAGUUUUAAUUAAGUUAACUUCAAUUUAUCUAGAACCAGAUGUUAAACAAAGUUUUCACAUUGCCACAUAACCGCACGCAUGACUUUCCGAAAUAUUUAACCCUGUAGAGGUGCUCCAACUAAUCCAUCACAAACUACCACACGCUGCGACGGAAUGACCUCGAUCAGGGACACCCGUGAUCUCCUUGGAUCCCUAUUGGAAAACCUCAACCUCGAGUUAGCUCAAAGCAUCCUCGGAAUCCCUCGCACAAGACGCCCGAUAAAGGUAAAACAAGUCCAGCAAGGCCGCCCGACGUGCCGACAAUCCCGAUAGGAGCCGCGUAUCUCGUUCUCAGGGCACAAUCGGAUGAGCGCAGCAUACAGUGGCCUGAUAGAAAUCACCCGAGUUGCCCCGGGUUGGCCCCGCACACGACUCUGUUUUGGACCAGCACUGGCCCUCCCUGCAUUAUGUUGUAUUACUCCUGGGGUAGCGCUAACUCCCUAUGUUUUUCAGUAUAAACAAAAUUAUUAUGUUGGGCAAAUAUAGUACCAAUGUUGGGCCUUGCCACUCGAGCUUUAUCCUAAAACGAGAAUCUAGGGGGUCCCCAUAACAACCCAAGCAUGUUAGGAGCGUUUAUUAUGGAACAUAACAUCGGUAGCCCAAACUAAGGGGGAAAAGGUGGAACAAAACACCAGGCUAGAAGGCCGAGCCUUCCACCUUUUACCAAUUAUAUAGUUGCAUUAAAUUAAUUAGCAAUUAUAUGGUGAUAUAACAAGGAACCCAUGUUAUCACAUGGAAACAACUGCACCUGCACCUAGCAACGCUAACACAUGGUUAAGCAAGCGGUAACAUAACCAAUCAAUGGUUUGCUAGGUUGUGAACAGGUUGAAGGUUUUCAUGGCAAUGUUGAGAGGCUGACAUUUAACAUGUGGUAGGUAACGAGACAUAGCGACAGAAACAAAACAACUAGCAUGGAAAUAAUAGUAAUGGUAUCUAGGGAAAUGAUCAUCUUACCUGAGAUCCUGCUUGGAAGAAGAACGACUCCGUGAAGCAGACAAACCAAAGUAGUCGAACGGGUCUUCACUUUCCGACACGCUUGCGGAACUCUAUCGAGACGAACCAAACCGGGAACAAGCAUCAACACAGAUAUUCACCACAGACACGCACGACAAGAUGCAAUCCACAUAUGAUGCAUGAUCAGUUGAAUAUAAGCAAGACAUGGCAUGUCAAUUCACAACAAUCAAACACUACACAUUAAGUGAAGUUCAAUAUGCAACGAGUUGCAUAUUGACGAAACUCCACAUACGAAUUAUUUAGUUCUAUCCCAAUUAGGUACAUGGCAAUAUUAAAUGUUGGUUAAACUUGGCAAGAUGUGAAGCAUAAUUAAGCUACCUAUCUAGGCAUUUUAAAUGAGGUCGGAAACGACUUAUAGCAUCUCCGAACUAACCUCAUACGAUAAUUUAUAAUUCUGUCCAGAUCUGAACUAACACAUUUUAAUAUUUGUUAAACAGCAAAAUAAAUAGGUUCACGUGAUUCUACGCAUCGUUCCAAUCAAUUUACACAUAGAGAUCAUUGCAAACGGAGCUACAGUUCAAAAGAUAUGAUCACCGCAAGAUAUGAUGUCAUGAAUACGAUAUGCAUGCGAAUGACAGUCACAGUCACUCCAAAACAUACAAGCAGCAAGAUAAUAAGAACCUACACGAGAUUUUAAGCAAGUUUCAUAUAGGACACGAGCAAAAUGGAGCAACGGUUCAACAAAUACAAGCUACACAAGAAAUAGCUACAAUCUGCCCAAAACAGCAACAUGGCAUUUUUUACACCCCAAAACAACAAGCUACAUAAAUCUAAAAUGCUCAAACAAGGCAUGAAACAAUAGUGGUCAAGAUGCACUUCAACCCCCAGCAUAUCAGCAUGGAUCACUAGGAAAAGAACUCAUAAAAUGACAUCUCACACACAGUUUCAGACUUAGUGAAAAUAUCAGUUUUUGACAGUGCAGUUUUCAACGAGAAGGCAUAUUGAUAGCAGAAAAAACUAUAUGCUACAGGGCACCAAAUGACAUGAAAAUAUACAGCAUGCUAGAGAAUCUUAAGGACUACAAAUAACUCCAUUGCACCAACCCCAAAGGAGGUGUGGAUCAUUAGCAAAACUCAUGGCAAGACAACAACAAAAUAUAACAGAUUUCAGGCUUAGAAAUAUUUCAGCAUCUCCAAAUCAGCACUAUUUUCUAGCAUGUUGACAACAAGUAAACAACACCUAAACAUGGAUUUCAAUAGCAACCAAAAUUAUCAGGGGCUAGCAUGCAUAUCCAAGGGCAUAUCUCUAGUUCAAAACUAAUGCAUAUCACGCGCGGAAUAAAUCCCACAAAAUAGACAAGAGGGCAACAUGGCAAAAUAUCAUGCACACUAAUUUGCUCAAAAGACAAAACUAAAUGCACAAUUAAUUUCUAUGGAUUUUUCUACCCCGAAAACAUAUAUAAUAUGUGGGGUUCCAAAAAAUAAACUAGCGCCACACGUAUAUGCGAGAAUAUGUCCUAAACACGACAUAACAAACUAGCGACGGAACCUACAUGCAAAAAUGCAAACAACUACUCUAAAAUACAUGGCAAAGGGUCCCAAACAACAUGAAAAUUUUAUCUACGGGUUGGAACAAUUCGAACGCGCACCAAAAUUACUACAGAAUAUCUAACAUAUUAGGACAACACGCAAAUCUAGGCAAAUGGCAGGUCAAACCACUCCAAAUAUGCAUGCAAGUUGCAAAAUAUGAUUCUACGCGAAAAACUACACAAAUUACAUCUAUAAUACGUUGUGAUCCAAUGUAAGGUUUAUUAUCUUGAGACGUUUGAAAAUAUCUAUAUUAUCCGUGAAAUUAAUAAAACCGAAAACCUGAAAAAGAUGAGUAACGGGCCGAAUCUGGCAUAGUGGCCUAAAGAGAGCAUGCGCUAAUCAACAAACUGUGCCGGGGCGAUGGAUAGCGGACUCGGGGCUCUCACCUUACCGGGUCGUGGCCCAAGGAGAAGAGGAGGCCUUCGGAAGAUCAAGAAUGAAAACAACUCAGAAAUGCACCGGAUAGCAAGAAAGGGAUUACUCAUGAUUGGAAACAAAUGAGAUGAUAACACGAAGCUGAGAUGACACCCCUUCGGUCUUCCAAAAUAAAAACAUGGCAAGAGCACCAUCACCAAUUAAUGAGACACUCCGGAAUAAGAACAAGGAAAAGUUGAGCCAAUGACAAAAAUAAAUUUGAAGCGAUCUUGAAGAAGGAAUAUGACUCAUAAAAUUCAUACUUACGUCAUAGUUGAAAAGAAUUAGAGAUCUCCGGAAAAGAUUACAAGAGACAAAUAAGAUCCUGGGAAAAACCUGUGGGUUAUGGGCCCACUCAAAGAAACCACCGUUGAAAAAAACUCUAAGCAAGAGAUAUUGCACCGGUAAAAUGAAAAAACUUGAUGAGGUUGGGUACCUCGAAAUAAUUUAAAGCAUUGAGAACAAGAACUUCUCAGAUAUCUUCAGCACUGCGGUAGGAAAAGAGAGAGAUGAACAAACAAGAGAGAUCUGAAUAUGAAUUUCCAACAUGAGAAUGAAUUCAUAGGGAAAAAAUGAUAUGAUGAACACGGAAAGCUUGAACUGAAUCCACUGAAAAAUAAAAUAAGAAUGAAGAAUGAUGAACUCGAAACUCCUAAGAAUCUUUACAAUGACUCACCAGAUAAGAGAGAAAAAAAAAGAUAGCGGAAGCAAUAAUGGAAUGAAAACUCUUGGAUGAUGAUUGAAUCCUUGAAGAAAAGGGUGGGAGGGCUGGAAAAACAAAGAAAACUUGGGACAAAUGAGAUGAACUCCUGAAAGAAAUGACAGAUUGAUCUUGCAAAAUUGGAGAGGAUAGAAUAACUUGAAGAGAAGCACACCGGUUGAAAAAGAAUUGGCAUAACAACUGUGGUUGACAAGAAUUGAUAAGACAAUUGAUAGAGCAAAAGAAUUUGCAUUCACAUAAAAUACGAGAACACCUCUUGGAAGGAUAUGAAUUCACCACUUGACAUUGAAGCAACUCGAAUUACCAUAUUCCAACAAAAACAAAGGUUGCGGCUUAUGAAACAAGUCAGAACAAAUUCAUGACAUAGAUUUCGUCCGAUAUUUUCGUGGAUGAGCUCGCACGGGCUCUAUCCUACAGUAGUCAUCAUGUACAAGGCAGUGCACACGACACACGAAGCGUCCUGAGUCGUAGCAAGCUACAAACACUCUUUAAGACACAACGAGAACCACUGUAAAACGACCAUGAACAAACGAAUCCACUAGAUGUUGAAGCCCAACCUAACAUCAUGCAUUUGUUAGAAGAUUGUCAUAUAAGUAACUACUUGAAUUCCCAUCUAAGAACUUCUGAAUUUUUCUAAUCAUGCAAUAUGGUCUACGGAUACAAGAAGUAAUAUAUCACUCAACUCCUAUACUAACCCGUCCAGUGUAUCACAUCCGUCAACACAUAACCAGAGAUCUCGGAAACUCAUCUAUUUGAGACCAUCGUAAUCAUAACGAUACUAAGUAUGGCGAUACAUCCAGAUCUAUCUGCACCACUACUAGGGAAGCCGGACUCCUCUCGUCACUACUAGUAUUGAAGCAAUUUCGAACACCCUUCGUUCUGAGAUACUAAGAAAUCUGAAUGAUAGCGAUGUGCUCGAGAAUCCCGUGGAGCUCAAUUCACUGGAAGAAAUCAAGUCAGACAGGAGGCACCAAGACAGAACUCCAUCACAUCGAGAUCAUAUAGAUUCAAAAAAUAUCCGCGUGAUCCUAAUUUUUUUUUGAGUGAGAAGAGGAGUAGAAUUAAAAUUAUUACGUCAAGGUUCCUCAGCAGAGCAUAGAAGAGGAGAAAAAAGAAUCGUACUCUCCUAUAUAACUAGACUCAAUGCAAUUUUUCACUAGACUCGUCUCGGCCAAGUUCGAUCAAUGAAGGGGGCUCCUAGGUCGGCAUUGCUCUGAUACGAACUUGUAACGCCUAAGAUACGCUUCUAUCCGUGUCGAGGCGCCGUCGGGAACUCCUAUGCAGCUCUGUAGGCGCUCGUUACCGAUCGGGCGCCUGCAACACUGGUAAUAUGGGCCGGCACACUAGAUUGCUUUCCAAUUUUGUUCUUUUUUGUUUUUUUGUUACGAAAAAAGUAUAAAAUCAAAAAAGGUUUACAUAUUAAAAAAAGACUCAUCCAUUUGAAAAAAGUUCAUAUCUCUAAAAAAGUUCAUCCAAUUUAGUAAAAGCUCAUUAAAUUUUUAAAUAGUUAAAUAAAUAUAAGAAAAGUUCACAUAAAUUUAAAAAAAGUUCAUGUAUUUUUUAAAAUUUCCAGUGAACUGAAAAAGGGUUCAUAAAUCUUAAAAAAGUUCAUCCAUUUUCAAAAAGAUGUAAAGAUGUUCAUCGAAUUUCAAAAAAGUUCAUUGAUGUUCAAAAAAGUUCAUAGAAUUUUCAGAAAAAACGUCGCAAGCCCUUGAUGUGCCAGCCCAGUUCGAACGCCACAAGCGCGAGUUAACAAAAAUGCAUGUUAACUGAUGUCUGUGGCGCUAAAUAGGAAAUGCCCGCGCGGGAUCUCCUAUGCAGCGGUGCAGGCACCCGUUACCGGUCCGGUGCCUGCAUCACUGGUAAUAUGGGCCGGCACACUAGAUUGCUUUCCAUUUUUUUGUUACGAAAAAAGUAUAAAAUCAAAAAAAGGUCUACAUAUUAAAAAAAGACUCAUCCAUUUGAAAAAAAGUUCAUAUCUUUAAAAAAGCUUCACAAAUUUUUAAAAAGUUCGCCAAUUUGAAAAAAAGUUCAUCCAAUUUAGGAAAAGCUCAUUAAUUUUUUAAAUGGUUCAAUAAAUAUAAGAAAAGUUCACAGAAAUUAAAAAAAGUUCAUGUUGUUUUAAAAUUUCAGUGAACUGAAAAAAGGAUUCAUAAAUCUGAAAAAAGUUCAUCCAUUUUCAAAAAGGUGUUCAUCAAAUUUAAACAAAAUUUGUUGAUGUUCAAAAAAGUUGAUUGAUUUUUCAAAAAAAACGUCACAAGCCCUUGAUGCGCCGGCCCAGUUCGAACGCCACUGGCGCUAGUUAACAAAAAUGCACGUUAACUGGCGGCUGUGGCGCUAAAUAGGAAAUGCCCGCGCCCUCCCCUCUUGGGGCCCGGGGCGGUCGCCCCUUGGGGUACUUGAUGGGCCGGCCCUGGAGCCCGACCCCCUCGAAGCGCUGAGCGGAGUCAUGGAGUCGGAGAUAGUGAGGGCGCCGGCCCUGGAACCCGACCCCCUCGAAGCGGGAGGGAGAGNGACAAGUACCCCAAGGGCCAGUCCCGCGGCCGCCAGUGGAAGCACCUCCGCCACCUCCUCCAGGCCGCCGACGCCUCCUCGCUCCCCCCGGACCGCCCCAACUGUGAGCGCCUCGAUCCCCUUCCCGCUGCUACCCGCACCGCUCAAAUCUCCUUAGAUUUGAUAUGCAGAUUAACUUGAAUAUUUAAGAUCUUAGGUUAUCCUUUGCCACGCCACGCUUCUCGGUUGGUGGACUCCUGCGAUUGUACUAGUUCGUUGAUGUGUUUCAUCAGGACCAAAUUGAUUAUCCGCUCGAUCUAGGCCUAGAAACUUGUGGUGGCCAGAAAUUCAUACUAAUUGGGACUGUAUAGUACUAUUUUUUCUUCUUGCCUGCCAUCCCUGGAGGUUGCACAUUGUGCUGUUUCUGGUGUGUGCUAACAGUAGCAGCAUUUGAAUUGCGAAUUGCUUCUUCUUAUUUUAUAAAAUACAAACUUUCAGUUCAUUGUUUUUUUUUCCUUCAAUUUACAGUGAGUAAUUUUCGGAAAGUUGGUUCUGCGCUCGAGAAUGCCAUGCUAAUAGAAUCAAUCAAUAGGUUCUUGGCUUUGUGUCUAAUACUCAUAGCUUCUGAAUCAGUAGCUUCCACUGCUAAGGCGAUUAGAUAGCUCUUAUAUGAACUUGUGUUUCUCAGUUAGAGUAUAAAGCUGGAUAAUAGAAAUAAAAACUUGACAUUAGCGAAACAAGUUAUUUGUGUUGUUCAGGUAGUCUACAACUCUAGUAUUUAGAGCAAGUUGUUGUGGUGUAUAUAAUGUUCACAGAAUGUUUUUAUGCAGAUUUAAAUAUUCAGUCGCCCCCAUCCAUUUAUCCACCAAAGAGAUACUGUGACGUUACAGGUUUUGAGGUAAGUUUUACCCCAGUAUGAACCCCUUGUGUUGAUUUACAUAUCCCAAUUGUUUUCUAAAUGAUAAGAUUUGAAAACUGAAGGCAUUUAGAUCUGAAGUACAAAACAGAUUUUAUCAUGCUAAACUGCACAUUUAUAAGCAUCGAUAAUGAGUUGCUGCUUCGAGAUGAAAAUUUGUGUUGGGCUUAACAAGCUCUAUAAGAGCAUCUCCAAUAGAAGAUGCAAAUUUGGAGAUGUGAAUUAAGUGCUUUUUGCAUCUCCAAAAAAGGGCCAACUCCAACAGAUGAUGCAAAACGGAGAUGUAAAAGAGCAACUCCAAUAGAAGAUGCAAAACUGGCCGCCGGCCGCAUGGCCGCUGUAGCUGCUGUGCUGUACAGCUGCACAAAUUGAAAUAGAACAUCCGAUAAUCAACAUAAAAACUGCACAUGUUCACAAUAUCAAAUUGUUACAUAGUUCAUUAAAUCCACAAGAUCAAAUGCAACACACAUACAACAUAGUUUCGCACAAUACAACAAACAAAUAAAUGAAACUAGGCGCCUCUUUCACCAUGAUAUAGUAUAGUUGUGACCUUUUAAGGGGAAGGACAAGUAGGCCCGUGAUUAUUGUGAUUGUACAAUUAAUAUGAAUGUUUUGUGACUCAACUUGUUGGCAUUGCGGAAAUCCAGCAAGACUGGGUUGGAAUCAAACUACAGAUUGAGCUGCUCAUAUUGUGUGUGAUUUACUCUAUCAGCCUAAAUUUAGAUGUUUUUUGGUAUUUUUCAUACUGCCACAUAUUUAGGGGCGUUCAGUCGCGGUUUACACGGAUUGAAUAAUCUGUGGAUCAACAAACUUACUAGUACUUAUCUAUCACAAUUUUGUAGAAUUGCAAAAUUUACAGUGCGUUCACGGUGUAGAACGAUUUGUAAAACUCCAGCACGUACACCCCUAAAUAUAUGUCAUAAAAAUCUGUGCUGUUCUAACAGAUUCAUAUAUGAAUGAAGUAGGAGCCUGUGCUACUAUGAUCGGUAAAGAUCUUAUAAUAUAAUAUUAAUAACACAGUCUCCAUAAAAGGUUAACUCAAGUGAAUUAUACGCAUUCUAUAGAACAUAGAGUCGAAAGCUUGAUUAGUUUUUUGACGUGGGUGACUAAUGUUUUAGAACAGGUAAGUAAAUUAAAAUCAAUAAUCUUCAGUUAUACAAUGUUUUUUUCACAGUUCUUUUACCUGCCUUGUGGCCUGUAUGAACAACAUGUUUAGUUAUUUCAACUUGGCACUGCCAUGUAUUGCCAAGGGUCAUAAACUUAACUGCAUGUGUGCAACUGUUAGUAAUGCAUGAACAAUUUGAACACUCGCAAAAACGUCUUACAUUAUGGGACGGAGGGAGUAGUUCACAUAUUUGCUCACACUGAGCUGUCCCAAAUAAAUGAACCAACCUUAAUGGCAUGACAAUCCUAUUGGUUCAACUCAAGGCUUGGAGGCAGGGAAAGUGGCCCAAAUGAAGCAGCGCCCACCACUGGCCAUCUGUCCUAAGCUUGGAUUUUUUCUGAGGAUUGUAGUCGAGAUGACGUAGCGUGUUGGCAGGAAAUAGAGAAAAAAACAUAGAGCUAAAGAAAAACCAACUAACACGAACAUCUGUGUAUGACAUGUUUGUUGCUACAUACAUGCCGUCCCUGGUUACAGAGUUUCAGCAGUACUAAGCUGUUGCAUUAUCCGACAGAGCGUUUUGGUUGUCCGUUAGGUGCUAUAUCCUGCGCUUCUCUUAGGGAGUAGUUCUCACAAGUCUGAUCUUUUGACCUAUGAAUCUAUCUUCAUGCAGGCACCAUACGUGGAUCCGAGAACGAAGCUGCGCUACGCUGAUCCAGAGGUCUUUAGGCAGAUCAGAAUGCUUCCUGAAGAAUACGUCCAGAGGUACCUGGCCGUGAGGAAUGCAGCAGUUGUAUUACGGUGAUAGCAAGCUCCCUAUGUGGCUGUGUCACAGUACUUAUUCUACCAGCCAAUGUCCCGCUCUGUAAUCCGAAUGGACGCCAUCGUUUCCCUCCUAAUCGUGUUGCUGGCUCACAUGAGCAUUCUGAAUGUAGAAGCAGGGUACUGAACCCUUUGUGCAUUUCAGAGUGAUAUUUUGCAUCUGGCUACUGUCAUCAAUGUGCUUUGUGUGCGUCUCUGUGUUAUUCCUGUUGCUGGCGUUCGGGGAAUUAAUAGUUAAAUAUAUUCCAUGUAUUGCCCUCACAAACUCCCAAGGGCGCAUCCGAAUCUGCAACAGACGCGUGAGCGAAGAACGAGGCCACAAAUACACUAUACUGUUUGGUCGUAUUAUUUUGUUUGUAUCCCCUUGAUUAGGUAGGGCUCCUUUGAUUCAAAGAAAUUUAUAGGAUUUUUGAAGGAUUGAAAUCCUUAGGAUUUUUUUUUAGAUUGAUCCUUUGAUUCAUUGGAUUGGAUCCCAUAGAAUUUUUUUCCUAUGAAAUCUUUUAUACUAGUACUACAUUUCAUAAAAAAUCUAACAUCCACUCGAACCUCAUUUUAUAUUUUUUUUGUUUUUCCGAUCACAUCAAACGCUCCUUGCUAAUCCUAUAGAUCAAAUUGCAAUAUGCUUGAAAAAAAAGUUGUGGAAAACGCCGUGUAGAUAGAUAUUGUUAGGGAAUUGAUUAGUUUCAUCCGGAUGUAAAUAUGCUCACGCCAGCCAUCUCCUGCUCAUGCCACGUACAUGACAGAGUUUACUCGAUCGUUUGGAGGAGGAUGUGGGUGCUAUGCAACUCGAUCCACGGUUACCCACGUCCUAAUCUACGGCUAUCAAGACGGCUGUAGUUAGGCCCGCUACAGCGGAUGGUGCUUAGCAUGCGCCACAUAGCACUUGAGAGUGAAAUGUCGGAGAAGAUUGAUUACGAUGAUAUCAUUGAAGAUUUCAUUUCAAAGAAUAUAAAAAACGAGGAUGUUAAUAAGUAGCAACCAGAAGCUGGAUAUGUAUGAAUUUUUUAUAUGUCCAUUUAUUAUGUAAGACAUUAUAUUAUGUAUACGUUAUAUUUUUAUCUGUGAGAUAUAUGUAUAUUAUAAUUGCUCGUUAGUUUUUUAUAAGACAAGGUUCCAUUUUUAGUUUCGUACAGGGCCCAGAUUUUACCGACCCGGCUUGCUUUUUCACAAUGUUCCUCUGGUUCGGUAGUAUGGGCCCGGUGCUCUUGCUCUUGUUGUCGUUUCAUCAGUUGAACUCAAGUGUUGUCAUGGGCUGAACUAUCAUUUACCGAACUAAACUGCCACUAGCCCGCUACUGCUUGUGCUUGCUGCUUGGCUACUGUUGUGCCCGUUGCUGCGCUUUGUUAAACCUAAGUGUUCGGUUGUAGCUACUGGGCUAGGAUGCUACUCUGUUUUUAAAUAUAAGUUUUUUUAAAAGUUUCAUUAAAAAACUACAUACAAACAUACAUAGACAUAUUUUAGAAUGUAUAUUUAUUCAGUAAAAUCAGUAAAAUAACUUAUAUUUAGGAGCGGAGGAAGUAUUUCCCAUUUUAACAAAUACAUGCAAUUCAUCACCAAUUUUGAACAGAAUGAUGAGAAGUCAUAUGUUUUUCCAUUCUCCAAUAUAUAUAAAAUGUGAGUCAAGCAUGCAACCAAGACCACGUACAUACAUCGGCCAAACUAUAUGCGCGCGUACGUGUCCGAUUGAACAAGAAGCAAGCAAGGGAAUAAAGUGCGCGCCGAGAUUCGAUUCGGCCGAAUUCUAUCAGGCAGCGACGUACUACUCCAGCUCUGUGCCGUGUGCGACGGUGUAUGCAUGCAUGCGUGUUGCGGCACCAUCCGGGAAGCGAGAAAAAUCUCCCAAGUAGCACAAGACGAAGACGACGACGACCACCGUCGGAUACAAACAAGAAUAAAAUCUCCGAGAAGAAGAAGAUACGGAGAGACGAUGGCUAUCAGCCUAUCACCGUGUCGAUCGGAUACAAAGCAUCCAUGCAUGGUCAAUACGUUCGACGGCGUAUGAACGGGGGUCCAUGGAACGUGCUCGUAUAAAUAGAAGCGGGUGCAGCAUGGUUGCUACGUGCUUAGCUCGCUCUGCUCGUGAACCAUCAGGCCCUAAGGAAAAGCAAGCAAACCAGCCGGCUAGCUAGCUAAUGGCGCCGGUUCACAGGUCGAGCCGCCUCGACAGCACACUGCUUGUGCUGGUGCUUGCACUCGCCUGUGUCGUCAGCGCCGCCGCGGCGCGAGGGGAGGCGCUGGCCGCCCGGCACCGGCACGAGCGGUGGAUGGCCAAGUACGGGCGCGUGUACGCGGACGCCGCCGAGAAACUGCGCCGGCAGGAGGUGUUCGCGGCCAACGCGCGCCACAUCGACGCCGUCAACCGGGCGGGCAACCGGACGUACACGCUCGGGCUCAAUCACUUCUCCGACCUCACCAACGAGGAGUUCGCCGAGAAGCACCUCGGAUACCGUCACCAGCCCGGCCCAGGCGGGCUCCGUCCCGAGGACAGCUCGCCGGCGGCCGCGGUGAACGUGACGGACGCCCAGUUGCAGUCCACGCCGGACAGCGUGGACUGGAGGGCCCGGGGCGCCGUCACCCCAGUCAAGCACCAAGGUCACUGCGGUAAGAAUCUACACCUCCUGCACCGCAUCUGCAUGCCACCGGCAAAGGUGGCAAAUGAAUAAAAUGUUGCAUGCGUGCAGGGAGUUGCUGGGCGUUCGCGGCGGUGGCGGCGACCGAGGGGCUGGUGCAGAUCGCCACCGGCAACCUCAUCUCCAUGUCAGAGCAGCAGGUGCUGGACUGCACGGGCGGCACCAGCUCCUGCAAGAGCGGCUACGUCAACGCCGCCCUGACCUACAUCACCGCCAGCGGUGGCCUGCAGACGGAGGCAGCCUACGCGUACAGCGCCGAGCAGGGCGCGUGCCGCAGCGGCGGCGCCAGCCCGAACUCGGCCGCCGCCGUCGGCGUCCACCGGUCUGCGAUGCUGAACGGGGACGAGGGCGCGUUGCAGGUGCUCGUGGCCGGCCAGCCGGUGGCCGUGGCCGUGGAGGCCGAGCCCGACUUCCACCACUACAAGAGUGGCGUGUACGUCGGCAGCCCGUCGUGCGGGCAGAAGCUGCACCACGCCGUGACGGUGGUGGGCUACGGGGCGGACGGCGGCGGGCAGGGGUACUGGGUGGUGAAGAACCAGUGGGGGGCUGGGUGGGGCGAGGGGGGCUACAUGCGCCUCACGCGCGGGAACGGCGGCAACAACUGCGGCAUGGCCACCCACGCAUACUACCCCACCAUGGACACCUCCUAGCUAGAAGCCAGCACUACUACGUAUACAUCAGUCCAUGCAUCAUCGAUCGUGUACGGUUUAUCAGCUAAGAAUAUUAUUUUUGAAUAAAACACUACUGAAGUGGUACCGCAUCAGUCCAUGCAGCAUCGAGCUUCACCUACAGAACGAUGCAGCUGCAGUACCACGUAUAUACACGUAUAUAUGAAUUCUGAAUAAUGAACAUUGAAACCAUGAAACAAUGCAUUUUUGCCUAUCUGAUAGUAUAAACUUGGUACUAGUAUCGUUGCAACCUUCUAGGGGAAACACAAUUCAAGUUGGGUCGUGAUUGUUGUGAUUCAUGGAUUCUACAGAUUUUUUUUUUNUGGUUUUUAAUAUGUUGACGGUGUUUGAUUGUUUCUACCGUUAACGUGGGUAGGUGACCAUACGUCGUCUUUGGUCAUACGCCUCCGCCUCCCCCGCUUUAUGCCAUCACAAUGGUACGUUAUGUGUCGGCGUUGGGUCACGGUACUUCCCAUAACGAUUAUUACAUCUCUUGACCAUGUCGGCUCUGAUACAUUUUUUUUUGCGAAAUAACUCUUAUAUUACUCAAACAUCAGUGGUUACAAUCUCGUGAGGCAAUACAUAAGACUUCAUCUGGAGCUAAGCCGAGCCAAACCAUUGUUCGGCCUUGGUUUCUACCAAAACUAGCCAUGGCAUGACUAACACAAUUGCCUGAACGACGAAUAUGAGUAAUAGAAGAGUUCCGUUCUUCCAUACUAAGCUUAAUCUCUCAAUCAGAAAAGCAUAUCUUGAAAGGUUAAUAUGAAGAGCUUUCGUGACUCAACUUGUUGGCGCUGUAGAAAUCCAGCAGCAUGUUGGGUUGGAAUCAAAAUCCAGAUUAAGCUGCUCGAAUCGUGGCUCAUUUUGGAAAAUAUCGUUUUUUUUCCUAUCAACCUAAACCUAGAUGUUUUUUAUUUUAUUUUUCAAACCGUCACGUACUUCGAGCAUAUCUGACAGAGGCACUAAAUAAGCCCCACGCCUUAAAAACAAUGAUUUUUGUGCGUCAUAGAAAUAAAACAAUGUUCCAAUAGAGGCGUUAAAAUAGAGUGUGCACAGAAGACUUUACUGCGCGUUACAAAGCGGUACCCUGGGCCGCAAAUUUGGUGCGCGUUGCUGCAUGUGGGGCAUCCAACCGUAGUCGCAUACAUUUUGACAACAAUUCAAACCAACGGGACGAAAUUUGUGCAAACACGACUGGAUGUCAUGCAAACAUGACAGAUUCCAUGCAAACUCAACGGAUUUUAUAUAAACUCGACGGAUUUCAUUACCUUUACAUCCUAGUUCGGCUUUACACGUAUAACUAAUACCUAAUCUAAAUUGGCAUCGCACCCGUUCCCUAUAACCGGCCAUGAACCACGAGAAUUGAAGCUUCGCCUUCUCCAGCCCCAUCUCCAUAACCUCCUCCUCAUUCGGAGACCUGGCAAGUACAUAUGUCCACCUUCACGUUGACGCCAAAUGAUUAAUCGGCCGACGUUGUUCAGCCCACCAAGCUUGGCAUCGACGGAAGGGGAGGAGCGAUGGCCUUCCUGGGACGAGAUCAGCGGCGACCUCCCAUGCACUACUCUUCGUCGCUGUCGGCAGCGCACGUGGAUGUGUCGGCUUCGUUGGGAACGACCUCAGUGUUGCCCUCCUCCUUCUCGUCGGUCUCGUCGAACGCCGACACGCCCUCCUCGUCUUUGUCGUCCUUGACCGCGGCCGCCACCUCCUCUACCCGUUGCCGGUACCGCCAGCGGUCGAGACAAAUCUGGCGGGCGGAGCGAUAGGAUUCCAGGAGCGCCUCCUGCUCCGCUAGGUCCGCAUCGGGUGCGACCUCCCUGCCGGUGAUGAGAUACUCCCCUGCCUGCAGAUGCGCCUAGAGAGGUGGUGGUUGUAUCCUGCGUCGGCCUACGCCUCCCAGAACCGAUCCUCCCGCACCAUGUCCAUGUAACGGGCAUGGACCUUCCCGAUGGUCAUGGUGUAGUGAACUGGCGAGGGAGGCACGACAGAGAAGGAGGGUGUCGCAACGGAGGAGGAAGACGUGGGUAGUGUCGGGUCGUCGUCGACCACGUCCUCCACUGGGACGUCCACGUCCUCCGGAUGCCUGUCGGCCCGCCAACGGGCAGCAACGGCGGCCAUCUCCUUCUUCUGCUGUGGCAUGAGCCCGUCCCAGAGAGUUUUAGCGGGUGAGGAAUCCAUAGUGGGAGAGGGAUCGAAGGCUAAUGACUACGGCUAUGGCCGGGGCAGCGGUUUAUACAGCUUCGUGGACCAAUAUAAGACCGUGUUGGAUGGCUUCUACGAUCCGAACCACGUGAUCCAAACAAUUGUGAGAGGUUUAUGAGUCUGCCUUGGAGAUGCCCUUACACGGGUUGACUAAUCCCCUGGACUAACAAACUUAUACUAGUACUCAUGUAUCGCAAUUUUGGAGAAUUGCAAAAUUGGCAGUGUGAUCAUGGUUUAGAAUGGUUUGGAAACCCCGUCGUGAACCUCCAAACAUACUAGUACUCAUGUAUGUGCCGUUAUAUACGAAUGAAUGAAAUAGGAGCCUGCACAAACGAAAUACACUACUAUACUCGGUAAAUAUAUUAUAAUACAAUAUUAAUUACAUAGCCCCCAUAAAAAGUGAACUUGAAUGAAUUAUACUACUGUAGAACUUAUAGAGUUGAAAACUCGAUUAAUGUUUUGGCAUUGGUGACUAAUGUUCUAUAACAGGCAAGCCAAUUAAAAUAUAAGAAAAUUCCUUAUCUAACACUAUGUUAAAUAUUGGUUCCCUAUUUAACACUGAAUAAAAUAUUUCUUCCUUAUGUAGCACCGAAUGUAAACAUUAUGCCUUAUCUAACAUUUUCGUUCAUUCUGUUAGCCCACGCUGUUAAAGUAGACUUGCAUUGACCAAACUGCCCCUGUCCAUAGGAAAAAAAAAGAAACCCCUGGCCCGAGCGAUUCCUCUCUCUCUCCCACGACACACCCAGCCCACCUUUCCUCGUCCUAACCCUAGCGAGAGCGAGAUGGACGGCGGCGCUCGAUCCACACCGGAGGGGGCUGGCCAGGGCGCGACCCCGGAUGGAUUCGGCGAGGGCGCGACCUCGGAUGGCCCCGGCUAGGGCGCGACGACGAAGGGCCCCAGCCAGGGCGCGACGCCGGAGGGGCUGCGGCAGGGCGCGCCACCGAAGGGGCCGGCCCAGGGCGCGACGCCGGAGGUUCAUGCAGUUGCUUAGGCAAGCCAUAGGAUCACCAAGGGGUUUAGCCAUAAGCACUGAUUCCAGGCACGCGGUGAUGACAGGGGUAAAGGAAGUAUUCCCAGAGGUAGAACAUAGGGAAUGCAUGUUUCACUUGAUGUCAAACUUUAAGAAAAAGUAUCAUGGAAAAGUAUUUGACGACCACCUUUGGGCUGCUGCCUACUUAUGGAACAAAUAUAUAUUUGAGAAAGUGCAAGAAGGGGAACAAAGAUGACAUUGCCGCUUUGAUGGAUGUGAGGUAAUGAGCUAUGCAUUCUAUUUUCUUAUUGCAUAGUAACUACUUUCUUGCAUUACUAUUUUGUAUUCAACUAUGCAUAUGAACUACUUUUUUAUUGCUCAUGUAGAGAAACAAUGAAGAGGAGGAAGAUUACCAAAUCAGCCGAGUCAUCCAUUGUGCCAAGAGGUGAUGAAGCACCCGCAUCCAUGUAUUUUCCACCAAGAUUAACAAUACUACACCUAUUCUUUUUGCAAACGGAACUGAGUUUGAUUAGUGCCAUAUCAAAUCUGAGUUUGUUUUGUGUGUAUUCAUCUAAUUCAUAGCCAAAGCUUAGAAAUUACAACCAAGAAGAACGGAAAACAUAGUCAAACCUUGGAGACUACAAAUAAGAAAAAUGUAAAAAGGUGAGUUUUGCUAAUUCUGAAUUUUAAUAUCACAUAUAAUGCGUAGUUCAUGUCGUUAUUUGCUCUGAAAUUACUGCUGUCAUACAUGUACAAGUGUAGAUCAGCGAAGAGGAAGAAGAUGGAGCUUGCUAAAAAGGAUGAAAUUUGUGCUAUGGUGCCAUUUGACAACCCUGCAAUGGGCACUAGAAGCAAAAAGACUAGCCCAACCAACCCUGGAAUGAGCACAAGAAGCAAAAGAAGGCUUAGCUUGUGAACAUGUCAUAUUGUGUGAACUCAUGUAUGUGAAGCUUUGGUCACUUGGACUAUGUAUGCGAACCUGGAUAUGAUGACAAUCCUUCCGUGUUGCUCAUAUGAUGUGAACUUGGAUGUUGGACCUAUAUAUAUGAACCUGGAUAUGUUGUACAUGAUAUAUGCGUAUUUGGAUGUGAGCCUGGAUGUUUAUGUGCAAAUCUGAAUAUUAUUUGUUGAAAUAUAUGUAUAUGUGAAUUGUGUGAUCCUCAUAUGCAUCAAUUUAUAGAGGAGGUUCUGCCCAAAUUUUGAAUUACUUUGUAUGUGAUGUAUUUUGCUCACAACUUCAAAAUGGUUAAAAUGGAUAAAAUCGUCUUUUCAGGUACCAUUUAACACCGUCAAUGGUUAAAAUGGACGGAAAUGUUAGAAAGGGAACAAAUUUUAGUGUUGGUGUUACAUAAGGAAGAUUUUUUUUUUUGCAGUGUUAAAUAGGACACACAAAUUUAAGCCAGGGUUAAAUAAGGAAUUCUCUCUUAAAAUAUAAUCUUCUCAGUUGUAGCGUUCUUUCUACAAUUUUUCUAUCUCUCGAGUGGCCUCUAUGGACACUUGGACAUCAUGUUCAGUUAAUCUCAACUUGGUGUUGUCCUGCAUUUUUUUUUGCACGUGAAACUUUGUAUUACUUAAGUGGAAAUACCACAGUCUACCUUACAAAGUUCAAUAAUCUCUGGUAAAUCAGAGUUGAGCCAAACUACUAUUCUACACCUCAUUCUAGCAUACUUUGUCAGAAAAUCACUAACAUUAUUUUGACUACGAUGAACAUAACUAAAAGUAGUGUUACGUAGGUUCUUCAAAAGCUUUAUUUCUGUCACCAACGUGGAGAGGAUUGAUCUGUCAAUUGAGUCGCUCAUGAUCAUGCUCAAACCCUCCCGUGAGUCCAUCUCUACCUGAAUAGGUAGGUUUGUCCUCUGAAUAGCCAUCGAAAGUCCCUCCAUACAUGCACUUAAUUAAGCUUCCAAAGCAUUUCUGCAGGAAAAGAUCUCCCUGCAUGUUCUGUAAAUAAUCUGACCCGUACUGUCACGAAGAACCAUACAUGCACGUGCUCGCCCAUCGGCUGUCCAAGAGCCAUCGAUGUUGAGCUUAGCCCAUCCCUUCAUAGGCAAAACCCACAUAAUGUUCGUGUUGGAAAUAUGCCCUAGAGACAAUAAUAAAUUGGUUAUUAUUUUAUUUCCUUGUUCGUGAUAAUCGUUUAUUAUCCAUGCUAGAAUUGUAUUGAUUGGAAACUCAAAUACAUGUGUGGAUACAUAGACAACACACAAUCCCUAAUGAGUCUCUACUUGACUAGUUCGUUGAUCAAAGAUGGUGAAGGUUUCCUGACCAUAGACAAGUGUUGUCACUUGAUAACGGGAUCACAUCAUUAGGAGAAUGAUGUAAUGGACAAGACCCAAACUAUGAACAUAGCAUAUGAUCGUGUGAGUUUAUUGCUACUGUUUUCUGCAUGUCAAUGUAUCUGUUCCUAUGACCAUGAGAUCAUGCAAUUCCCGGACACCGGAGGAAUACCUUGUGUGUAUCAAACGUCGCAACAUAACUGGGUGACUAUAAAGGUGCUUUACAGGUAUCUCCGAAGGUGUCUGUUGGGUUGGCAUGGACCAAGACUGGGAUUUGUCACUCUGUGUGACAAAGAGGUAUCUCGGGGCCCACUCGGUAAUACAACAUCACAGUAAGCCUUGCAAGCAAUGCGACUAAAGAGUUAGUCACAGGAUCUUGUAUUACAGAACGAGUAAAGAGACUUGCCGGUAACGAGAUUGAACUAGGUAUAGAGAUACCGACUAUCGAAAUCUCGGGCAAGUAACAUACCGAUGGACAAAGGGAACUGCAUACGGGAUUGAUUGAAUCUUUGACAUCGUGGUUCGACCGAUAAAGAUCUUCGUAGAAUAUGUAGGAAGCAAUAUGGGCAUCCGGGUCCCGCUAUUGGUUAUUGCCUGUAGAGGUGUCUCGGUCAUGUGUGCAUAGUUCUCGAACCCGUAGGGUCUGCACACUUAACGUUCGGUGACGCUAGAGUAGUAUUGGGAUAUGUAUGUUGGUGACCGAAUGUUGUUCGGAGUACCGGAUAAGAUCCCGGACAUCACGAGGAACUCCGGAAUGGUCCGGAGGUAAAGAUUUAUAUAUGGGAAGUCCUAUUUUGGCUACCGGAAAAGUUUCGGAUUUUAUCGAUAUUGUACCGGGAAGCUUCUAGAAGGUUCCAAAAGGUUCCAGAGGGUUCUGGAGGAGUCCGGAAGGGUCCCUCCAGCCCCUAGGACGUACAUGGGCUGUAAGGGGGGUGUCCAAGCCUUGUUGGGCCAUCCUUGCCUUGGAGAGGGAGGAAACCUCCCUAGGCCCACGCCCCCUCCUUGGAGGAGGGGCUAGAGCUGUGACCCAACCCUCCUCCUAGCCUCCUAUAUAUAUAGUGGGGGAGAGGUUGGGGCUGAACCAAUAAUCCUACACCUAUGUAGAUGGGUACGUAAACUUACUUAAACUUCCUAUAAUCAACUUCUCUCCCCCCUGAUUUUUAUGGGGUGGGGCCCAUGCUAUUUUUUCUUCCAAUCAAAUCAAUCCAAACCUGUUUUCACGUAGCUUUAAGUAGAUUUGCAUCAAUUCCCAUGCCCCGGUGGCAGCCCUACCUCUCCCUUAACUCCGUUUUCUCCUCAGAUUGGUUCCGGCAGCGCUUGACAAAGCCCUGCUGGCACUGCUCCACCAUCAUCUCCAUCAUGUCGUCGUGCUGGUUGAGAUCCCAUCUACUUCUCCUUCCUCUCUUGGUGGAUCAAGAAGGUGGAGACGUCAUCGAACCGUAUGUGUGCUGAACGCGGAGGUGUCGUACGUUCGGCGCUAGAUCCGGAAGGAUCGUGAUGAGAUCGCGGGACGGGCUGUGAUUUGGAUCGCGAAGAUGUUCUGCUACAUCAACCGCGUUAUAUACGCUUCCGCUUAACGAUCUACAAGGGUAUGUUGAUCCAAUCUCUCCUCUCGUAGAUGGUCAUCACCAUGGAUAGAUCUUGUGCGCGCGUAGGAAUUUUUUUUGUUUCCCAUGCGACAUUUCCCAACAGUUUGGAGUAGGAGGUAGAACCAAUCGUGAUCUAGGUAACUAAUCAUAAGCAAGCACUUGCUUCCCCUUCCGUAGUUCCUCCUCUAAAUAAUUUAGUGAUAGCAGUGAAUCCAAGUAUCCCAUCAGGAAACAUUUAGAUGCCUCCAUCAGAGGGGGUUCUUUGUAGUGAGUAACCUCAUUCCGAUUAUGCCACACCCUCCAUAAGGUCAUCAGUAGCAUGCCUCUCUCUACCACAGAAAGAGGGUGAAGUGUAGUUGUCAUGUAUAUUCAAAUCAAGUAUACAUUAUUUCCAUUAUUGUAUAUAGCUUGGUGGUAAGGGAAUUGUGCUUCAGUUUAGUACUACUUCCUCCUUUCCUAAAUAUAAAACCUUUUACACCUCGUUUGGAAGUUGAUAUUGAGGCCUAGAUAUUGAUAUUGGCAUUGGGCAGUCCGAAUGCCAUUGUUUGGAUGGUCAGGGAAUUGAGUCGUUGAAUUGGCCCGAGAUAUUCGCUGGCCCGCUCCCGUAGCCCGCGUAGCUAUUCCCUAAUUCAGAGGUCAGCAGCUUUGGCUGAUAUUCGGGGUCGAGCGCUCGACUUACCGCUUCGCCGCGCUUGAGGGAAAGGAACAGACGAACGAGGGGAAGAGGAGGCGGACAAAGGCGCGACAAUGGAGCUCCCGGCGGCGUAGGCCAGCCCCUCUCCGUCGUCCUCCUCUCUUCUCUAUGGCGGAUCUGCUCCUCUCAUGGCUGACCCACCACAGAGGCGCGGCAACGGAGCUCCCGGCGGCGCAGGUCAGCUCCCGGCGGCGGCGCAGGUCAUCUCCUGGUGACCACAGAGGCGCGCGGAUCUGCUCCUCUCAUGGCAGAUCUGCUCCUUUUUGCAGGUCAAUGCAUUUGAGCGGAGCAGGAAGAUCCAAAGCAAUUCCGAUGUAUCAGAUGGUCAUCCAAACAAGCUACAGAAUUGAGCCUCUCAUGCAAAUUCCAAGUGUGAAUUCUGAGCACAUCUAAACAACAGAAUUUGGGUUCAAUGUCAAUAUCAAAGUCAGGAAAAUUUGAUAUUGAGCCCGAUUCAAUUCUAUGGCCUUGAAUAUCAACAUCCAAACAGAGCAUCAGAAAAUUUUACUAUAGACUACAUACGAAACAAAAUGAGUGAAUCUAUACUUUAAGAUAUAUCUAUAUACAUUUGCAUGUAGUUCAUAGUAAAAUUUGUAAAAGGUCUUAUAUUUAUGAACGAAGGGAGUAUUAGUGUAAAAAUGUAUUUUUUUGGCAGGGUUAAAAGGGAUUUCACUGCUCAACACGUGGUGAGUUCGUUUGUAUGUAUCUAAUAUUAAAAUAUGUUUAGAUACAUCCAUUCCUCAAACAAGUAUUUCCAAAGCACAACCAAACAAAAUGAAUUGCAUCGCUUUAUGCCUUUGUCGUGUUAGGUUUCUUUUUUUUUGGAACAGAAGCAAUUCAGAAAUUCAGAAUGCUUCCAGAUUAAUAAGCCCAAAGGUAUAUGGCUGCAGUUGUACUACGUCUGCAUUACAUACAGGAAUGCCUAAAGAUACCUGGCUGAUGUUGUAAGAGUUGAUGGUUAAAUAUGUUCUCAGUACAUGUGCAAGUUGCAGCCAGCAAAGUUUUAUCAGCACAUCAUGUCCGUUUAUGGAAAUAUAAAAACAUGGCCGUUUUAUAAGCCAGAUUUGAACACCAAAAGAGUAUCAAAUAAACUAUUCUUAGGGUGGGAAAUCCAAGCCACGAUCACAUCCUAUGGUAUCAGGAAACAUCAUCAAUUUCUCAUCGCUACAAUCGGCUAAAAUAAAACAAAGUGAUCAAGAGCUUACCAAACAAAGUAUGAAAACAUAACAUCAGACACAUAAAGAAGAUGAAACAAUCCAAGAUAACACCAAAAACAUAAUAGUUAACCAUAUUGUUAAUCUUUGAUCCUUGGAGGCAAACCAAACCCAUCGCUAUGGUAAAAGUAUUUAAAGAAACAAUAAACUUAGCAUGACUCUAAUUUUCAAUUCAAGCACAUUGCACCAAGGCUUGGCUAUAUGCAAGAACUCCACUUCGGCUUCACAAUAGGGCGACUACAGUUAACAGCAGACCGCAGAGACAAGCUUCUUGCCAAGUUAUUUCUCCAAUAUUGCGCUGAAACAGCAAACAUAAGCUAAUGGCAAUGAGACUUUAUCAUAAUCACGUUCCUGCAACAACAAUAAAAGGGCGCAGAAGUUCUAAAAAUAUAUAUCAAUCACAUUAUAAGUUUUAUUGCUAGAGAGAAGGCAUGAAUAUAUGGCUUUACUAUAGAGUAUAGAAAAGGCACAACAAUUAUAAGAAAGAACGACAUAGCUUUGACAUCAAAGGGUAAAUGACUGCCAAUGCAGGUAAUACAUUUUUUAUGGUCUUGACCGUGGCGCGGCUGGCACCUUUAAAGCAGUAAACAAUAUCACAGCAAUUCAGCAACAGUAUUUCAUUCUAAAGGAUGAGACCAAUUAGAAUCUCUGGCAGCUGACAUGCAAAUUGUGAUGAAAUACUUGUCAAGAUGAAGUCAUGUGAAAUAAUCAGUGAUUCUGUGAACCUAAUACUUUUUAUUUCAGCAGGAAACAAUUAGUCUAAUUCACCAAACAUUAGAGCAUGGUAGGCUGCAUUGGACUCCACCAACGUAUGUUUUAAUAUAAUAUGCACCAUCAGCAACAACACAAUUUCUGAUACCAGGGUCAAGUUUGAUAUUACCAACAUGAUAUGCUAGCACUACAGAAUUAUGAUUUGUUAAUGGAUGGGUGUAUAAUAGCUAAUUUCAGGUCAUAACUUUAUUUAUUUAUUUUCCUCAAUUAUACAUGACAAACUCUGGCAAAGUCACAUUUAUAAAGAACUUUGGCUGUGGCGCGGCUGGUGCCUUCGAAGCAGAAAACUGAGGAUAUUCUCAACAUCACAGCAACUCAGCAAACAUGAUUUCAAUUCAAAGAGUAACAAUCAAACAAAAUAUACAUGCUAUCUAAAGGAUGACAACAAUUAAACUUUAUGACAGCUGAGCAUAUACGUCGUGCGAGUGGUGAUCAAACACUUAUCAACAAGAGAGCCAAAGCAAGUUGAUAUGGUAGCACUACAGAAUUAUGAUUUGUUAUUGGAUGAACGUAGAAUAGCUAAUUUCAGAUCAUAACUUUAUUUGUUUAUUUUCCUCAAAUACACAUGACAAACUCUGGCAAAGUCACAUUUAUAAAGAACUUUGGCUGUGGCAUGUCUGACCCCUUUCAAGCAGCACAAACCAAGCAUUUUCUUGAUAUCACAGCACUCAGCAAACAUGAUUUCAACUCAUAGAAUAGCACUCAAACAAAAUACACAUGCAUUCUUUAGGAUGACAGCAAUUGGAAAUUAUGACAGCUGACAUGCAAGUUGUGAUGAAAUACUUGUCGACAUGAAAACAUAAUGCUUUUUAUUUCACAAGAGCAUGAAACAAUCAGUCAUUCCGUGAACCUUCACGAACCAUUAGAGCAUGGUAGGCUGCAUUGGACUGCACCAAUGCAUGUUUUAACAUACACAUUAUCAGCAACAGUGCAGUUUCUGAAAACCUGGGUCAUGUUUGACAUUACCAAAACCAAAUAUGCUAGCACUACAUAAUUAUGAUCUGUUAAUGUAUGGAUGUCGAAUUGCUAAUUUCAGGUCAUAGAUUUAUUAUUUAUUUAUUUUUUCCUCCAAUACGCAUGGCAAGCUCUGGCAAAGUCACAUUGAUAAGGAACUUUGGCUGUGGCGCGGCCUGGCACCUUUAAAGCAGCAAACUGAGGAUACUCCCGAUAUCACAGCAACUCAAGAAACAAGAUUUCAAUUCAUAGAGUAACACUCAAACAUACAUGUGUGAUGAAACGCUUGUCAACAAGAGAGCCAAGAGCAAGCAUACCUUGUUGGUGCACGAUUCCUUCAAACCUCAAUAGUUGCAGAACAAGCUUGGAAGCACCCAAACCUGCGGCCUCCCGAAACCAACCCCUGGUUCACCUGGAUACUGUGCAGUGAAGCAUUUACAGGUCCCAUCAACCAGAGAAUACUCGCUCCAUCCCCCACUCCAUGGCAAUGAUCCAUACACACAGUCGGGACGGAUCCCUGGAACAUCUGGACCAAGGCACGCGACGAAAUCGUCGUAGCCAAUAAACAGCGUCCGCCCUCCAAGGCUCAUUGUCCUCACCCACUUGCACUCAUUGGCGUCCCACAGGAAAACCUUGUAUUCCCGAUCGAUGCGGCCCACCUUGCAGAUAAGCAGGGGCUGGCCGCCGCACUCCCCCAGCACUGAUCCGCCUACGGUCUCCUUGAGAGUCUCUUCAAGGUCCUCGUCGAAUUCGCCUCCAAGCAUCCACAGUUCCAUUGUGUUGUCCUUGGGGAGCGAGGCCAUGACGAGCCCGCAGGAGGGGAGGAGCCCGUAGAGGGCGCCGUUGACGAUGCGCCAGUCAUGGAUCUCGGAAUAGCCGCCGUAGGACGCGACGCCCCAGUGGGCGUACCAGAGGCUGCAGUACUGGAUCUCCGUGCGGUCCAUGGCCGGGGCGAAGACGUAGCCGCCGCUGAGGAUGAGGCGGCUGUAGGCCAGCGGGGGCUUGGGGAGGCGGGCCUGCGCGCCGGAGAAGAUGUCGUUGACGAGGAUCUCGCCGGUGGCGCCGUCGACGGCGGCGACGCGGGCGCCGUCGGAGGUGAGGACGCCGACGUCCCUGGAGAAGGGGAGGCGGGCGCGGAAGCGGAGGAGGCGGCGGUCGGGGGUGUGGAAGAGGGCGAGCGAGAAGGCGGCGCAGCCGGGCUCGAGGAGCUUGAAGAGGGGCAGCGAGGGGUCGGCGGUGUGGGGCACGAGGAGGUGCGGCGGCUGGAGCGCGAGCAGGGCCCGGCACUUGGGCAGGGCGGCGCGAUAGGCGCGGCAGCCGGCGCGGAGGGCGAAGAAGUCGUGCAGGCUCGUCAGGUGCUUCGCGAUGUCCGGGAUCAGCUCCGCGGGGAUGUACGGCCCGCCGGCGUCCGCGUCGCCGUCGACAGGGGCGUUGGCGGGCAGAUCUGGGCCGCCGUCGUGCGCGGCCAUCCUCUCUCCCCUCCCUCCCUCCCUCCUUCGCGCCGACCAGCACAAGAUGGUUUUGCCGGAGUUGGGCGAAGUCGCGAGAUUUAUUAGGGUGGCAACGGCCGGCGGAGGAAGCGGCGGAGCCCGGCGCCGAGGGCACAAAAACAGGGGAAACUGUCAAACCCUUCACCAAAGUCCGGGCUUAUCAAAGAUUAUCUUUUUAACUUUUUUAGAAUUAUUAUCUGAGAUUAUCUGAGGGAGGCUUCUCCUGCACAUAAUCUGCACGCUAAUUUGUGUAUUAAAAAAAAAGAAUUAUAGAGUCCACAACCAACUAAUCGUGUGGUUUACACGACGUAGGAAGUCGUUGGAUCUACUUUAGUCAUGCGUCACAGAGUGCGUCCACCGCUAGCUUCGACCGCCGUCCAACCGUCUGCCCACGUGUCUCAUCAAUCAUCGACACAUACCUUUCCUUUUUUUGCAUCAAUCACCACCCUUCUAUACACAUCUAUCUUCAUCUAAGUAGGUGGCGGAGCCCGGUGCCCAAGGAGGAAGUGAAGACGACGGAGCCUACCACCGAUGGCACAAAAGGGAAAUCGUCAAACCCUUCACCCAAGUCGGCACUUAUGUGAGAGGCUUCUCUGGCAUUUUUUAAAUUCUUCUAUAUUUGUUGAGAAAGGAUUAAAAUUCAUCAACUGAUCAUGUCGUUUACACCGACGACGAACAAAGUCGUAGGAUCUGCUUUAGUCAUGCGCCCAUUAGUGACUUCGGCCACCGUCCACCUACCCACACACAUGUCUCAUCAACCAUCCAGACAAACCUAUCCUCUUGGUAUUCAUCAUCAUCCUCCGGUAAACAUUUGUCUUUCCUAAAUGAACCUCACUCUCAAGCUUUCUCCCCUUACUACCCUCCUCAUCCUGGAAGCUUUGAAGGUUGUCGGUCCCUCUCUCGCCUCUCCACUCCUUCCAUAUAAGCUGUAAGGCAUGAGUAGAGCGAGGUAGCACUACUGCAAAGAGCGGUAGAUUCAAAACAUCGUUCGUAUUGAAUUGGGCGACCCCAAGGACGUUCGUGUUCGUAAUGAGGCGACCGCAACUCUGUCCGUGUUGCAAUGAAUGACCACAACGCCACCUGUAUUGCAAACAAUGACUACAAUGUCAAUGAGCAACUACAUUGUCAAUGUGCAACCGCAACAUUGUCUGUGUUGCCAUGGUGGCAGUGGACUGCUACAUGGGACAAAUUUGAUAUCCAGCAACACGAAUGAUCCCCACCCAAGAUCAGUGGGUUGACGGGCAGCGUAGACCAUGGAAAACCUUAACAAACAACCAUUAAUCACAUCGAGCGAUCCGCCGCCUGGAGCAUUCAUCACGUGUCCCUCACGUCACGGGGCAGACGCAUUGCUUCUCCCAUCUACCUUAUCACCAACAUCGAACACAACCACCCGUUGAACCUUUAUUUUUCUUCUCCGCCCAACCGCUUUCUCCUUGGGUCUCAUCCCUUACCCGUUCUUUUCUCUUACCACUCUAACAACUCCCCCUCACGCAUACCCCACAACCACCCUGCAUUGGCAAGCAGAUGUUGGAAUGCAACGGAUCGCUGCAAGCCUACUGCACAUAAACGAUAUUGCUUUGAGGGGGGUUGUCAUGUUACGAGGUCCCCAUCACAUGUCGGUGUUGCAACAGAACUGCGACACGCGAGAACAUGUUGCGAAGCCACGACCAAGGAGGAGCGCUUGUUGGUACUGCAACCCGACAACCAAUGUUGCACGCCAUCGGUUGCACCUGGGGUUGCAAUUGCCUUUCUUGACGGCAUUGCAAGCGCAAAAGGGGGGCGUCUCCGGUACAACGGAAGGCACUGGGCUCGAGGGUUUUAUCAUCGCCGGGGCUCCAAGCACAUCGCUGGUUUGCAACGUCGCUGGUGCCUCACGCACAUUGCGGGGUUGCCAUGUAGCAUGUGGUUUAGGCGCAUCCACACAUGUCUCGUGUAGUGACAGUGACCGCAACAUGGGCGAUGAUGCAAUGGCGACCACAAGGUUGUCCAUAUUAUGAUGGGAGGCCGCAACAUCGUUUGUGUUGUGUUGGUUGCAACCUGACCCAACGACUAUGUGGUUACAGUUUCGGUGGCCCACAACCCGACUGAUCUUCGGCAAAGAUGAAUUGGCUGACCUGUUGUGUGAACCUUUAUCACGCCCAAGAUGCGACCCUAUCCUCGAUUUGGCACGAGGGCCUCGUCAGGGAUAGAAGCGCAUCUCGUCGUGUCGCAAGAAUGGAUAUCGUUACAAGUACAUGUACUGAAAAGAAGAGAUAUAUUUAUAGAAUUGUCUUACACUCGCCAUAAGCUACAUCACGGUCACAUCUGUACAAUACAUAGUCAUCAUGAAUAAGAGGAGGGUCCGACUACGGACGAAAACAAACGAGAAAAGAAGAACGACAUCCAUCCUUGCUAUCCCAGUUGCCGGCCUGGAACCCAACCUAGAUCGAUGAAUAAGAAGAAGAAGCAACUCCAAAUGAACAAUCAACGCGCUCGCGUCAAGUAACCUUUACAUAUACCCGCAACUGGUGUUGUAGUGAUCUGUGAGCCACAGGGGACUCAGCAAUCUCAUUUCCAAAGGUAUCAAGACUAGCAAAGCUUAAUGGGUGAGGCAUGGUUAAGUGAUGAGGUUGCAGCAGCGUCUAAGCAUAUAUUUGGUAGAUAAACUUACGAGUACAAGAAAUAAGAGACGGGGAAGAUCUACGUAUAGCGGACGUGAACUACGGUUGAUCAAAUGAAUGAUCCUGAACACCUACCUACGUCAGACAUAACCCCACCGUGUCCUCGAUCGGAGAAGGAACUCACGAAAGAAACAGUCACGGUUACGCACACAAUUGGCAUGUUUUAAUUAAGUUAACUUCAAGUUAUCUAGAUCCAAUGUUAAACAAAGUUUCCACGUUGCCACAUAACCGCGGGCACGGCUUUCUGAAAAGAUUUAACCCUGCAGGGGUGCUCCAACUAGUCCAUCACAAAUUACCACGAGCCGCAUAGAAAUCCUCGAUCACGACACUCGCGAUCUCGUAGGAUUCCUUAGUGGAAAACCUCAACUCUGAGGUUACCCAAAGCAUCACCAGAAUCCCGAUACACAAGAUAUCUCGUCAAAGGUAAAACUAAUCCAGCAAGGCCGCCCGACGUGUCGACGAUCCCGAUAGGAGCCGCGUAUCUCGUUCUCAGGACACGAAGGAUGGAACUAGCUGCGAGUGCCAAACCUCGAGUUUCCUCACGGUGGCCCCACAGGCAGACCGUUUUAGACCAACACUCAUGAGGAGCACUGGUCCGGGGGUUGAUUAAAUUUCCUUGGGUUAAUUACUCCCUAUGCGGUUCAUUAGUUAUUAGGCAAAUGUAAAACCAAAGUUGGGCCUUGCCAGACCAACUUUAAUCUAAAACGAAUUAUCAAGGCGGUCCCCAUAACAACCCCGAUCGUGUUAGGAGCGCUCAAUUAUGGAACAUAACACCGGUAACCGAAACUAAGGGGGCAAAGGUGGAACAAAACACCAGGCUAGAAAGGCCGAGCCUUCCACCUUUUACCAAGUAUAUAGGUGCAUUAAAUUAAUUAGCAAUUAUAUGGUGAUAUAACAAGGAACCCAUGUUAUCACAUGGAAACAACUGCACCUGCACCUAGCAACGCUAACACAUGGUUAAGCAAGCGGUAACAUAACCAAUCAAUGGUUUGCUAGGUUGUGAACAGGUUGAAGGUUUUCAUGGCAAUGUUGAGAGGCUGACAUUUAACAUGUGGUAGGUAACGAGACAUAGCGACAGAAACAAAACAACUAGCAUGGAAAUAAUAGUAAUGGUAUCUAGGGAAAUNAGGGGGCAAAGGUGGAACAAAACACCAGGCUAGAAAGGCCGAGCCUUCCACCUUUUACCAAGUAUAUAGGUGCAUUAAAUUUAAAUAACAUUUAAUAUGGUGAUAUUACAAGGAACCCAUGUUAUCACAUGGAAGCAACUGCGCCUGCAACUAGCAACGCUAACAACAUGGUUAAGCAAGCGGUAACAUAGCCAAUCAGUGGUUUGCUAGGUUGAGAACAGAUUGAAGGUUUUCAUGGCAUUGUUGAGAGGCUGAUAUUUAACAUGUGGUAGGCAACGAGACAUAAUCGAUAGAAGCGAUAAAACUAGCAUGGCAAUGAUAGUAAUGAUAUCUGGGGAAAUGGUCAUCUUGCCUGAGAUCCCGCUUGGAAGAAGAACAACUCCGUGAAGCAGGUGAACCGAUGUAGUCGAACGGGUCCUCACAUUCCAACACGCUUGCGGAACUCUAUCGAGACGGAGCAAACCGGAAACAAGCAUCAACACAGAUAAUCACCAUGUCAAAUGCACGACAUGAAGCACAACCUAAUAUGAUGCAUGAUCAACUCAAAAUGCAAGAGAUGGCAUGGCAAUUCACCUCACGCAAACACUACACAUUAAGUGAAGCUCGAUAUGCAACGAGUUACAUAUCGACGAAACUCCACAUUGAAUUAUUUAGUUCACUCACGUUUAUUUACACGCAAUAUUAAAUUGUUGUUAACAUGGCAACGAGUGAAGCGAUGAUCCUACAUGUCAUCCUAGCCGGUAAACACGCGGAGCAUAGAUCGGAGCUACGUCACAAGAAAUAUGCAACACAAGAUAUUAUGCCAUGAAUGCAUCAUGCAUGCCAGUUCACAACAACACGGGCAAGAAGAGAAGAAGCAUGUGUCGCCAUGGCGAACGAAAGGGAACCAUGGCGGCAAGACGGAAACGAAGCCACGACAACGUUCAUAUCCCGAUAACUCAAUGAGAUAUCGGUGCCAACGAAUUGGAAGCGUGUGCGGGUCAAGCCAAAUAAUGAUGGGGUGAUCCCGGUUACCGGGUUCCCAUGUCUCGAGGGCACGACGUAAGAGGGACAACGUGCAACGGGCAAACAUAUAAGGCGCUAGCAUACAAUUACAUCUCAUACAUCACAUGCACACGGUUCACGACAACGUCCCAUCGGUAUACCUUCGCAGCAUGCAAAUUGGAGCGGUUCAGAUCGUUGCGGCAUAGGAGAACAAAGAUUGUUGUGGACGUCGUGGAAGUCGGGGUACUCGUGAUCUUGUUGACGGUAGUAGUUCGCUUGGCGUUGUGGUACACGGGUGUUCGCGUCGGUAGUAGUGCACUGCUCCGUAGAUGUUCGAGGUCGUCGAGGACGUCGUGGUACUCGGCGAACUUGUCGACGAUCCAUGGUGGCGGGGAUGGUGCACGCGGUCUUUGGCGACGGCAACCAGCGACAGCAGCAACACGACUACAGCAGCAACAACAACAUGCAACGGCGACACAACAGAAAGCAGCAACAGCAUAGCAGCAAGCAAUAGCAAAUGGCGACAGCAGCACGCGGCAACAACAUCAAGCAACAUAGCAGCAGCAACACAUGCAGGCAAGCAUUAGCAGCGAGACAACAGCAACAAGCUAGCAUGGCACAACGACAGCUACAUCAAGCACCGACAACAACUAGCUAGCAGCAAGCAACACAGGCACAACAGUUAGCAGGACAACGGUAAACAACUAGCAGGCACAUCGGCGACGCAGCGGGCAACAACAUCAUGCGACAUCGCUAACAACAGCAUAGCAGCAGGCAAGCAACAGCAGCGGGGCGAGGGGAACAUGGAGGCGCGCUCGGGUCGUGCGAGGAAGGAGGAGGCCAUGGCUGCCAUGGCGAGCGGGACCUCUCCGGUGGCCGGCCAUGGCGAACAGCGGCAGGGGAGAGGGCACAGGGCGGCUCGGGCUCCGGCGUGCAAGGCGGCGCGGGAGACCAAGGGCGGCGGCGACAGCUGAGGCCGGCCGACGUGGGGUGGAGCAGCUCGGGGCAGAGCUCUGGCGACGGAGCCUGGCCUCGAUGGGGCGCGCGGCGAGCUCCUGCGGUAGGGAGGCUGCGGUGACGGGUGGAGGCACAAGCGGGCUAGGGGGGUUCCCGCGGCAGGGGAUCAGGGCUAGGGCGGCGCUGGGGAUCUCCGCGGCACGGGAUCGGGGCUAGGGCGGCGCUGGGUGACGCGAGGAGAGGAGAUCGGCGAGGCUAGGGAGAACGACGACGCAGCGAGGGGAAUCAGGAAGGAGGAGAUGGGAUCGAGCUGGAGGCUGUCUGUCGCUAGGUCAGGGGCCUUGCCGCGGUGGGCCUUGAGCCGGCUUGGCUCAGGCUGACCUCUCUCUUCUGAAAAAAUAAAUAACAAAGGCGGUUUUAAAAGAAAAAGAAAANAAUAGAUUGGGACUUUUUGAAGAAUAAAAAUAAAACCCUUUUUUUAUAAAUAAAAAAAUGAGACUCUAUUUUUAAAAUAAAACAAAAGAAGUAAAUAAAGGAAAAUCCAAGGGGUUGCCUCCACAUUUAAUAAAAUGAUUUUUAAAAGAAGACGAACAUUUUAUAGGGAUUAAAACUGAAACUUUAAAACAGCCACAAAAUAAAAUAAAAAGGAGAGAAGGUUUUAUGUCCAUGGUGCAACAAGGGUUUUGAAGUGGCUCUUGUUGCACCCACUCUCAUCACACCAUCAAUACAUUGUCACACUCGUAAGGUACUAACACUCCAAAAACAAGGAGCAACAAGCAACACAGACAAAGAACAUAGUUGACAUGAUGCAUGCAUGAUGCAAUGAUGCACAAGAUGAAUGCAAAAAACAAAAAUAAAACACACCGCGACAACGAAUUAAAAGGGGAAUCUUCUGGAGCGUCGGCAUCGGGCUGUCACAACCUUUUAGAUGGAUCCAAGAUUUCUCUUAUGUAAUAAAUCAAUUUUUUUGGCAUGAGUUUUGUCUUAUUAGCUCGUAUAUUACUUGUACCUCACUUGCUAAACAGAACUCCACCACGAAUUAGCUCCCACAAUAUUUUUGAUUUAGUACAAUCAACUUCUAGACUGCGAAGACUGGCAAUCGAACGUCAUUACCCAAUCCUAUCAAAGUGGAUGAAAGCUUCAACAAGACAACAACCAUGUAGCUCUCCCACAAUCGUGGAUGAUGAUGAAGCUCCCUCCUGCGCUCUCCCACCCGGCCAUAUAGAACUUGUCAUGCGGUGCUACAUGAGUCGAUGGCUAUUUUUAUGGACGCACAGGGUGGGGUGGGUGGGGGAACAUGGCCUGCAAUGCGGUAGCUACAGUCUUGGUGCACCACUAGCGUGAAAUAUGUUACUACCUCCGUCAUGUCACAGUUUAGAAGGCACACACGUAUAUCUAGGUUGUCAAUUUGACUUAUAUAAAAUCUAUUGUUUAAUAUAAAAAUUAUAUCAUUAAAAAAUAGAAUAUCUAAAGUUUUUAAAAAUAUAUUUUUUGUGUGUUUAGUAGCUACGCAAGAUGAGUGAUCGUGCGUGGAUGUACACCGGUCACCCNUGGAGGGCGUAUGAUGGAUGGAAUCUAUGUUGCAUAAGUCCGCAUGAUAAGUUGUGCUUGACGUAAAUUUGUCUGGACGAAGGCCGGCGGUAGAGUUUUUUUGUGUCCGAAACAUUGGCCACAUUGUGGAAGAUGCCUUGGACAUGAUGCAACACCAGAGGCGGACCUAGAAACUAUUCCACGUGGGGCAAACUAUAUGAAUGGAGCACACUUUAUACCAAUGUAGAUAGUUUUGGCAAAUUUUUCUCAAAUUCCAAAGAAAAUCUACUGGAUCUUCAAAUUUUGAGUGGGAUCCCAGGCCCCCUCUCCCCUUACGCAACAUGGCUCGUGUUGCAACACACGAUCACAACACGAGCCAUGUUGCAAACGACCAGGAUGGAACUGAGUGGCUAGUGUGGCAGAGAAUUGGAUGAUGCACACGCUAUCCAAUGGUUGCGGAGGCGGCCAAUCCGUUCCAUGCUUCAUUGAAUGAGCUGUAUUCUUGUCAAUAAUAACUUUUCCUCAUAUCCCUAACUACUUUGAUGGGAUCUCCCCCGUUGGCUUCCCCGUUGAAGCUAGCAAGCCCGCCUUACAACCCCAACCAUUUGGCAAGGUCUCGUACACCGGCUAAGAUGUCAUCGUCGCUCUUGUGUUGUUGGAGGCUCUAUCUUGCGCUAGCCCGACACUAACUCGGCCGCCACUACAUCACUUCCAGCUCAAUCUUACUGUCCGAAUCAACUCGUUUUAGAAAGCUGAAGUGUUUUAUCAAAUCAAAAGCCCAAAUAUAUAAACAAUGCGCUCAAGGAAAAUCUAUGUUCAAGAUUAGAGAGAGAGAGAGAGAUAGAGAGAGGGAGAGAUGGAGAGGGNAAAUUGGCUAAAGUGUGCAUAUUUACUAUAUGCACUUUCUUUGGCAUGCUUUCUUUCUUUGACCCAAUAUAUAGGGAAAACUCCACCAUGUCAUAAAUUGGCUAAAGUGUGCAUGAAAUUCAAUUUCAUACCCAUUUGCACAUAUUUAUGUGGAGUUUGUCCUAUGCAUUAUUGGUUCUCUAACUCUUUGGUCCUAAUGAGUUUGGGCACCAUUUUGUUUAUAUUGUUGUUCUAGGAAUAGUUGGAGAUGCAUUGGAUGCUCGGCUCACCUACAAGGAAGGUGUUGACACCAUGUGCUUAUUGGAGCCAAGUUAGGAUGAUCAACGAACAAUUAUCUACUACAUUAAUCCAAUGCUAUCUCGGUAACAAGUAUCUACUUCAUGCAUACAUUUCUUGCAUUCAACCUUUCGUUGGUUGCAUCAUGGCAUGAAUUUCUUGAUUCGUUCUUGUGGUACUUGUUUCCUUUCUCAAAGCAUCCCAAUGAUGAUGUCUUAUUGCUAGUUGUGUUGUCUUUGAUGUUCGUGAGUUGGAAGUUCAUUUAUGUACAAUAAAAAAAUAUAAGGCCAUGUGCUAUGCUUUCAAGCAAAGAUCUUAUUGGUAUGUUUAUGACUUCCUUUUGGAUAUCUUGUUCGUUCGUUCUUGUAACAAUUUUGUGUGUACAUCCUUCUUUGUGGAUAUAUAUCAUCAUGAUUGUCCUCUACCUAGAAUCUUUCACAUAUGACAGAAAUUAUAUCUCUAAUUGAUUCGUUUCUUUCACAUCCACCAUUGCAUUUUCUUUUUCAGUUUUUGGUGGUUUUGUGAAAGAUUUGUCUUGAGUGCAGAUCUUAUAUUCUUCCAUCUUGAUGCACUCAUUGAUGGUGAAGAUUAUUUUUCCUCAUGCUUGUCUUUACAAGGUUAUUAUUUCCUAUCUUGGCCAUGGGUUAUCACAAGCGUUGGUUCUUAAUAUGUUUAUUAAUAAGCUUGUGAACCCAUUUGAUAGUAGUGUGUGUGUGGGAAGGAUAUGUCUUACACUUUGUUUCUAAAAAUUUCAAGACUAUGUUGACGAGUAAUGCUCAUCCUUAUCUUAGUCUUCUCAAGUGCUUUGCCAUGAAUCACACACAUCAUUUUGGUUGAGCCUAUUCUUAAGUUGCCUCUUAUACAUGUUGCUCAACCAUAUAUUUGGUGCAAGUGCUUGCUUAUUGUGUCACCUAUUUUCUUGCACUUGUUGUGUGUUUUUAUUAAUUUUGGGGAAGCAACAAUCCUAUUUUUUGCACUUGUAUCAAAUACAAAAAAAAUCUUAUUAGUGCAUAAAUCAUGGGGAGCUUCUCUAGUUUUGAUAGAACACUCCUUUUCCCAUAUCAUAAUACCUCUUAUUCAUGUGGUUUGAAGGACCAUGUGAUUGUUUGUUCCUUUUGGUAUCUUUCUUGUUGCACACACGCUAAAAAGUACCAUGUUAUCUUUUGCUAUUAAAAAAACAUUGUUACCGAGUUCUUCGCUGUUUGUCGGGAACCGGAACACGAGAUCACGUCAACAAAUGUGUAAACCGACUAAAGCCCUUAGCGAGUAGAAGGACAUGUCAUAAUACGAAUGUUAUCAAGCGCUUGGCCUCGCAAAAAAAAACUCGGCUUAUGAGAUGUAUGCCAGGGGCAAGGCGCAGCAAAGCGAAGCGUGAAGUUAGCCUUUAUCUUUAUAGUUGAAUUUGGAUCGCAACACAACAGAAUCUAGCGGGCAACAACGAGAUUAGUUAGCCUACUACUCUUGGCCAACUUAUUUCUGAACCUAACUUGCCUCAUUUGAAAAUGGAUCAAUCGUAUACUCUAGGAGGUUCCAUAAAUAUGUUCAUUUAAUAAUACACUAGAAACCACAAUUAAGAUAUCACUUAUAUAAUACACUUUUAGAGAUCUCUACAAUGAUAUUUCAUAAUAUUAAAAUAUAUAUGCCAACAUAUGCAAUUACACACAAAUAUACUAUACAAUUUAUUCAAUUUUCCAACUUUUGUUUAAACACGAGUUUUGUAUAAAACAUACAAUAACAAUUUUAUAGAGUUAAUUUUUUGAGUAAAAACAUCAAAUGGCAAAAAAGAAAUACAUAUUUAAUAUUAUACUACGUUGUUGUGUGGUUACUUAGCUAAAUAAUAGAAAUUAAAGAUAUUAAUAAUUCUAGAUAAACAUUUGGUAUAAAAUCCAUAUUUUAAUUUGUCCUAUUUCCAAAAAAAUGUUUUAACCGCCCCUAGCAUAUGUUUAAGAUUUAAUAUCCUUUAUAAAACUACUUUUAGUUCCAAAUUAUUCAACAAUAACAGAAAGUUUUGUAGCAGCCAUAAAUAUAACAAAUUAUACAAUUUGAUAUAUAUAUCAUGAUAAUCAUAUUCAUCCUUAACAUACAAAGCUAUUAUGUGAUUGUCCAUAAAUCAUCCGUUUUUAUCUGUUCAUUUUAUGUUAAUCACAAAAAUUGACGACUAAGAUUUAAAAGAAUAAUAAGUUUUUUAUAGGCCCGUGUGUCCUAUUCCUUUCACGCCCGCAUCUUGUGUAUUAGAAAAAACUGGAUGUAUGUUCAAUAUUGAAGUUAAAUUGGAUUGUCAGGAAUUAAUAAGAACUGUUCCAACGGAGAGUGACCUAACACGUGAAGGAGUUCUGUUCCGGGAGAUUCGAGCCUUUCCUUUUUAAAAUUUGUUCAUAUUUUUCUUUCGGUUUUGCCCCUCGGGCAUGUAAUAAAUUAGUGCAUGCUUUAGCGGUCUUCGAGCCCAACCAGCUGAACUCUACACAAUUUUGGCUUGAUGAUCUAUUAGAUGAUGUAAACAUUCGGAUGGCUAGUGUGUUUGUUGCGCUAGUGUGAUUUAUGAAAUCGAGGUGUUCCAUUAAAAAAAACCCGGAUGCAUGUUGCGUGUCCCGUUGAGCCAUGUCCAAGUUUAGCCACAUAAAGAAGUCCCAACACACUACGAGGCCACAACUUGAAUGCAAACACGCCUUAUCCCUUAUGAUCUUAAUCUGUGGCCUCCAUCGUCCCAUGGCACGCCGUGCCGUGCUGUCGAACGGUAAGCACUCGUCAUUCCAAGCUGCUCACUCCGGCAUAUUUUCUUAGAGAUAGAGAGGUACAUGAAACAUAUAAAAUUUCAGACCUAAAUUUAUUUAGAGAGCAAGCUCUUGUCGUGGCCUUUCAAUUGUUGUACAACUACAAGAGAAUUCUACGUGACGUUCGAUUUAUUUAGAUACGGUACUCCUCACCGGUGUGCUGUCCGGUGGCGUGGCACCUUAGAGAGGUCGUACAAAACCUGACCGACAUUGGGUGCGGUGGCGCGCACACCGAGACCUCAACGAAGGAGACUGGAUGGUCUCCUUGAAGAAGGCGGAGAUAUGGUCCCACUGGUACGCGACAACCGCCGGUCAGCUGAUGCCGUGGUUGUAUCCGAUCUUGACCUCCACGAUGGCCAUUGCAUACGUGAUGUGAGGAGCACGCAGAUGUAAUGCAUCAGGUCGUAUACAGGUUACGCUCGCCUUGACGGCCGUCACGCCAUUGCCGACGUGGGGCCAUGUAUCCAUCAUGGAGGAGUCGGAAGGGCCGCCAGGGAAUAUGGCAGACGGGGUAGUGUUCCGAAAAUGUUACGGUUUCGUGGACGUCGGUGCUAGCUGCAUGAUGUCUAUAGGUGCCUGAGGCCGCACGGCUACCACCUAUGUAUAAUUACGGGGUAAAGAGGCGUACGGUGAGAUGACUGUUUUUUAUUGGAUAUUAAUAUGCCACGGGCCGCCCCUAAAAAUCAGGGGGCAGUUUUGAUUAAAAAGCAGUAGGAAACAUGCACGUGGGUUGUAACGUAAAAAAUAAUAACGGAAAACAUUUCCCUACGACAGCGCCAUUUGAUUUUAAACAUAUUAAACAACUCCACUAAAAUCAAUCAAUUUGUAAGGACAUAAUACCAAAUGUUGUACGUUGUGACGUACGAGCAUGUUUGUUAGUUCAUAAAAAAAUUAAUAUUAAUUUUUGUAAACAAUAUGAAAAUCAAGUUAAGCCAUUAGUUUACGUAAAGCUUGUAUUAGCAACAUUGUGCAUUUUUGAUACAUUUAGAAACAUUUUAAUAAACACGUUUAAUAUUGUUUAAAAUAUAAUUCAUGGUCAACAAUUUUUUUAAAAUACACUGAGUUUUGUUGUCUACUUUUUAAAUACACAUUCUAUACUUUUUGUAUACAUCAAGAACAUUUUAGAUAUACAAGUUUGACAUUCUUCAAAUACAUAAUUAAUAUUUUGUAAAACAUAUAUUUUUUAUGUCUACUUUAUUCCAUACACAUUGUAUACUUUUGUAUACAUUUUAUAUACAUCGGAAACAUUUUCUAUGCACAUUAAAAUAAAAUAAAUGCAUGAUAAAAAAUUCAAAAAGAAAGAAAAAUUAUAUUAAUAAUCCAUAUGUACUGUACAUUUUCUAUAUAUAAUGCAAACUUUUCCUAUUCAAAUUUGGUAUUUCUUUAGUGCAUGAUUGAUAUAUAUUUUUUGAAGUUUGCAUAUAGAAGAUUUUUAUAAUUGAAAUAUUCAGAUGAAUUAUUAAUAUGCCACGGGCCGCCCCUAAAAAUCAGGGGGCAGUUUUGACUAGAAAGCAGUAGGAAACAUGCCCGUGCAUUGUAACGUAAAAAAUAAUAACGGAAAACAUUUCCGACAGCGCUAUUUGAUUUUAAACAUAUUAAACAACUCCACUAAAAUCAAUCAAUUUGUAAGGACAUAAUACGAAAUGUUGUACCUUGUGACGUACGGGCAUGUUUGUUAGUUCAUAAAAAAAUUAUUAUUAAUUUUUAUAAACAAUAUGAAAAUCAAGUUAAGACAUUAGUUUACGUAAAGCUUGUAUCAGCAACAUUGUGCAUUUUUGAUACAUUUAGAAACAUUUUUAGUAAACACAUUUAUAUUUUUUAAAAUAUACUUCAUGGUCAACAUUUUUUUUAAAUUAUACUGAGUUUUGUUGUCUACUUUUUAAAUACACAUUCUAUAAUUUUUGUGUACAUCAGGAACAUUUUAGAUAUACUAGUUUGACAUUCUUCAAAUACAUAAUUAAUAUUUUGUAAAACAUAUAUUUUUUAUGUCUAUUUUAUUCUAUACACAUUGUAUACUUUUGUAUACAUUUUAUAUACAUCGGAAACAUUUUCUAUGCACAUUAAAAUAAAAUAAACGCAUGAUAGAAAAUUCAAAAAGAAAGAAAAAUUAUAUUAAUAAUCCAUAUGUACUGUACAUUUUCUAUAUAUAAUGCAAACUUUUCCUAUUUAAGUUUGGUAUUUCUUUAGUGCAUGAUUGAUAUAUAUUUUUUGAAGUUUGCAUAUAGAAGAUUUUUAUAAUUGAAAUAUUCAGAGUACAUCUAAAGAAAUCCGAAAAAAGCAAAUAUAAAAAAUAUAAAUGCUCAAGGCAGGUGUUAGAACCUGAGUCUCCAGGAUGGAAGCGCAGGCAGCCAACCAAUCGGCAUGGACAUGCACUUGUUCUUCAUGGAGGAUUCGCUGCCAGUUGACACAGACACAAACGACCGACUUAUAAUAAACCGAAUCGUUUCCUCCACUUACUUCCUCCACUUACCGAUAGCAUAAGGGGUAAUUCAUACGAAAUUUAGGGACAAAUUCCAUGACGGAUGACCAGAAACAGUAUUUACUUUAUUAUUAGAUAAGAUAUACAGAUAUAGAUAUAGAUAGGAGUCUGUAUGUUUAUGUAGCGAUCUUUUAUAAAUCUAGCAUUUUUGUUGAGUAACUGACGGAACUGAUUUUUUCAGAAACUUUCACAGCAGCUGUUAACUGAGUUUUUCAGAAACUAACGCACGACAGAGACCAGUACAUACAUCAAUGAUCUUGCUGCUCUUGAGAUUCUUCUUCACUUAGGAUGCGUUUGGUUGCUCGCAUAAGAUCCAACUAGAUUAAUAAGAAAACGGAUUGAUUGGUUGCCAGCACACAUUAUUGGAUCUUCAUGGCAUAAACUUUUUGCAACUUAUUGAACAUCUAAAGGGAUUCCCAAUGUCGGACUCCCAAGACUUGCCUAUUUGGCUACUAGAGCCUAGUGGAAAAUAUUCGGCUAAAUCUUUUUACACCAGCAUUAACUUUGGUGGUGUAGUUUCUUCUUUUGGAGAUACUCUUCGGAAAACUUUGUGCCCACAAAAUAUACAUGUGUUGCUGUGGUUAUGUUUAUACAACAAGAUCUUAACUAAAGAUAAUGUUGCUAAAAGGAAGCUAGUUGAUGACUUAUCAUGUUUGUUCUGUAAUGAAGCUGAAUCUAUUCAACAUUUGUUCUUUGACUGUAUCAAUACUAGUAGUAUUUGGUCGUUGGUGUGCGAAUUCUUCCAUCUUGGAAGAAUUAAUUGCUUUGGGAAAUUUAACAAAAAAAUACAUGUGCUUAACCUGGUAACAACUGCCUCCUUGUGGAGUAUCUAGAGAUUGAGGAAUGAAUUUGUUUCCACGGACGCACAUGGAGAGGACUAGGCUACGGUCUUGCCAAGUUAAAAGGGAUCCUGUAGCAAUGGUUGGUUCUUUGCGACGCUGCGCAGGCGGACACUCUGCGGAGAUUCGUUCUUCUGUUGGACAAACACCAAGGGAAGCUCAUGCGGAUAGCAUGGAUCUGAACAUGUGACCGCUUCUUCUCUAGAUUUGGUGUUGUAAUAAAAAUUAUGCUCUGGUGUUUGCCCAGGUCCUUGGAGUCUCUUAGUGUUGCCGGUUGACUAUCGUUUAAGUUGCUCCCCAGACAUUACCUGAGUGUUUUGCCUGGAUUGGAUGUUUUCUUUAGUUGGUUGUAGACGUUGGUCUUGUAGUUCGGUUUGCUUUGUUGCUUCAUUAAUAAAAUGGGCCGGGGGGAAAACCCUUUCUUAAAAAAAACAUUUGGGUAUGUCUCACGAGGCAUGCUUGAAGAUGCACUUUCUCACGAGCCAGGCCCGCACGAGGCACGUGGGCGGCGGGGGCUGCACGCGAGGAGCCACCAUCGAGAAGCUGCGUUGCUUUCCGAAGUGCCGACAGUUAUUACCCUCACCGCUCUCUCCCCCUCUCCCCUCUCUUCUCUCUCCAUGCACCUAUGGCGGCUCUGGCGUGCAACAGAUCGGAGAACCGCAAGUCGAUCUCCGGUCACCUUCAUCGGCAUCCGUGGCGUAGCACUUCGGCAAUGUCGGUAAGCAAUUUUUUCCCUUCUCACGUGCUACUUCUCAUUCGAUUAGAGUUUAGGUUCGUCCGAAGUUAGGGGAAUGGGGAAUCGGGUAAACACCAUAUGAGUGAUCAGAACAUCAUCAUGACUAGCAGUAGAUAUGAGAUUCCGAUCCGGAUUGAGUACAAUAGGGCUGGGGAUUAGAGUUCAUCUUACAUAGUACACACAGAUCUUAGCCUCGGGGACCCUGGAGGUGGUUGGAGCGGUGGGUGGCCUUGGCCUUGGUCUUCUCCCCGACUUGCACAACUGUCUCUUCUUCCUCGCUGGAGUGCAGCUCGAUGGGCAUGCUUCAGUGUCCUGGCUCCGGUGCCCUCAUAAUCAUCGUGAUCGCAUUUUCUUCUUCCACCUCCAUAGCCACCUGUUCUUGAUCCUCCUCCAAUGGCACCACCACAUUUUUUGUGGUGAAGUACAAUGUGGCACGAUGGUCAUGAGGAUGCCGAUACUGUUUGUACUUGGCCAACUUUGCCCUCUAUCUAGCAUCGUCGGAGUCGUCCUGAGUCAUGGCCCAGUGAACUAUGUCAGCUGACAUAGCGCCCUUUGUUGGGUCAAGAAUCAAUGUCUUCAACUCGUCCUACAUGGCCUUUUUCACCACAACGUCUGACUUUGUGUGCAUCUCUUUCAAGCUGCUAAAGUUAGAGCACACUUUCAUGGCGUUCUCAAACUUGGUGCGGUCAUCGAGCAAGCACCCUAGGACGAAUGCCCUCCAUCCAAUGCCCCAAGGGAAGGGAUUGGGGAUGGGGUUGGGAUUGGGGUUCGACUUGUUGUCAGAGUUCAUGUCGUUGGGUUGGAGGAAGAGUGAGAGACAGAUAGGUGGAGUGGUGACCGUCAGGAUGGGUAAAUAAUGGAAUUCUGGGUGAUAAGUUUUAAUGAGAUGUUGAAAUGUGCAUAAUGGAGAUCCUAACCCAACCGCAUGAACCUGUCCAUAAUACAAAUCGACACGGAGAACAAGGGCAAGGAGGUGGUCCGACCAAAGGAGCAAGAGAAGAGCAAGGACGUGGUGCCUCCUUGAGAGAUGACGCCCAUCCAGAGCCCGGCCAUGGACAACGACGUGCCGUAGGAGCCCCCUAGAGGCAAGCGCUCAAACUAUGACCACUACUAUGAGGUGGGUAGACCAGGAAAGUCAUAUGACAUAUUACCUGUAAUACUAAUCCUAGUAGUAAUACUUUUGUAAGAAAGUAGUAUAAAUAAGCGCUUCGCCACAUCUAAGCUGUACAGCUCCAGUGAUGUUAAGGAUUAAGUUGAUACAUAUGUUUCUCCAUAUUUAAGAGAGUAUGAGAUGUAAUGCGGGGAUGGUUGCUUUAUACUACUCCCUUCAUCUCAAAAUAAGUAUCGCAAAUUUAAUAUUGUAUAAAUUUUAUACUAAAACAGCGACACUUAUUUUAAACCGGAGGGAGUAAUGUAAAGUGGGGGGACCUUUUUUCGUCUAGAGUAUGAGAUAUUGGGUAUACCAAAUGGUAGUCGCUUUGCACCAUCCACGUCUGGAAGCUUUGGCUAGGAGUGUCACGACCAAGGACGCGGUGUGCUGUGCGCUGUCCAUGUUGACGGGCCAUCCUCGAGUUGCCCCUACCAGGCAAAUCCGCUCGCCUCGAGUUGCCCCUUCCAAGCAAAUCUGGUCGCAAUUGCUAGUCAUCGACGUCCUCCGAGCGGCGUGUGGAUGGCCACAUAUUGUUGUUUUUUGCUCGUCUACGGUGAAGCCUACAUUGAUGAUUGUUAAUGGUGAAGUCGGAGUCGCCCUCGCAGAGGUGUGAUGACGAUGACGCCGGAUUACAACCUUGAUGAAGCUCUUUCCCUUGACGGCGUGUGUGCGUUUUUGUGUAGGUUUUCAGGUCGCCUUGUGUGCCUUGUUGUGGGCGCAUUGUGACGGUUUUAGCCCGAUUUUCCGAUUAUUAACCGGGCAAUUCUCUUCGACCUUUUUUAAUGAAAUCGAUACCUAAGGGACCGCGUUUCAAAAAAUAAAGUGGUAAAGCUUUCUAGACUCCGUAAUCAUUUCAGUUGGUCACGGCAUGCUACUCUGAUUUUAGCAUCCCAUUAUCUAAAACAUUUUAUAGAUGGCACAUUUGUGAAAUCAGAUGAUAAUGUUGAGUGAGAGCAAUUUGAACAGAAUGAGAACCGUUGUUUUGGCGUGGUUGUUGGGGGUCAAGUUGACUCCUUUCAUGCCAAUUUUGCCNGCCUUGUGACGGUUUUAGCCCGAUUUUUCGAUUAUUAACCGGGCAAUUCUCUUCGACUUUUUUUUAAUGAGAUCGAUACCUAAGGAACCGUGUUUUAAAAAAUAAAGUGGUAAAGCUUUUUGGAGUCGGUAAUCAUUUCAGUUGGUCACGGCAUGCUACUCUGAUUUUAGCAUCCCAUUAUCUAAAACAUUUUAUAGAUGGCACAUUUGUGAAAUCAGAUGAUAAUGUUGAGUGAGAGCAAUUUGAACAGAAUGAGAACCGUUGUUUUGGCGUGGUUGUUGGGGGUCAAGUUGACUCCUUUCAUGCCAAUUUUGCCACCCGAGACACCGCCUUUGAGCUACUGCUCAACUCUAUGUUCAUUUCUACAUGAGAGAGUAGGAAUAACAGAUCAAGGGCAUACAAGUCUGUUACUACUAUCUUACACUCAAUAACUCGUGCUCUUGUUAAUUUCAUUUGGGGAUUCCUCUCAAGCAUUGAAUGCGCUCGUCCGCCAAUUGGCUGAGCAUACAAUUUGUAUGACCGGUCUAGUUGUAUACAUAUGACUUUUCUGGUCUAGAUGAUGAACUUGGUUAGGUUCAUCUAAGUCGUAUGACAUAUAGCUGUAGUAGUAAUCAUAGUAGUAUAAAUACUAAGCACUUGUCCACAUUGCACCCAUUCUCAACUCUACUGCCACUGAGAAUUUAUAAGUUGAUGCAUAUAUUUCUUCAUAUUUUAUAGUGUAUGAGAUAUUGGAGUACACCAAAAGGUAGAAGGUUAAAGGUGUGCGGUGGCGCGCAGUCUGUGCACCAUAUGUUGGUGAAUCAUAGUCUGAAUAGGCUAGGUACAAUUGCAUCCAUCCUAGGACAACACGAAUGAAGAAUUUAGUGUUAGAUAGCAAAGGCAGCUGAUAGCAAGUCAAAUACACACCACACUACCACACGUGCAAUGUGUCCUCUAUUUACCAGGAUUCCGGUGCUGCACCGAUGAUUCCUGGCCGCAUCCAAGCGCGGCGGAGUGCCAUCGGUGUGCUGUCCCGUGUCAUGAAGCGCCCACACAAUCUGCAGUUCACCUAUACGAUUAUAGCCAUAUACGAUCAUACCCGUGCAUGACAAAGUUAGGUAGGCUCAUCAAAGCGUUAUGUCUGUUCAAGCUAUUGUAAUUAGUAUAAAUAGUAAGCACUUCAUGUGAUUUAACCCAUUCUAACUCUUGCCACUGUUGUUGAGAACAAUAAAUAAAGUGUACACAUAUGUUUCCUUUGCGUAUUAUAUAGAGUAUGCUUGAGAUAUUGGAGUACAACAAAAUAUAAUUUCUGUUGGGAAGUAGCCUGCUAAGUUGUUAAUUUGUUGAAGGGAGUUUUCUUCGGUGGUUGUAAGAGGAUUGUCGUGAAGCAGUGUUUUUUUUCUUUUCUUUUGAAAAUGGCAGGAUUCUUGCAUUCAGGCCAAUCACGUUCUAAUAGAUCCAAAUGAAAAUUGAUUCGUGCUCGUUUGAUCCAGGGAUACCGGCCGGUGCCCAAACGGGAGUGUUGACUUGCAAUUUGGAGUUCGAUCAAAAUAUGUUUUCAGCAUGUUCCAGCCGUGUUUUUGUUUUGGAAUCCGGUGAUGUACAUGUUAUCAUCAGCCGUUGCUAGCUGUCAUGGUUCGCUAAUCAGAUAUUUUAAAGAUUUUACUCUAGACUAGAUACGAAACUAAGUAAAUGAAUCUAAAUUUUAAAAUAUGACUACAUACAUCCGUAUGUAGUUUAUAGUAAAAUUUCUAAAAGGUCUUACAUUUACUAUUUAGGAACAGAGGAAGUAUAUAUACUCUAUUCCAACAAAUCUCAGUGUGAUUUAUUGUUCUUCUUUGACCAAUGUGCGCUAGCAUUAUCCAUUUGUUAGGAUUUUUUGACAUUUUAAAAUUUAUUUUCCAUAGGCAGGAGCACGUCCUCCUGGGAGCCGAAUUGCAUCUCCGCAAUUAGUUGUAUUUAUAUCUUUGCUGAUAGUAUUAUUUGCAAUAAGCUGUAGUACUUACUUACAGAGUCGAUAUGGAACUGCGUAUUGCAAACUCCUGUAACUAAUACUGUAAGUAUUGUCAGGGCCGGGCCGGCAAAAUCCGGGUCCUGUGCGGAACGAAAAAAUGGGGCCCUAUCUCAUAAAAAUAUGAACUAACAAGCAAUUAUAAUGUAUAUAUGUCUCAUAGAAAAAAUUAUAAUGUAUAUAAUAUAAUAUCUUACAUAAAAAAUGGACAUAUAAAAAAGUCAUACCUAUGCAACUUUCGAUUGCUAUUUAUUUGAACAUCCUCAUUCUUGCAGUAUUCUUUGAAAUAAAAUCUUCAAUGAUAUCCUCGUCAUCAACCUUCUCCAAGACUUCACCCUCAAGUGCUAUUGUGGCCAAAUCAUUGAGUCUUUGUUGUGUCAUAGUAGUACGCAUAUAGGACUUCAAUAGUUUCAAUUUGAAAAACUUCUUUCUGCCAAUGCAACUGUCACAGGAAUGGUCAACAGAACUCUAUAUGCAAUACUUGCAUUGAGAAAACAAUCAUGCCGCUUCAAAAAAUUCAGAAUUUCAACAGGUCCGAUAUUUUCUUUUGGCAUGAAAUCUUGAAGAAACUUCAACUCAACAAAUAGUUCAUUGGCAUCAAUAUCAGAUUGUUUAUCCUUGAUAAGGGAAGCCUCAAUAUUAACACAAGAAGAUUUCAAACUAUCCUUAUCCAAUGAACGCAAUGUUUCAGAGGUAAAUAAGAAACCAAAUAUUUUCUGGUAACCUUCAUAUUGCUCAAAUCUCCUUGUGAGUGAGGAAAUUGCUUGAUCAACAACACGUAUGAAAUAGUUGACUCUAAAUGAUUCCUCUCCAGACUGUGUGGCAAUAUUUGUGUCGUCUGGGUUCUCAUCAAACUGUUUCUUUCUUUUAAUUUCUCUUCUUUUACGAAAUGUUGCAUCAAUAUUCAUCUCAAGUGCAAUUUCUUUGGUAUCUCCAAUGCUUCUAAGAAACCAGUUUCUCUGUACCCCUCAAAGAAAGAAAUAAGCCCUUUCACUUUCUCAAUUGCAACAUUAAUAAGCAUAUCCUUUUUUUGCAAGUUCUUGCUUAUUAAAUUAAUAGCAGACAAUACCUCAUACCAAAUGACUAUUGCCAGGAUAAAUUCAUACUCUCCAAGUUCAUUGUUUGCCAAACCUAGAGCCUCACUGCUUGCCUUUGGAUCACUAUUAGUUUCAGAUACCUGAAAUUAAAAGAAAGUUCAUAAAUGUUACGGCUAGAUCUAGUCAAAGGCUGAAUGAAUUACAUCAUUAUCAAUAUGAACAUAUUGGUUACCUGAAGUAGAGCCUCCCGAAUGUCUGAACAUUGAAAUCUAAUUGGUUUAACACUUUCAACACGACUCUCCCAACGCGUAGCUGACACACACUUGAGAGUCAAUCCUGAUAUGUUUUCUUUCAAAAUAUGCCAGUUCUUAGUAGAAUUUGCAAAAGUUGUAUAGAUGAGUUGGAUGAUCCCAAAAAAGUCUUUUGCUCUACCACAAGUCUUGGCCAUAUCACAAAGUGUUAAAUUAAGGCUAUGACAACCACAAGCAGAAUAAAAAGCUCUAGGAUUUACAUCCAAAAGUUUUCUUUAUACCCCUUGAUGCGUUCCUUUCAUAUUUGAUCCAUUAACAUAACCUUGUCCUCGCACAUCAUUUAUAUCAAGAUCAAGAAGUUUUAGCUCAUUCUGUAGCACCUCAAAAAGUCCUUGGCCAGUUGUAUCAUUUACAUCAAGAAAUUCUAGAAAGGACUCUUCUAUGCAAACUUGACUUGAAGAUGAAUCCACAUAUCUUAUAAUUAAAGACACUUGCUCUUGGUGACUUGCAUCAAGGGUACAAUCAAGUAUGACAGAGAAAUACUUUGCGCUCUUUAUUUUCUUGAUAAUUUCAGACCUAAUACAAGAAGCAAGCAAGUGUAGCAAUUCAUUCUGAAUAUUAUGAUCAAGAUAAUGAGCAUGAGUUUCUUCAUUUGUAAUACGACGAACAUGCUCCUGAAUAAUGGGGUCAAAUUCAACCAACAUCUCUACCAAACCCAAGAAAUUACCAUUGCUAUCUUCAUACAACUUGCCAUUAGUACCACAUAAUGCUAGAUUAUGCUUGGCAAGAAAUUUUACAAUGCAAACAAUUCUGAAUAAUACCUUUCUCCAAUGGUCCUUCUCUUUCCCAAGUUGUCGUUGAGCUGCUUUAUCAAUAGUUUGAUGUUUUUCCAAUCUAAUGCGCAACUCAUACCAAUUAGUCAUACUCAAAACAUGAUCCCCACUUGUCUCAUGGUCUUUUAGUCUAUUGGUCAUAUGUGACCAAUCAUUACAACCCUUAUUUGCCAAUUGACCUUUCUGAUGACUUUUUCUAAAUAACUUACAAGCAAAGCAAAAGACUCUAUCAAGUUGUUUAGAAUAGACAAGUCAGUCUCUAUCACAACACUCUCCAUUUGAUAGAAAUCUAGUAUAGAAUAUUGCGGUAAACCUUUUACGAUAUCUAUCUUUAGGACCUUUCUUAAUUGAAUUGUCUCUUUUUGAACCCUUUUGUGCUAAGAUAUCAAUCUGUUUAGAACCAAGAGAAUCCCGGUUUCUUGGAUCAAAUAUAUCAGACUUAGAAAAAUCAUCAACAUCCUCACGAGGUGAACUAUUCAAGUUAACAUCAAUAUGAUCCUCUACUUCCAUAUUAUCUGUCUCUGUCUGACCAUCUCUAGCAUCAUUGUAAGGAACAAUUGCAAGGGUAGAAGGAUCAACAGACUGAUUACUGGAUGACACUUGCGGUGCUUCUUUUCUAACAAAUUUGUCCAUGCCGCCUUUAUAAGAUUUAUUAAUUAAAUUUUGUUCUUCCGCUUUUCUCUUGCGCUUAUAGGCACCAAACUGAUGUUUCCCCAUGAUGAUUCAAAUCUAUAUUAUUGAAACACAAGAUCAAAAAGAUGAAUACAAUGAAAUUGAAGUUAUAUAGUAGCAUAUAUCAAUUGGAGAUCAUGCAUCAAUGUUUGGAACUUAGACGAACUGUCUAACUCACCUAGUUUUGUGUCCUGCACGGAUGAACUGGGAUCAAUCCGACGAGACGACAAGUCUCGGCGGCGGCCUAAAUCGGAUCGCGGGAUCGACUGAUAAGCAGAUGAAGUGAUCAGUCAUGAUGCGAACGAGAAGGCGACGAGCCGACGAGAUAUUCUUUUCUUACCGAAAUAGAGACGGGAGCGCUACUCGUACUGUCGUACAUGCGCACGCACGGCAUCAACGGUAGAGACGACGCGUAUCCUUCCGUUCUGUGCGAUCACGUCUACAGAAGUAUAGAUCGAUGGGGGAAGACGUCUACAGAUCGAUCAUCGAUGGGAUCAUGCAGACCUUCGUCGUGCGCACCUGCGUCCUGGGAUCAUCGAUGGGGGAAGAUGUGUGCACCUGGCGGCUGGCGCUGGCGAUCACGUUUCGUAGAUGGAGUCACGGAGGCCUGCGCGCCUGACCUACAGGCUACAAGCCACAGGCCCAGGUCGCUCUAGCGAGGCAACGUCCUGCUGGUCCAUGCACCCACCGCCCAGCGGACAGCUGGCUUGAGGCGACCACGGCGCGGAGACGAGCCACCAGCCACGACGCCCACGAAGCCACGACGCCCAAUCGUUUUCUUUAUACAACUAUAUGCUAUAUUAUAUAUAUAUUUUGGGGCCCCCAAAAUCGUGGGCCCUGUGCGGGCUGCACAUGUGACACCACUGUGGGCCCGGGCCUGAGUAUUGUGAUAACAAGAAGGUGUUGCCACGCUUCUCCACUUUGUCCAGUCGGUUGAGCAUAGAAGUUAUAUGAUGGUUCUAACUGUCCUGUGCAUGACAAUUAGUUAGUUUCACCCAAGUCAUAUGACAUAUUACCUGUAAUAGUAAUCCUAGUAGUAUAAAUACUUCUAUAAGAAAGUAGUAUAAAUAGUAAGCGCUUCUCCACAUCUAAGCUGUACAGCUCCACUGAUGUUGAGGAUUAAGUUGAUACAUAUGUUUCUUUAUAAUUAAGAGAGUAUGAGAUGCAAUGCGGUGAUGGUUGCUUUACAAUGCCCGUUCCGUCCCAAAAUAAAUGCUUUAACCUUAGUUUAAUUUUUUGCUACAGCUAGUAUAAAGAUGAAACAGUUAUUUUGAAACAGAUGAGUAUAAAGAAGGGGGAACCUUUUUUCGUCAAGAGAGUAUGAGAUAUUGGGGUAUACCAAAUGAUAGAAGGUUUAAGGUUUCAAUUGUCUCUGUGGCAGCACUAAUGUCUCCUCUUCCUGCUAGUAUUUCUUUUUCUGGUAGACAUGUGUAGCCACAAUGCAUCAGACCGGAAGCUAUUAAGUCGCUUUGCACCAUCCACGUCUGGACGCUUUGGAUAGGAGUGUCACGACCAAGGACGCGGUGGUGCUGUGCUGCGAUGUUUCUUUCACUGGAUGUAGUUGAAAUGGUGAUUUUUUUCUCGAUGUAGCGUGUACUGCAAUAUAUAUCAUACUCUGUUCCAACAAAUCUCAGUGUGAUUUAUUAUUCUGCUUUGACCAAUGCGCGCUAGCAUUAUCCACUUGUUAGGAUUUUUUUGACAUUUCAAAAUUUAUUUUCCAUGGGCAGGAGCACGUGCUCCUGGAAGCCGAAUUGCAUCUCCGCAAUGAGUUGUACUUAUAUCUUUGUUGGUAGUAUUAUUUGCAAUAAGCUGUAGUACUUAUUUGCAAAGGCGAUAUGUAACUGUGUAUUGCAAACUCCUGUAACUAAUAGUCAAGUAUUGUGAUAACAAAAAGGUAUUGCCACGCUUCUGCACUUAUCAAGCAAGCUUGUCUACCAGUCGCUUGAGCAUCGAAGUUAUAUGAUGGUUCUAACUGUCCUGAUCUGCAUGGCAGUUAGUUAGUUUCACCCAAGUCAUAUGACAUAUUACCUGUAAUACUAAUCCUAGUAGUAAUACUUCUGUAAGAAAGUAGUAUAAAUAAGCGCUUCGCCACAUCUAAGCUGUACAGCUCCAGUGAUGUUAAGGAUUAAGUUGAUACAUACUCCUAUGUUUCUCCAUAUUUAAGAGAGUAUGAGAUGUAAUGCGGGGAUGGUUGCUUUAUACUACUCCCUUCACGUCAAAAUAAGUAUCGUAAAUUUAAUAAUGUAUAAAUUUUAUAUUAGAACAGCAACACUUAUUUUAAACCAGAGGGAGCAAUGUAAAGUGGGGGGACCUUUUUUCGUCUAGAGUAUGAGAUAUUGGGUAUACCAAAUGGUAGUCGCUUUGCACCAUCCACGUCUGGAAGCUUUGGCUAGGAGUGUCACGACCAAGGACGCGGUGCUGCUGUGUGCUGUCCAUGUUGACGGGCCAUCCUCGAGUUGUCCGCAAAUCCGCUCGCCUCGAGUUGUCCGCAAAUCCGCUCGCCUCGAGUUGCCCCUUCCAAGCAAAUCUGGUCGCAAUUGCUAGUCAUCGACGUCCUCCGAGCGGCGUGUGGAUGGCCACAUAUUGUUGUUUCUUGCUCGUCUACGGCAGAGGCUACAUCGAUGAUCGUUAAUGGUGAAGUUGGAGUCGCCCUCGCAGAGGUGUGAUGACGAUGACGCUGGAUUACAACCUUGACGGAGCUCUUCCCCUUGGCGGUGUGUGUGCAUUUUUGUGUAGGUUUUCAGAUCGCCUUGUGACGGUUUUAGCCCGAUUUUUCGAUUAUUAACCGGGCAAUUCUCUUCGACUUUUUUUUAAUGAGAUCGAUACCUAAGGAACCGUGUUUUAAAAAAUAAAGUGGUAAAGCUUUUUGGAGUCGGUAAUCAUUUCAGUUGGUCACGGCAUGCUACUCUGAUUUUAGCAUCCCAUUAUCUAAAACAUUUUAUAGAUGGCACAUUUGUGAAAUCAGAUGAUAAUGUUGAGUGAGAGCAAUUUGAACAGAAUGAGAACCGUUGUUUUGGCGUGGUUGUUGGGGGCCAAGUUGACUCCUUUCAUGCCAAUUUUGCCAUCCGAGACACAGCCUUUGAGUUGCUGCUCAACUCUAUGUUCAUUUCUACAUAAGAGAGUAGGAAUAACAGAUCAAGGGCAUACAAGUCUGUUACUACUAUCUUCCACACAACAACUCGUGCUCUUGUUAAUUAAUUUCAUUUGGGGANGGCACAUUUGUGAAAUCAGAUGAUAAUGUUGAGUGAGAGCAAUUUGAACAGAAUGAGAACCGUUGUUUUGGCGUGGUUGUUGGGGGCCAAGUUGACUCCUUUCAUGCCAAUUUUGCCAUCCGAGACACAGCCUUUGAGUUGCUGCUCAACUCUAUGUUCAUUUCUACAUAAGAGAGUAGGAAUAACAGAUCAAGGGCAUACAAGUCUGUUACUACUAUCUUCCACACAACAACUCGUGCUCUUGUUAAUUAAUUUCAUUUGGGGAUUCCUCUCAAGCAUUGAAUGCGCUCGUCCGCCAAUCGGCUGAGCAUAGAAUUUGUAUGACUGGUCUAGUUGUAUACAUAUGACUUUCCUGGUCUGGAUGAUUAAGUUGGUUAGGUUCAUCUAAACCGGAGGGAGUAUGACAUAUAGCUGUAGUAGUAAUGUAUAAAUACUCAGCACUUGUCCACAUUAAUUGCACCAAUCUCAACUCUACUGCCACUGAGAAUUUAUAAGUUGAUGCAUAUAUUUCUCCAUAUCUUGUAGUGUAUGAGAUAUUGGAGUACACCAAAAGGUAGAAGGUUAAAGGUGUGCGGUGGCGCGCAGUCCGUGCAUCAUAUGUUGGUGAAUCAUAGUCUGAAUAGGCUACGUACAAUUGCAUCCAUCCUAGGACAACACGAAUGAAGAAUUUAGUGUUAGAUAGCAAAGGCAGUUGAUAGCAAGUCAAAUACACACUACACGUGCAAUGUGUCCUCUAUUUACCAGGAUUCGGGUGCCGCAUCGAGGAUUCCUGGCCGCAUCCAAGCGCGGCGGAGUGCCAUCGGUGUGCUGUCCCGUGUCAUGAAGCGCCCACACAAUCUGCAGUUCACCUAUACGAUUAUAGCCAUAUACGAUCAUACCCGUGCAUGACAAAGUUAGGUAGGCUCAUCAAAGCGUUAUGUCUGUUCAAGCUAUUGUAAUUAGUAUAAAUAGUAAGCACUUCAUGUGAUUUAACCCAUUCUAACUCUUGCUACUGUUGUUGAGAACAAUAAAUAAAGUGUACACAUAUGUUUCCUUUGCGUAUUAUAUAGAGUAUGCUUGAGAUAUUGGAGUACAACAAAAUAUAAUUUCUGUUAGGAAGUAGCCUGCUAAGUUGUUAAUUUGUUGAAGGGAGCCUUCUUCGGUGGUUGUAACUUGUAAGAGGAUUGUCGUGAGGCAGUGUUUUUUUUUUCUUUUCUUCUCAAAAUGGCAGGAUUCUUGCAUUCAGGCCAAUC
rnacentral:lncRNA from 1 species